CACCACCUCCAGUUUACAAGUACAACUCACCUCCACCUCCUCCCCCAGUUUACCUGUCUCCACCUCCACCCUAUCAUCACUACUACGGUUCUCCUUCUCCUCACCACUACUAAGCAAGUGCAUAAGUUUUGAGGUAAUAAUACCUAUCCAAAACUUUAUCAACACAAACUGCCAUGUAUAUCAUGCUAAGGACGUACACUUGAUCCAUGAAAAUGACUAGUAGAAGAUUUUUUUUAAGAACCAAAGAAAUACAUUAUUUUUUCGGUCUGUUUUCAAGAAUUUGAGCAGUAUACAGAUUAAAGAGUGUUUUUUUUUUUGUAAACUUGCUUGUCAACUUAAAAAUGCACAUAGCUGAAAGCCAACUGAAUAUUUGCAGGCAAAGGAGAAGGCAAUCGGUGUUUGAGACCUUCAAGAAGAUGUAGAAGAAUAAGAAUAAAAGCCCAAUGCGAGGAUGAUUCCAAGUUUCUACGUUACCAUUUCUACAUCUAAAUUGACUUUAGCUCCUGAGUUCCAUGUUUAUGGGGUUUGUACCGUUUUACGUACCAUGCAGUACAUGCUUGCAAGGUUUUCUGUCCUGUUGGCAAACUGCAGGUCCAUAUAAUAAAUGAAUACUAUUUACAUUACGACACUUUUCUCUUUUUCUCUUAUAUUUUGUCUUUAAUAUUGUUGAUCAUUUUUUUUUUAUCAAAAGCAUCAAAUGCUUAGGUAAUUUGGUCUAAUGCUAAUUGUUUUACUUUUAUUUUUCACCUACACCCCUUUUCAACUCAAAGGAUGCUAUAGUUUGUGAUAAUUGUUUAAGACCGAAGCAUGAUACUAAUAAAUAUCUCAUUGAAAGUCAAGGAAACUAACAUUAGGAAAAGUUUAAAUCUUGAUUUGAUGAAACUAUUUAUUCGUGGAAUUUAGAGAUACAAAACUCAAAUUGUGACGGUGUUGUUGCUAAAUUAUUAAGGACAUUAUCACCAUUAUUUUUCCCUGAUCACUAGUUUCAACUGCAAUGAUCUCAAUCUUUUUGUGACUAAUUCUUUCCUUAAUAAUUUAUAAAGACAAAACUCACAAAGAAUAUGUGACUAAUUCUUUCCUUUCGUCUUCUAAAGAAAAUGCCAACUGUUAGUUUAUCAAGGGGAAAAAGGAUCGACAUCAGUUAUUAUUGAAACUAGUAAGGAAUAAAUAAUGGUGAUAAUGUCCUUAAUAAUUUAACAACAGCACCAUCAGAAUUUGACUUUGAGCUUCGGUCUUAAACAAUGAUCACAAACUACAGCAUCCUUUGAGUUGAAAAAGGAAGUAGGUGAAAAGAAAAGUAAAAAAUACAAUUAGCAUUCCCUCAAAUUGUAGAAAGUUAGGUAGCAUUAUAGACAAGUUGAUAGCGGCAAUUUUACAUUUCAAACUUCACCUAUUCAAUAACUAAUUCGAUGGCUUGCUACAUGGUCAAUCUUUGGACCCCUUCCUGCCUCCAGAUAUCCCUUUCCUCAAUCAGGGGCUUCUACAAUUACCAGUUUCAAUUGUAUGGUAUAGUGUAAAUAUCAACAAAUUAGAUGUAGAUGCUAACAUAAUAAAUGUGAAUGCUAAGACAGCAACAUACAAUCGAACCUGCAAUUGUAUGAACCCCAAUCUCGCUUCCUAGUCCACCAUCUUUCUCUAGGUAAUAAUCUCCCUUCUAAUUUAUUCACAAAAUGCACCUUUCAUCACCUCCAAUAGCGUCGACAUGAUCUUUACCCUAGAAGACUAUUCACCGACUCUCAAUUGACGUCAGAAAAUCUAAGAGUAAUUCUACUUUACCCUAAGAUUGAUAUCAACAAGACAAGGACAAUUUAGAAUUAUUACACGCCUCUUCUUAAUAGGAAAAAGAAAUAGAGAAGAAAGUCAGGCCAGGUCUAAUUUCUUUUCAAAGGCAAUACAACAUUACGAAAUCAAGCAUUCAUUCAUACAAAUAUUUCAUAGUCACCGGUUUGCUGAGUAGAAAAAUUUAGACAAAAACUUAAUAUUAUAUUGUUUAAGAGUUAACAAUUUAGAGCUUAAUCUCCUUGUACUUUGGAGUUAACAAUUUAGAGCUUAAUCUCCUUGUACUUUGGACUAAACUUGAACGUGAAAGGAAAUCCCAAAACCAUAUUGGGCAUGAAUUCACACUUAAUAUACCCAAUAAAAGAUGGCGACUGGUGAAAGGCAGUGGAGACUGGUGGAGAGAUUUGAGGAAUAGAAGCAGACGGAAAAGCAACAAAUUUUUGCCGAAAAACGGUCACUUUCAUGGUUAAUUUUGCUACUCUCCAAUUGUACUUGACCAAUUACAACAAUUUCAUGGAGUUUGAUACGUGAAAAGAAUUUUUUAUAAAUUUUAUUUUGAUCCAUAAUGUUAUCUUUACAUAUAUAAAACAUUUUACAAUUUUGAUUUUGGCGCAGCUAACUUUUGGUUAACAAAAAUGCUCAUGUUUAAAAAACCAGAAAUAAAACAAAACAAGAAACAAAAGAAAUAAGAGGGUAGCAUAGACAUUUUGGAUUUUUCCGUUAAUUUGGAUGAUUUCCACCCACGUUCUAAUUUAAUCCAAAACACAAAGGAAUUACGUAGAGGUUUUAAAUAAUCAGGGAGCUUCAUGAUCGAACCCCAAACCACGUGAUAGCAUACAAGAGUUCUAUUUCACUAUCGGUAGACAAAGACUUUCUAUGGUUGAUGUACCGUAGGAAAAAAUCUGCCUAUACAACGUGAUAGCAUUUUUUCAAAAACACAAGAUGGAAAAUUGCCCCCUUAAACGUGGAAAUUCAUGAUCUUUCCUCGAACAAAGAAUACUCACGCCUAUUCAAGAUGGAAAAUUGCCCCCUUAAACGUCUAUUUGUCAAUUCUUGAAAAAAGAAUACUCACGCCUAAAACACGGCCUCUUCAUCUGCAGAAUUCUAAAAAGUUACGUAAACUCUAUAAACAAGUUGAUAGGUACAAUCGUACCCAAGAUCAAGUACAGAUAGUUGUACAUUCACUGCUGCAAUAACUAAUCUGAUGACUUACAAACAUAUCAUGGUCAAUCGUUGAAUGGUAAUGAGUCUUUUGUUAUGCAUUAGUAUUAGUGUGUACACUCUAAUAGAUUGAUACUUAUACUCUUUAAAUUAUCAUAAUAAUACCCUUAAUUAACUUUAACUCUUAAAAAGAAUACGUGUUAAUACACGAGAGUGUGUAACCUGAAUUGUUACUUAUACAUUAGUGUGUAAUAGAUAGGGAUGGCAGUGAGGGCGAGUGCCCGCGGGGGGCUCUCGGGGCGGGGGCGGGGGAGAAUUUUUUCCCCCCGUUUAGAAACGGGGCAGGGGACGGGGGAGUAUACCCCCGCCCCAUCCCCCGCCCCGCCACCCGCAAAAAAAAUUAUAUAUAUAUAAUUAUAUAUAAUAUGUAAUUUAAUUAGUUAUAAACUUAUGAUAAUGAUAUUAUUAGUUAGAUGUAUUAUAUAAUGUAUAUUAGUGUAUGUAAUAUAAUUAAUAUUAUCAAUUAUACGAAUAAUUAGACAUGUCCACUAAUAGAGUUUAUUAAUUAGUUAUACUAAAUUUACUAAUACAUUUGUACUAAAUUUCUAAUUACACUUAAUAGAAUAACACUUUUUUCUAAAAAAAAAAGCACAAACACAAUAAUGAAUUAGUGAUUGUAUUUGUACCAAAAGUGAAAACUUAACUAUUUUAGUUGUAUUUAUUUCAUCAUGUUGGAUUGUAUUCAAAUAAUUUUUGUUUGAUUGUUUUUAUGAGUUUCAAUUGUAAAAUUAAAAUGAAUAAUAACUUGAUGAUGUGUUGAUAUUUUAGUACUUGAUUAUUUAUUGAUUUAACUAUAAUAAAAUUUUAUUUUAUUAAAAUUUAACUAUAAUAAAAUUUUAUUAACCAAACGAGUUAUUAAUCCCGCGGGGGCACCCACGGGGGAAGCGGGGCGGGGCGGGGGAGUGGGAGGCGGGGGACGGGGCGGGGGUGGGGGGAGUUGUAGGUAGCGGGGCGGGGGAUGGGGGAGGGGUCCCCCGCCCCAACCCCGCCAUCCCCCGCCCCGUUGCCAUCCCUAGUAAUAGACUGGCAAGCAUUGUGGUGGUCAUUGAGAACUUACUGGAGAAAUAGUCCUAUAAGCUGUUCAAUGAGCAAUCACAACUUGCUAAUUGGAUGACUAAUAUAGCUCUAGCUGUAAUGUUUUAAUUAAAUUACAUCACUAACGUUGGGAUGACUUUUUAACCAAAAAAAAAUGCCUUAGUUCAAGCUUUUCCCUUUAUUGUGCAUUUUUUAAAGCAUUUGAUAGGCACUGCAAAUCUGUCAUUUUGGACAUUUUAUUAUUGACUAACAAUGAAAGCCGUGACGUCUACCCAUAACCAACACAAGAUUAAAUUAAUAUUAGAAAAAAUAAUUGAGUAAUUGGAAAAAAAAAAAGAGACUCAUUUUCAUUGAAACCCACCGACAAACUAAACGUGUCCAUGGCUUUUGAAUAGUGCAUUCAACGUUUAAUUGUAUAGUCCAGUUCAUUGCAGAUUACAUGGAGUAAAGAUUGUGCUCUUUCCUUUUUCACCCCUUUUGGAAUCGAUACUGUGGAGAAUUGGGUUUUUCCCUUCUUUUUUUCUUUUCUUUCCUUCUGUGCUUUGCAAAACAUAGGUAAAAAUAUGAAAUCCGAAGCAUUCUUUAAUUGGGAUUAAGUAUUGUUGUUGAAAUUAAAAAGAAAAAAGAAAGAACAACAAAAUUCCCAAUCUGGGUUGAUUGUUGAGCUCUAGAUUGGUUGCAUCGUGCUUCCAUAGAAGCUCUCUUAGUGUGAUACACUGCUUUCAAUCAGUUUAACACGGGAAAAAAAAAAAAAGAGAUGAAAAGCAAAUUUGGUGGGGAUAAUUUCAGAAACCUCCCCUGAAGAUUUUGACUAUUCUACUGGUCUCCCUUCAGAUUUUAAAAAUUACACUAAUCUUCCUUGAAGUUAAUUAUCUUGUAACAUUUAAAUUCAAUCAAUAAUUUAAAAAAUGAUAUUAUGAGAGAGAAAAUAAUGAUUUUAUCAUUGCCCCCCAUCUUACUACAUUAUUUAAUUAAUUUAAUAGCAACCCACACAUUAAAGAAAAAUAUUAAAAUUUGUUGUUUAUCAUUAAAGAUCAAAUCGCUUAUAACAUCAAAUAAUAGUAUAUUAUUUAUAUUUUUCACUCAAUAUAAUAUCCAAAUUACUCUUUUCAAUUACAUACCCAUUGUUAGACAAUCAACAACAAAUAACCAAAAAAUUUGCAACCAAAAUAUUACAAAAAAAUAAACUUUAACAUAUAAAUAUUCUUAUCAACAUAUUAAAGUUAGUUACUGAAAUUUUUAUGCUGUUAAACUUCACUCUUUUUGGUUACAGAUUUUUUUGAUUAUUUGUUAUUAAUUAUGUUUGAUGAUGGAUUUAUAAUUGAAAAGAACAAUUUGAAACUUACAUUAAGUAAAAUAUAUAGAGUGAUAUACUAUUUUUUAUAACAUAUGUGAUUCAAUCCUUCUUGAUAGGAUUGGUAAUAGAGGUAGAGGGGGGAGCCGGCUGCAUCCGGUCUACUUUUCAUAGAUAGUACAAUAUUGCGAAAUCGAUCGCAUUCACGCAAUAUUAUUUCCAAGUCAUUGCAUGGCUAAGCUGCAAAAAAAGUACGAACACAUGUUAUUAUAUAGCUUACGAUUCAAAACUUUAGAGCAUAACCCUCCACCUAACACAAUUGAAUAAUGAACAUUCACGUUUGUCAAAUCUGUCAAAGCACAGUUUGAGGACAACCCAUUCCAACCUGCAAAAGAUUUUUUACUUUUCUAAAGUUGUUGAGAGCUGUAAAAAGACUUACCAUGCUUGCAUCCUCCGAGCCUUGGGAGUUAAAAAUGAAGGCACUGAGUGCUAUAAAAAGGGGAAUAGAGGCUGCCUAGAAGCAUAUCAGCCUAAAACAAGAAUUUGUAGUUAAGAUGGGAAGCAAAGCAAAAGCAAUGGGGUCUGGGCUGACUCCUCUUCUUGCCACUGUUUUAGUGGUGUUUGUUGCUCUUGGCUUGCCCUCACAAACUGCAGCUGAUGAUCACUACAAGUAUUCAUCUCCUCCUCCUCCUUACCACUAUCCCUCACCACCACCACCAGUGCAUAUACCUCCACCUCAUCCUGUUUACAAGUACAAAUCUCCACCACACCCCCAGUACAAGUAUAAGUCACCACCACCACCUCCUCAUCCGGUAUACAGUCUCCUCCGCCACCACACACCCAGUUUACAAGUACAAGUCACCACCACCACCUCCUCAUCCGGUACCACACCCAGUUUACAAGUAUAAGUCUCCUCCGCCACCAGUUUACAAAUACAAGUCUCCUCCACCACCACCUCCAGUGUACAAAUACAAGUCUCCACCACCACCAGUUUACCACUACAAGUCUCCACCACAGUUUACAAAUACAAGUCUCCACCACCACCCCCAGUUUACAAAUACAAGUCUCCACCACCACCAGUUUACCACUACAAGUCACCACCACCUCCUCCCCCAGUUUACAAAUACAAGUCUCCACCACCUCCUCACCACUACUAAGCAAUUGCUUCUGAGGUAAUAACACUUGUUCAAUAUACCCACUUCUGCAUGAUAAAGCAUAUCUCUAUCAACACAAACUGUCAUGUCUAUCAUGCUAAGUGCCUUCACUUCAUCCACCAAAAUGACUGCUAGAAAAUUUUUUUUAUGUUACCAAAGAAAGGCAUCAUUUUUUCCCUCUGUUAUCAAGAACUUGUACAGUAUAUAGAUUAAAGAGUAUUUUUUUAACUAGCUUAUCAACUGAGAAAUGCAUAUAGCUGAUAGCCAGCUGAAUAUUUGCAGGCAAAGGAGAAGGAAACCAGUGUUUGAGACCUUCUUGAAGAUGUAGAAGCAUAAGAAUUAAAGCCCAAUGUGAAGAUGAUGAUUUCAAGUUUUUCUACGUUACCAUUUCUUUAUCUAAAUUGGUUGUAGCGCCUUAGUUCCUUUGUUUAUGGGAUUUGUAUCGUUUUACGUACCAUGCAGUACAUGUCAUGUUUGUAAGGUUUUCUAUCCUGCCGGCAAACCGCAGGUUCCAUGUAAUAAAUCAAUACUAUUUAUAUUACGACACUUUUCUCUGUUUCUCUUAUAUUUUGUCGUCUUUAAUAUUCUUAAUCAUAUUUUUAACAAAAAUAUUCAAACACUUAGGCAAUCUGGUCUAAUGCUAAUUGUAUGUUUUACUUUUCUUUUUCACCUGCUCCCCUUUUCAACUCAAAAGGAUGCAAUAGUUUGUGAUCACUGUUUAAGACGGAAGCAUGAUACUAAUGAAUAUCUCAUUGAAACUCAAGGAAACUAACAUUGCGAAAAGUGUAAAUCUUGAUUUGAUGCAACUAUUUAUUCGUGGAAUCUAUAGUUACAAAACUCAAAUUCUGACUGCGCCAUUGAUAAAUUAUUAAUGACGCUAUCAUCAUUAUUUAUCCCUAACUAGUUUCGACUACAACUGAACCCAAUAUUUUCCCCAUGAUAAAAGUUUUUGACUAUUUUACUGGCCUCUCUUCAAAUUUUAAAAAUUACACUAAUCUUCAUUGAGAUUAAUUAUCUUGUAACAUUUAAGUCCAAUUAAUAAUUAAAAAAUGAUAUUAUGAGAGAGAAAAUAAUAUAAUUUUAUCAUUGCCCCCCAUCUUGCUAUAUUAUUUAAUUAAUUUAAUAGCAACCCACACAUUAAAGAAAAAUACUAAAAUUUGCUGCUUUUCAUUAAAGAUCAAAUUGCAUAUGCCAUAAAACAUAGUAUAUCAUUCUAUAUGUUUCACUUAAUGUAAGAUCCCAAUUGUUCUUUUCAAUUACAAACCCAUUGUCAAUAACAAAUAACCAAAAAAUUUGCAACCAAAAUAUUACAAAAAAAAACUUCAACAUCAUAAAUAUUCUUACCACCUCUAGUGCAUUCACCCUCAUAAAAUAAUUCAAGACCCUACUGUCAUAAAAUGACUGAUCAACUCCCGUAAACCUAAUUUGACAACAUUUAAAUGGAGAACUUUAGCUAAAAGAAUUAUGGUCAAGCUAAAGAAAAAACCAGUUAUUUUCCAACAUAUGCAAUCAUUGAUCAGGGAAAAAAAAAAGAGCAAAAAGACAUCUUCAAUCAUUUAAUAGCUUACAGGGCAAAUUAACCCCUAAGCGAAAACUGGUUGCUCUAGAAUCAAAAUUUUACUUUAGUUACCCAGGCAACUUUUUUGUUGCUUUUUUUUUUUUUUUCCUUUAGUUUUGCCCCCUCUGUCAAGCUUAUAAAAUUAUUAAGAUAAUAAAAGUGCCUUGAAUAGUAUUAAUAUAUCCAUUGACUUGAGCUGUCGUCAGUUUGCGAUUCCAUGAGGCCUUUUCAAAGUACUCAGAAAAUGGGGAGUCAUGAAAUCCAUUUGUUCUAUUCAUUGCUAAGAUGCUUUUCUCUAUAAAGAGACUUCCUAACGAAAAUACUUUGUAGAUUUCUUUACUCCAAGUGGUGCAUGGAAAAUUAAUAUUUUCAAUUAUCAAAUAAAAUUCCCUUUUUUCGGCGUAGAUUUCAUCCAUCCAGCUGUUAACACAUUCUAUAAAUCCGAAUUGACUAAUCUUUUCGUUUCCAUUUUCCAACUUGCGAAUACGGCAUAUAGUGUCUGCUAAACACUAUAUAUUCUCUGCCAAAUAUGAAUACAUAUCACUUUUCUGAGCAAGUGCAGAGUCAUUAUCAUUUUUAUUCCCACCUAACAAAUUAGGGAUAAAAAAGUUAAUAAUCUUUACAUGCUAUCAGGUCACAAGUUAAUAAUCUUUUAAAGAACAUGUUAAAUUAAUUUAUUGGUAUGAAUAGUAGUCAAAGAAGUAUGUUAAAGUUAGUAAUCUUUAAAAUAAUAUGUUAAAAUCAUUCGUACAAAUUAGUCAGAGAAGUAGCAUAAACACCGCGAUGCAAUUAAUACUUUCAAUCUCAAGGUCUCUAUUAUGGAAAUUUGCAUCGGUCAAUAUACACUUGGCAUAAUAUAAUCUCCCAACUCAUUUCUUUACAAAUGCACCUUUAAUCACCACCAAAAGGUGUGGACAUGAUCUUUACCCUAGAAAACUAUUCACCGACAGGCAAAUUGACGUCAGAAAUACUGAGGAAUUCUAGUUUCCUUCGGGUUCAUGCCAUGUUGUAUCCUUCAACUGUAACUCGAUUUCUAAGCUGUAAUUUGUGACAUAAUAGUCCUUAAACUAUGAAACCCUUCUUACUUAAUUACAAUGGUUAAUACAAUGCCCGUGACUAGACAAGUAUGAAGCAACCAUAACAGAAAAAAAAUCCAAAAUUAGAGAAAAGAAAGAAGUUUCGCGACCACCACCAGUUUACAAGUCACCUCCACCACCUCCUCCAGUUUACAAGUCACCUCCACCACCUUACCAUUAUUCCUCACCACCACCUCCAGUGCAUUCACCCCCACCACCACCAGUUUACAAGUCUCCGCCACCACCUUACCAUUAUUCCUCACCACCACCUCCUGUGCAUGCACCUCCACCACCAAUUUACAAGUCACCUCCUCCAGUUUACAAGUCUCCACCACCACCUUACGAUUAUUCCUCACCACCACCUCCAGUGCAUUCACCCCCACCACCACCAAUUUAUAAGUCUCCCCCACCGCCUCCCCCAGUAUAUAAGUCACCACCACCACCUCCUCCAGUAUACAAAUCACCUCCACCACCUCCUCCAGUUGACAAAUCUCCACCACCACCAAUUUAUAAAUACAAGUCUCCUCCACUACCUCCUCCAGUGUACAAGUCAUCACCACCACCUGCUUACAAGUCUCCACCUCCUCCAGUUUACAGUUCCCCACCACCACCAAUCUACAAGUCUCCACCUCCACCCUACCAUUACUACUACAAUUCUCCUCCUCCUCCUCGUCACUACUAAGCAAUUGUAUCCAAGUUUUUGAGGUAAUAACGCUUAACCAAUAAAUUAACUUUCGCAUGAUAAACCUUAUCUCUAUCAAGACAAACUGCCAUGUGUAUCAUGCCAAAUACGUACACCUAGAUCCAUGAAAAUGAAUGGUGAGGAGGGCCAUUUAGGCUCGGAGCGCCCUAGGCCUAGUUCCCCACCAUUUCCUGAAGUGCCGCCUCGGGUAUUAUCCUGGAAGGCGAUCGCGGCCCAUUUACCACCUCGGCUACAAUGUCAGGUCGUAACACCGAGGUGGACAUUGAAUGACAACUACGAAAAGGGGAGAUGUGAUCUCUGACACCUGAGCAAAGGCUGCUCUGACCCGCCGCCUGAAUCUGACAGAAUGUCCCAUCACGUCUCUUCAUGGAGACCGGUCAAGUCCACCUGAUCCACUGACUAUCUCAGAUCUUUUGGGACCCGUGCAAACAUCUCCUCUCUCCUAUCAGUCCCCUAUAAAUACACGAUACUUCUACUGAAAAAGGAGAUGACCAAUUUCUGGUAAAACACACUCCACUCAUUAUUUACUUCUCUAUAUCCGAACUGACUUAAGCUUCGGAGUUAUACCGGGGGAUCCAGCCCCUUUCUUAUCCAAGCAGGUGACUUCGUCCAAGAGAGUUGCCCAAGGUAAAGAUAUUCUUCCAAUUGAGGUGACUCACUCCUGCGGGUCGAAAAUCACCUCUUCAAUUGGCGCCGUCUGUGGGAACCGCAAAGAUAUUAGAAGAUGAAGCCUGCGCGUUCUAGAAGCAGAAAAGCUCUCACUAUCGAGGCUGGGCAAAGCAAUGCAGCUCAACAAGAAAAUAUUUCUGAAGGGCAGGAGUCCCCAAGGACUCAGCCCGCAAACGAAAAAGCCAUAACCCGUAUGGCCGAGUUUGUGACCGAGAACCCCAACAUCUUUGAAGAGUUGGGAAGAUACCUGAAGAGGCAAGGCAAACAAAAGGCCGAGUCCUCUAAAAGGAUGUCAGAUGGGUCUCUUGAGGACUCAUCUGAGGAGGAGUCGGAUGGAAGGCACUUAAGCCGAAGUGCCUCAAAGCGAGCAUUUUCUAAGGCCACUUCUAAGGUAGCCUCCCUGACCAAGGCGUUUUCCCGAGGGCUCUUGGGCCGACGACCCGAGGAAGAACCUCGGCCCUUGGGAAUACCCGGGGUGGACUGCAUGAGGGCUCCACCGUUCACGGAUGAUAUAAACGAGGAAAGGCUUCCUCCCAAUUUUAAGCUCCCCGCAGUACAAUCUUACGAUGGCCGAGGUGAUCCCGAGAAUCACAUCCAUACCUUCAUCUCGGCCUUCCAAAUAUACUGCAUCCCAGACCCUGUCAUAUGUCGGGCCUUUCCAGUAUUCCUCAGAGGAACUGCUCGAAAAUGGUUCUGAGCUCUAGAACCUAGGAGCAUUUCGACCCUGGGUGAAUUAGUGGAGAAGUUUCUCCACCGAUUUGUCUCCUCCCGACCUACGACUAGGACCUCGGCUUACCUGCUCACCGUGCAGCAGAACCCGGGAGAGUCACUCCGGUCGUACGUCCGGAGGUUCCAUGAGGAAAGCGUUCAGAUACCUGACCCCAAUGAGCAGGUAACCCUCGCUGCCUUUACCCAUGGACUCGUUGCCGGGGAGUUCAAUACGGGGAUCCAUAAAAAAUACCCCCGCACACUGCAUGAAUUGUGGUUGAAGGUUGAAAAGGGCAUACAGGCCGAAGACCUCCAUCGCAUGAAGAAAGAGGUCCAAGCCACCCGUCCAAGGGCUGAGCCCAGAAAGGGAAAAGACGCUGGCCGAACUGAAGUAGGGUCGGGAAGUGGCUUCCGAAGUCCUGGCCGAGACCGCCGCAGCGUGUUCGACAGGAUAUCCAAGGGGAAGUCACCUAUUCCCGAGUCCGAGUUGACUCCUUUAAAUACUACCCGAUCUCACGUGUUGUCCGUGAUGGAACAAAACAACCUCGGCAAGGGCCCGCCGAGGAUGUUUGGAAGCAGAGACAAGAGGAACUCGAACCUCUACUGCUUGUAUCAUCGUGACAUUGGUCACGAAACUGAGGAUUGCAACGAUCUCAAGAAGGAGAUCGAGAACCUCAUUAGACGGGGACACUUGAAACAGUUCAUCCGCAGAGGUGGAGGUCACCAACGUGACGAAAACCGGCAUGACAAAUGAGGUGACCAACGCCGAGAUGAGCGGCGGAGCUCCAGAAGCAGUUGCCGACCUCCUGAGGAUCCCAGGGAGACGAAAAGGCCUCCCCCAGACGGAUCUUCGGGACAUGGGCCAACCAUUGCCCGGGUCAUUAACACCAUUGCCGGAGGUCCGACGGGAGGGGACAGUCAGAACUCCCGGAAGAGAACCUAUAAGCAGGCUAACCCGGAUCAGGCCGAGUCGAGUUCUCGCCUGUCCGAGGUGAUCACCUACGGGCUCAGUGAUCCCAUCCCAGCUGCAUCCAGCAGUCAUGAAACCUUGGUGAUUGAAGUCCUCACCAAUAACUACAUUGUGAAAAGGUCUACAUAGACCCGGGAAGUUCAGUUGACGUCAUGUACCUCCGUACCUUUGAGAGCCUUAAAAUGGCUAAGGGGUGCAUGACCCCGCUGAGAACCCCUCUUGUAGGGUUCGGGGGACACGUGGUGCACCCCGAAGGGAUGGUGACUCUGACAGUGACCAUAGGGCAUCACUCUCGCUGUAGAACCGUCCCUGUCAAUUUUGUGGUGGUUAAGGCUGACUCCCCAUACAACCUACUUUUAGGUCGGCCUACGCUCAAUGCCUUGCGGGCGGUCUACUCCACCUACCACCUGAGCUUCAAGUUUCCUACCCCAGCAGGGGUGGCCGAGGUCAGCAGCGACGUCUGUGCUGUCCGGGAGUGCUACCUCGCCACCCUACAAGCAGCCUCCCCGUCUACCUCCGGUGCGAGGUCCGAGAAGAGGUCAAAUAUCCUCUCAAUAGAUAGCAUCGAUCCUCAGUGAGCUGAGAAGGUCCCGAGGCUGGAGACUGGGGAUGAGGUGGAAGAGAUUCCCCUGGACCCCACGAAACCUGAUCAGACAGUUCGCGUUGGUACCCGAUUGCCCGGUCCUAUCCGAAGAGGUAUGAUGGACCUCCUCAGGGAAUACCGGGACGUCUUUGCUUGGGCCGCCGAAGAGGUCCAAGGAGUCCCGCACCAUCUCAUGAUGCAUGACUGAACGUCGACCCCCAAGUCCGUCCGGUCAAACAGAAGAGAAGGCACAUCGGCCCUGAGCGCAGCCAAGCUGUUGGUGAGGAAGUGGACAAGCUUUUACCCGCUAAAAUAAUCCGAAAAGUCCAAUACCCGAUCUGGUUGUCUAACUCGGUCAUGGUCAAGAAGGAUACGGGGGCUUGGAGAAUGUGCGUCGAUUUUACCGACCUCAACAAAGCCUGCUCCAAGGAUUGCUACCCCUUGCCCAAAGUCGAUACUUUGGUAGACUCAGCAAUGGGCUACGAGAUCCUCUGUUUCUGGGAUGCAUUCAAAGGCUAUCACCAAAUUGGGAUGAGUCAAGAAAACCAGGAGAAAACGGCCUUCUACACCGACCGCGGCACGUACUGUUAUACUACCAUGCCAUUCGGGUUGAAGAAUGCCGGAGCCACUUAUCAACGCUUGGUCAACCAAGCAUUCAAGUCUCAAAUCGGCCGGAAUGUUGAGGCCUAUGUAGAUGACAUCCUCCUCAAAAGCCAGACGAACUCCACCUUCCUGGCCGACUUGAAGGAGGUCCUUGACAUCCUGCGGAAGGUGAAAAUGAUGCUGAACCCCAAGAAAUGUGUUUUUGGGGUCACCUCGGGGAAAUUUCUAGGUUACCUCGUCUCAAGGCGAGGUAUCGAAGCAAAUCCGGAUAAGGUGCGAGCCAUCCAGGAGAUGUCUCCACCCCGGUGCGUCCGCGAUGUCCAAAGGCUGACAGGGCGAUUAGCCGCCCUGAAUCGGUUCUUAUCGCAGUCGGCAGCUAAAGCACUGCCCUUUUUCAAAGUGUUGAAGAAAGCUGACCAUUUCUCCUGGACGGAAGAGUGUCAACAGGCGUUUGAGCAGUUGAAGGAUUACCUUCACUACCUUCCAACGCUCACCUCACCUCGUCCGGGGGACAAAUUAAUCUUAUACCUUUCUGCUGCGGCCGAAGCGGUGAGUGCCGUGCUGAUAAGGAAGGAAGGGGUCCAAAUGCCCGUCUACUACGUUAGCCGAGUCCUCCGAGGUCCAGAGACCAGGUACACACAAGCAGAGAAACUUGUGCUAGCCCUGAUCCACGCCGCCCGCAGACUCAAGCCCUACUUCCUAGCUCACCACGUCUGCUUGAGGACUGAUCAACCACUUCGGCAGAUUUUGACACGACCAGAGGUUUCGGGACGUCUUACCAAAUGGGCCAUUGAGCUGGGGGAGUACGACCUAACUUAUGAGCCUCGCACAGCGAUCAAGGCCCAGGCUCUCGCAGACUUCGUAGCCGAGCUCACCUUUGACGAGGUGCAAGGAUCCGUCCCGGCUGCCACAUCGGCCACAGUUGAUGUGGCCACCACUGGGCUCCAGCGGUGGAUCCUACACGUGGACGGUUCGUCAACAGUGAGGGUAGUGGAGCAGGCUUGCUCCUCGAAGACCCCCAAGGAGAAAUAUGCUAAUAUGCCUUAAGAUUUGACUUCGCUGCUUCAAACAAUGAAGCUGAAUACGAAGCCGUCAUUGCUGGACUGCAGCUAGCUCGCAAGCUCGGGGCCGCACACAUCUUGGUUUAUAGUGAUUCCCAACUCGUCGUGUGCCAGAUAUUAGGUGAGUACGAAGCCAGGGACGAGGUGAUGCAUCGUUACCUCUCCAAGGUCCUCCAGUUGGCGACUCACUUCGAGUCUUUUGAAAUUCAAAGAAUACCGCUAUCGAAAAACAGAAGGGCUGACGCCCUCUCCCGGCUUGCCUCAACCUCUUUCUCUGACCUGAACAAGACGGUUCUCGUUGAAGUUCUAGCCGAACCAGGAUAUGUAGCCGAGGUAGUAUACCCCGUCUACCCUGGGGACACCUGGAUGGGUCCCCUGACUCGAUUUUUCAGCCAGGGUGAGCUCCCCGAAGACCGAGCUGAGUCACGGAAGCUCCAACGAAAAGCAGCACGGUACAUUCUCCGACAAGGCCUUUUAUACAAAAGGUCUUACCUCGGCCCUUAGUUGCGAUGUAUCACGCCCGAGGAAGGCCAGAGAAUCCUCCAAGACAUACAUGAGGGGCUCUGUGGUGCUCACGUCGGCUACAGAAUGCUGGUAAAAAAGGCUUUGUUACUUGGGUAUUUUUGGCCCACUAUGAGGAUAGAUGCCCAGGUCAUGGUCCUUUGCUGCCCCUCCUGCCAGCAUCACGCUCCUGAGCACCACCAGCCGACCAAUUUAAUGAUCCCUAUCACCUCGUCAUGGCCAUUUGAGCAAUGGGGAACGGACAUAAUUGGCCCCUUUCCCAGAGCUCCAGGCAAUUAUACCUACGUGGUGGUAGCAGUGGACUACUUCACCAAAUGGGUCGAAGCUGAACCCCUAAAAAAUAUCACUGGUGCGGCAGUCCAGAAAUUCUUCUGGAAGAAUGUGGUUUGCCGCUUCGGCCUACCCCGGGUGAUCAUCUCGGAUAAUGGCCGACAGUUCGCCGAUAAUCCUUUCAAGGCCUGGUGUGAGAACCUCGGGGUCAAACAGCAUUUCACUUCGGUGGGACACCCCCAAGCCAACGGACAAGCCGAAAACUUCAAUCGCACGCUCCUCCAUGGCCUCAAGACCAGGCUCCACCAGGCUGGAUCGUUUUGGAUGGAAGAGCUCCCCAGUGUGCUGUGGUCCUACCGAACUACGCCGAGAUCAGCAACCCAGGAAACCCCGUUUUCCUUAACCUACGGGUCAGAAGCUGUUGUUCCAGCCGAAUUCAUCACCCCGAGUCCACGAAUGGCCGCAUAUGCUGCCGAAGUCAAUGAAGAAGAACGGCGAGUUGACCUCGACCUCGUCGAAGAGAAGCGUGAUAUGGCCGCGGCCAAAGUUGCUGUUUACAAAAAUAUCGUAGCUGGCUACUACAACGCUCGGGUUAAACAUUUGCGGUUCAGUCCGGGAGACCUGGUGCUCAGGAAGAACUCAGUCAGCCGGGCUGAACCUCAGGGUAAACUAACCCCCAAGUGGGAGGGACCAUACCGUGUUGUUGAGUCCAGCCAAAAUGGAUAUUGUAAAUUGGCAUACCGAGAUGGGUCUCUGAGUGCCCCGAACUUGGCAUGCUGAAAAUCUUAAGUUGUACUACCCUUGAGGGUAUGUGCUUUUAAUCUUGAGUUAUUUCACACUUAUUUUCAUUUCAUUAUAAGUGAAAAAUAAGGGGACAAAGUAGCAGUAAAGAGGAAAACCGAAUUUAAUUAAAAAGAAAGCAAGAAUAUGAACUCAAUUCCAUUGAAUUACAUAAAAGUAGAAAGCCGAGGUCACCUUUAAUUAGGAAGAAAGCAAGAAUAUAAACUCAAUUCCAUUGAAUUACAUAAAAGUAGAAAGCCGAGGUCACCUUUGACCUCGGCCUACAAUGACAAAAAAAAAAACAAGUGCCUCUAGGCACUCCCUACCCUGACAUCCUGGCCCCCCGUGGUCGCGCCACCCGUUUCGGCACCCUGUCCACCCUCAGCUCCUCCACCGGCCUGGUCGUCUUCAGUACCAUCUAGUUCAAACUCCUGGAGCCAUUUGUUGAAUUCGGCUCGGACUUCGGUUAGGUCUUUCUCAGUCCGGAUGCCCUCAGCCAUGCUGUCGCAUAGCUCCUUGGCAUCCUCGUUAUAGUGCGAAGUGCUCUGAAGGGACUCCAGUUGUUCAGAGGGAAGAAAGGAUGCCGCGUCAUUAAUAGCCGACGUGUACCCGAACAUGAAGCUUGGCCGGGUGAGCUCGCCGAGGUCACGGAUGAAGGACUCUGACGUCCGGAAGGCUUCCACAGCAGUGACCCCGGCCUUGUCCAUGGCCUCCCUGUUUGACUGUUCUUCUUGGGCCCUCCUUUUUUUCUCCUCAUCAAGAGCAGUCACCAGGGAAUUGUUCGCGACCUCGGCCCUUUUGUUAGCCGCCUUGGCCUUGUCACGCUCCAACUCGGUUGCCUUCAGUUUUUCUUCCAACUCGGCAAUUCUCUUCUGGAGCUCGGCAGGAGGCUCAUAGUUUUCCAUGAACUUUCCAUACCGUUGAAUCAUCUCGACAAAAAAAGCCGUGGUAGAGGCCCAUGACACCGAGGCGCUCUGCAUCAACUCCCCUGCGGAGAGCUUCCUAGCAUAAGUGCUAUCUCGUGGCAGCACUGAAUGCACCAAGAGCUCCUGAGCGACCAAAGGGUUCUUGCAGCGAUCGUUGAAAUUAAUCUCCCACUCUGGACACCAGUGUGAUCCGGGGUGUCUCUUGUCCUCCUCAGCUGCCUUGAAAGGCACAUGAUGGAGUUUGAACAAAGAUGACCCCGUGACGGGGUUCUCCGGAAAUAUGGUCACACCCUGACCCCGGGGGGGAGUGGCAAUCGUGACCCAGCGAGAAGGGAUUCCCACCGGAAUUGCCGAGGCUCGGGAACCUCCCGGAGUGGCCGAGGUGUGCGAGCCCUCGCCCACGAUCACCACGGCAGGCUCGCGGUCGCCCGACGCCGCGGUGGUUUUCUUAGCCGGCCUGGAAGAGGACCCUGCAGUGUCCUUGCGCUUUUUGGGAGCUCUUUUGACCACCUCGACAUCUCCCGAGGUUAUCAGGUCGAAAAUCUUCGUCACUGCAAAGUAGGAGACGAAGUCAGUUAGAAUUCAAGAGGGAUAAACUAAAAGGGAAGAAAUGGAAAAAUACAAAGUCUGUGAAGCCUAGUCGAGAGUAAGACAGGCUGGUCAGAGCUCGUCAAGGCUCAACUGAUCCCGCCUUCCACGAGCACCACUUCGGGAAAAUCCCAGCAGUUUAUCCUGAGGCCCGACCCCGUUAACUUCUGGAAGUUACGCUCUUCUAACUUCCCUGGAGAUAUCUCCUUGAUCGAGGUGGGAGGCCUCCACCAGAAUCCGCGAGGGAAGUCAUCGGCCGAGACGAAGAAGAAGUUUUGCUUCCACUCCUUUAUUGAGUUCGGAGCAUCAACCACCAACUUCGGAACUUUGUUUCCGAAGUAGAACCAUCCUUUUUCACUUCUGCUGUUCUUGAGUGAGUAACAGCGGCGAAAGAGGUUGACCUAAGGUUGUAUCUCCUGAUGUCGGCAAAGUAGCUGGAAGCCAACGAGAAUGCGAAUAGCGUUAGGGGUGAGUUGAGUGAUUCUCACCCCCCAGUACCUCAGGCAGUCCCGAAGAAACCUCGUCGUGGGCACUCUGAGUCCGGCCUCCAGCUGUUCCUGAUAGAUAGUCACCUUGCCCUUUGGUGGCAGUGCGGCUGACUGAUGCGGUUGGGGUAUGUAAAUACUAUAAUCCCUUCUCCAGGGAUACCUGCGGACCACCUCGGCUAUUGAGGCUUGUCCCAUACCACUACUGAAGAACGGCAUCUGGCCGUAGUCGAGAGUUGCCACGUUUGGAGGAGUGGAAGGUUCUUGUACUCCCUCGUCUCUAGGGAUCUCAAUCCCGAGGUCAUCGUUGUAUAGGACCUCGGGCUGGACCUCGAUCUCCUCGGGCUGCACCUCAACCGCCUCAGCUCGGCGUGAUGCCUCGGCACCUCCACCCUCAGCUUGGUGAGAUGCCUCAGCACCUCCGCCCUCGGACGCGGUCCUUUCCUGGGAGGGGUCAGGCCUCUCUGCCUCAGUGAGGUCAGGUCUCACUGUCUCUUUGUGCGUACGAGCUGUUCUAGCCAUUGUAUCAGAAGGGGAAGAAGUGAACUUACUUAGAAUCUGCGACUGGAAGAAGAUGCCGAAGUAGACGUGGUUUAGAAAGGUUGCCGAAGUGAAAAGAGAAAGAAACAGAGUUCUGGGGUGAUUCUUGAUUUUUGGUGAAGAGUAAAACGGUGAAAAAAGACCACUAUUUAUAGGCCACCAGGGUGAAACCCAAGAGACGGCACCCUCUCUCUUCAUUAAUGGGAGGACUGUUCGUCUGCCAACACAGCUGACAGCCGUCCCUUCAGUUAUCACUCAGUCCCAUCUAUGCGGUCAUGACGUGUCCGUGUUCCGUGUUUUAUACGCUUCUCAGCUUCGGGAAGUAACGACCACGGCGGAUGCCCAUCUCGCCCUUCUCAAAGCUUGGGGGGCUUAGUGAGGAGGGCCAUUUAGGCUCGGAGCGCCCGAGGCCUAGUUCCCCAUCAUUUCCUGAAGUGCCGCCUCGGGUAUUAUCCUGGAAGGCGAUCGCGGCCCAUUUACCACCUCGGCUACAAUGUCAAGUCGUAACACCGAGGUGGACAUUGAAUGACAACUACGAAAAGGGGAGAUGUGAUCUCUGACACCUGAGCAAAGGCUGCUCUGACCCGCCGCCUGAAUCUGACAGAAUGUCCCAUCACGUCUCUUCAUGGAGACCGGUCAAGUCCACCUGAUCCACUGACUAUCUCAGAUCUUUUGGGACCCGUGCAAACAUCUCCUCUCUCCUAUCGGUCCCCUAUAAAUACACAAUAUUUCUACUGAAAAAGGGGAUGACCAAUUUCUGGUAAAACACACUCCACUCAUUACUUACUUCUCUAUAUCCGAACUGACUUAAGUUUCGGAGUUAUACCGGGGGAUCCAGCCCCUUUUCUUAUUCAAGCAGGUGACUUCGUCCAAGAGAGUUGCCCAAGGUAAAGAUAUUCUUCGAAUUGAGGUGACUCACUCCUGCGGGUCGAAAAUCACCUCUUCAAAUGGUAGAAAGUUUUCUUAAGAACCAAGAACAGCAUUAGUAUUCCCUCUGCUUCCAAAAACUUGUGUAUUAAAUAGAUUAAUGAAUUGUUUAACAUGCUCAUCUACUUGAAAAUGCACAAUACCCAUAACCCACUGAAAUUUUUGCAGGAAAAGGGAAAGAGAAUCUGUGUUUGAGAGCUUCAUGAAGAUGUUGAAGAAUAAGAAUAAAAGCCCAAUGCGAGGAUGUUUUCAAGUUUUUCUAUGUCCACUUUAAUUUGUAAAUUGAAUUUUACAACUCAAUUAAUUCCUUGUUUGUGAGGUACGUAUUGUUUUACGUACCAUGCCGUACAUGUUUGUAAGGAUUUCUAUCCUAUUGGCAAAAGUCGGUUCCAUACAAUUAAUCAAUUCAUUUCACUUCUAUUGGCUCUACUAUUUAUGCAUGUUACGACACUCUUUCCCUUAUAUUUUGCCUUUAAUAUUAUGAGUCAAUAGUAAUAAUGGGCCUUUUUCUUAAAAUUAUACUAUUAUACAUAGGUAGUUUGGUCUAACGCUAAAUUCAUGUUUGUCUUUCUUUUAUUCCCUUUACAUCUCAAAGUAUACUAUAGUUUGUAAUCAUUGUGGUGAUGAUAUUACCAGCUGGUACUUAUAGUUUAAGGCAGAGACAUGAUAUUAACAACUAUCUCAUUGAAACAUAAGUCAAAAUCAUGACAAGUGUGAGUCUUGGUUAAUGCACAAUUUGUUAGUGGAAUUUAUAUUUAUAAAACUCAAAAAAAAUUUUUGACAAUGCUAUUACUAAUUAAUUAAGGACUUCAUUGCUAUAAUUUAUCGCUUACUAGUUUAAACUAUAAAUGAUCUCAAUACUUUUCUCCAUGAUGUCGAUUUCUUUAGACUACGAAAGGGAAAAAUUAGUGACAUAUCCCUUACUGAUUACAACAUCAGCAAAAAUUAGUUAUAAACUUUUCCGGUGGUUUUAAAUCCCUCGGGCACUAAGGUUUUUUGCACAUCGAGUGAAUUAAGGAACAUAGGCAAUUCGUUCUGCAUACCAAGUCCUUGUUUAAGAUGCACGUACUAAAAUGCAUCCACUUCAUUAAUUUGGAAAAUUGCCAUAGUUUUUUUUAAGCAUUUUGAUUUUUUACAUGAUUCAAAAUUUUCUUAUUGGAUACAAUCACUUUGUGUCAAGAACACAUUUUCAAUCAUCUUUUUUAUCUUCUCAAUAAGAAAAUAAAAAUUUAUUCAUGCUUUUCUAACAUAUCCAAUCAUUGAUCUGAAAAAUAAAGAAUUAAAAAAAAAAGACAUUUUCAAUCAUUGCUUACAGGGCAACUUCCCCAUGUGAACCUCUUCAAACAAAGCCAAUAAUAUGAAGGAACAUCUAAAUACACUUUUGCCCUAAAGGCUGGUUGCCUUGGGGUCAAAAUUUAACCUUCGGGAGUAUAAUUACCCGCCAAAUUUAUUAUUUUUUAUGGGUAUAUAGUUCCAAUUUUGCCUCCUGUUAAGCUUAUAAAUAUAUUACGACCCAGAAAAUAAAGGAAUCUUGAAUAGUAACAUGUCCAUUGACUUGAGUUGUCAUCAAUUUGGCUACUUCGAUUCCAUGAGGCCAAUCCAAUUCACACUAGCUAGAGAAAAUGGUGAUAAAGGCACUUAGAAAUUUAUAUGUAAUAUUGAUUGGUAGUAACUGAUAAGUAUAUAUUUUACGUGUUUUAAAUAUGUUUUAUUAGUUAGUUUUGGUGUGUUUUAACUACUUUUAUAACUAAUUAACUAGGAAUCUAGUGAAAAUAUGCAUUUUGUGGUUUGAAGUGUGAAAAUUGUAUUUCUAUGGAUUUUAAUGGUGAAAACUUCAUGUUUUUGUAGGUUUAAUGAUUCAAUCAUCAAAUGACAUGAUUUGAGAAGAUAAUUAGAUGAUUGAUGAUGUUUUGAAGUGAUAAAAAGAGAAUACAAAGUGCAAGAGAGGAAAUGCAAUCAAGAAUAAAAGAAGAAAAUUUUUGUAGCUUUGACAUAUUGUGGUAUUUUGGCAAUAUAUUGAGCUACAAUGAUUGGAUUAAGGUGAUUCUUAAACCAUUUGAAGCUAAGAUAUAGAUCUACAUUUGGUAUGAAGGCAUCGAAACCCAUGUCAGUCAUUUUCCUUGUCAAAAUGUUGAAAUACAGAAGUGCAACUCUGUUCUCGAAAGCUAAAACAGAGCUCUGGCUAGUCGAGGGUAUUUUCAUCAUUUCUUAGUCCACAGAGCUCCAAAUGAGAUGAUUCUUAAGGCAUUAGAACCCUAACUCAAAGAGCUACAACUUUCAUAUUUUGUACAAGAGUUAGUUCGGCCUCCAUCAUUCAGAAAAUAGUAGUUGAAGUGGUGCCAAAUGCAUAGAAGUGAAAACGCGAGCUAUCAAUACUCGACCUGAAGUCGCGUAUUCCUGAGGUCAUGCAUUCUCUUCUAUUUUCUGCAACUUGCCCUGCUUUCACAUAAUUUUUUCAUCUCAAUUCCAACUAUCAAUUUCGGCUAUAUCUGAUCAAGAAAAGUGUGGAAAGUUUGAAAGACAACUCAUAGGAGUUUCAAGAGUCAAAAAUUACAAUUAGAAACAACUCAUUUGGCUCUUGAAUCCUCUAUAAAUAGAGGCCUUUGAAGAACAUUUUCACAACUUUGGAAGGUUAGAGAAACUCCACAAAAACAUAGUCUUCACUAGAAUUUCCUUAGUUCAUUAGUUAGGGUAGUAUAGUAUAGUUAGUGUAGCUUUUCCUUCUUGUAUUUAUAGUUAGGUUUGAAUGAAGAUUCAGGAGCAAAGAUAGAGAGGUUGAUCUCAUGUGACAAGGGUGAUAUCUCUUCUACUACUUUCUCUUUUGUAUUUGAUUUCAUAUUUAACUAUACUACAAAUUUGGCUUUGUUUUUUUUUUUUAUCAUGUUUAGUUAAAGUUUAUGCCUAGAGUAUGGAUGACCUUUCUAUAUCUUGUUUGUGAUAUUUAACUGGUUAUUUGAUGAUGUUAUUUUUGAGCAAGUUAUUUAUCACUUUUGCUUUUCUAAUCGUGAUUAACUGGCCAUUAGUUGUGAUUAUCUAAAAGUGUUAAGUUUGUAAUGAGAAUUGGAGUUUAACACUAGUUCAAGGAAGUGAUAAAUUUAGGGAGUUCACUCAUGAGAGUAGAGGAACACCUUUGUGACCUAAGUGACUUGUUUCAUAUAAUUUCAUAGAAAAAAUGAACUUGUAAUUAAUUUCAUAACCACGAGAGUAAGUAUGGUUUAGCUAUAUGUAUAGUUGAUUCACUACGAGAGUAGGUUUCACAUACAUUAGAAAAUUACAUCAUAACUAGUCAAGAUAAUAUCAUUCAUUUAAUCAGUAAUCUCAUUUGCAUGAGUAGUAAGGCAUUCCAUAUCUCUAGGAGGUUUUUAGUAUUAUUUUCAUUACUUUUAUGUUUAUGGUAGUCUAGAUAAUAAUGGAGUUCAAAAACUACUAGUAAUUGAAAAUUUUCCCUGUGGGAUCGACCUUUAAUACCCUAUACUCGCUCUCGACUCGUAUACUUGCGAAAAAUCACGUGUGCGGUAUUUAGAAUUUAUAAAUGUAAAACUUGACUGUAGAUGAACUAAUUGAUAUAUGUAUACCCCGCACUCGUCAGUAACCAGCUUGUAUUGAUCCCAUUAUUGUGGAUAAUUGUGCUCUUAUGAAAAAAAAUUAUAAAAAAAUUAGCAAAAUUUAUGAUAACAAAUUAAAUUUAUUCAUACAAAUCAGUGAAAGAAGUAGAAUUUUAAAGACCAUGAUGAAAUUAAUACUUUCAAGGGCUCUAUUAGGAAGACUUCACUUGUUGGUGAAACUACACUAGCACAGUUAUAUGCACAUUUACUGUUUUGGUAUCUAAUUUCCUUGCCUUAAGUUGGGUGCAGAUGUUUAUAUUACAAAUAGAUGGUAUCAUAAAAUUGUUGUAUUCACGUUUGUUCUUUUUUUUUCUUCCUUAAGUUUUUUUCUUUAUUCUCGUGACUUCAAAAAUACGAACUCAAGAAAUUGGCUGCUUAAUCAAUAUGUCAUACAGGCUUCGCUAGUGAGGUAUAACUUCACAACUAGAGUCAAUAGAAAUUAUCAAAUGAUUUUUUAACAUCCAAAUUAAGCAAUAAAUUUUGUUUUCAUUUUAUGACAUAUAAUAGUACUACUUCAUGAGAGAUUUUAUAGUUUCUUUUAGGUAUCAUACCUACAAGUGAUAUUUGUCAUUGGAUAGUGACAGAAGUGUUAAUGAUUGUAAGAUUAAAUAUUGUUAAAUAUUGAAAUUUAAACUAUUUAUCUUUAUUGAAAGAUACAAGUUAAAGAAUCGUUCAAGGGGGCAAUUUUCCAUCUUGUCUUUUUGAAAAAACGCUAUCACAUUGUAUAGGCAUGAUAGGUUCAAAUUUGUCAUUAAAUUUAUGAUUGAUUUCCCUUUUAUUCAAGCCAAAUAUUGUUUUAAUUAUCAAAUUCUACUUAUAUUUGGUUAAUUGUACUAAUUGUAGGGCGGUAGAGCAAAAGUUGCUAAAAAUAGGUGAUUUUCUGCAAAUUGGUUGUCAAGGCUGAAGGAUUUGGGAUUCGCAUGUUCAAGGCCUGUUUCCAAGUUUGAUUCAAACUCUGGACAGUUUUAGAGGAAGAUUUGGAAGAUUUGAAAUUUCAUUAUUAGUUUUAUGGUUGAAUUAGGAAUCUUGGAAUAAUUUCUUUUGUGAUUUAUUUUUCUAUUUAGGAGACUAGUUGUUAUUUAGUAGUAGACUUCAAUUAGAAAACAAAGAGAAAAAGAAGGCCGGAAUCCCGCUUGAUUAAUACCUUGGCCAGGGAACAAUCUCGGUGGGGAGGACGGCCACUUAGCCUCUCAAUUCAUCUUGCUUUUCGUUAGUUUGAGAGGAAAACCAAUUGCAACUAGAUUCAAUGGAGUCUGGCAGAAUUUCUUCUAGGAUGCGUAGCUAAAUCCUCAAUUUUUAGUCGAAGGUCAAUUUGAAAAUUCGGUUCCAAAUAUCUGUGAAAUCGAAUUAUUUUACUUAUUUCUUUUAUUUAUUGGUAUUCGCACGUUUUCUGAUUUAACUUUUUAUGAUUGUUUUGUUAUUUGAAUGUCAAGGGUCCGAUAUUCGAAUUAACUUAAUAAUCUACUGCCAAAUUAACCGGUUAAAUCCGUAAUUGUUUGAUUGAUUAAUAUCAGUGGCGACUAGCGUGAUUGGUCCCAUGUUAGGAAAACGUCUGAUCUAAUUUAAACAAACCGUCGUAGCGUGUUUGUUGAUUAGGGUUGGACUUUUCUAAUUCUUAAUUCAAUUGAGAAAUUAAAUCUCCCGGUCGUACCUAAGAUUAUUUUUUUGUUAGCGAAAUAGUUAAUGGUCGUACCUUGACUAUCGAAAAAGUAAGGAAGAGUUGAUUGUUUAUCGCGUGUACGACAACUAUAAUCAAUCUAUUAAUGAGUAAUUGAAUUAUCUUUGCAUCAGUAAUCAGUUGAAUGGACCGUGUCUGAAAAGUUGUACCUUUGGCUAGAGUCUUAUCUGUUGUUGAUUCAUUCAUAUCUAUCUUCAUGCGUUGUUUUAAUUUAGUUAAUUAGUUAUUUUUAUAAAAACCCCUCAUCUCUGGACUCUAAAAGAAAUAAAUUAUUUCUAGUUCCUGUGGAUUCGAUCCUACUCACCGCUAUAUACAAAAUUUGUAUUUUUUUGAAUAAAUAAUUAUUAUUACACAGGCUUGACACCUGUCAAGGCAAAAUUUCCUUAACUUCAUCAUCUGUAGACGUAAACUUUCUACGGGUGAUAUAAUAUAAGGAAAUUUUGCCUAUACGAUGUGAUAGCAUUUUUUCAAAAAAGACAAGAUGGAAAAUUGCUCCCUUGAACGGAAAAAAUCAUGAUCUUUCCUCAAACUAGUCUACUAGUCAAUUCUUUACAAAAGAAUACUCGCUCCUAAACAUAGCCUGUUCAUCUACACUGUCCCGCAGAAUUCUAGAAAGUUAGGCAAAACUAGACAAGUUGACAGGUAUAAUCAUACCCAAGAUCAGGAACAAGCAGUUGCACAUUUCAAAAUUCGCUGCUGCAACAGCUAAUUUGAUGACUUACAACACUACACGGUCAAACUUUGAAUGGCAAUGGAUCUUUUGUUGUACGUCAUGAUGUAAUUUUCAUGUUACAUACAUUAAUAGGUUGAUAUCUAUAUUCUUUAAAUUAUCAUGAUAAUACCCUUAAUUAGAUUUAACUGAUAAAAAGAACACGUGUUAAUAUACAAAAGUGUGUAACGUGAAUGUUACAUUACUGUAUUGCAGAAGACCUAUAGUCUCUUCAUAUCUCUUCCUGCACGUAUCAAUUCGUUUCCUCUAGAUAAUAAUCUCCCAACUCGUUUCUUUACAAAUGCACCUUUUAUGUUUUAUUACCUCCAAAAGCCUUUACAGGGUCUUUACCCUAAAAAUCAAUUCACCGACUCGCAUUUGAUGUCAGAAAUUCUUAAGACGAAUUCUACUUUACUCAAAGAUUGACUGUUAAUAAUGAGACAGCGACCAUUUUGUAUUAUUAGACCGUCCUUCUUGAUAGGUAAAAGAAAUAGAGAGGAAAGUGGGUCCGUAUAUGGUCUUUUAUUCAUAGAUAAUACAACAUUACGCCAUCGAGCAUUCACACAAUAUUUCAAAGUCAUAGCAUGCCUAAGGCCCUGUUUGAUAGCUCAAUUUCGUAAUUAAAUUUAAUAGAUUCAAAUUUUAACACAUUUAAAUCAUUUGAUAACAAAAAAUUGAAUAUUUAAAUUAAUUAAGUAACACUGAACUUUCUAAACAAAACUUGCUUUCAAAAUUAAGUGAUAAGUUAUUCACUUAUCUUUGAAUGUGAUAUGCACUCAAAUAUAUUAAAUUUAAUAAUUUAAUGGAUUCAGAUUUCAGAUUUCAGUUUUAUUACACACCCUAAGUUGCAAAAUAAUACCAAAACUUGUUAUUAUAUAGCUUGAGAUUCAAAAAUUUAGAGCAUAAUUCUCAACCUAACACAAUCGAAUAAUGAAUAUUCACGAUUGUUUCAAAGUACAAUUUGAGGACAACCCAUUCCAACGCGUACACGAUUUUUAACUUUUCUAAAGUUGUUGAGAGCUGUUAAAAGAGAUUUACCAUGUUUACAUCUUCCAAGUCUUGGAAGUGAAAAAUGAAGCCACUGAGUGCUAUAAAAAGGGGGCUAGAGGCUGCCUAGAAGCAUAUCAGCCUAAAACAAGAAUUUGUAGUAACAAUGGGGAGCAAAGCAAAAGCAACGGGGUCUAGGCUGACUCCUCUUCUUACCACUGUUUUAGUGGUAUUUGUCGCCCUUGGCUUGCCCUUGGAAACUGCAGCUGAUUAUUACAAGUAUUCAUCUCCUCCUCCUCCUCCUUACCACUAUUCUUCACCACCACCUCCAGUGUAUUCACCUCCACCAACCCCUGCUUAUAAGUUACCCCCACCAUCUCCUCCAGUUUACAAGUCCUCACCACCACCUUACCACUACUCACCACCUCCGGUGUAUUUACCUCCACCAUCUCCAGUUUACAAGUCACCACCACUACCCCCUCCGGUAUACAACUCCCCGCCUCCACCAGUGUACAAAUACAAGUCCCCACCACCACCUCCUCCAGUUUACAAAUCUCCAUCGCCACCAGUUUACAAAUACAAGUCACUCCCACCACCUCCUCCGGUAUACAAGUCUCCUCCGCCACCUGUUUACGAGUACAAGUCUCCUCCACCACCUCCUCCAGUGUACAAGUCCCCACCACCUCCAGUUUACAAGUACAACUCACCUCCACCUCCUCCCCCAGUUUACCUGUCUCCACCUCCACCCUAUCAUCACUACUACGGUUCUCCUUCUCCUCACCACUACUAAGCAAGUGCAUAAGUUUUGAGGUAAUAAUACCUAUCCAAAACUUUAUCAACACAAACUGCCAUGUAUAUUAUCAUGCUAAGGACGUACACUUGAUCCAUGAAAAUGACUAGUAGAAGAUUUUUUUUAAGAACCAAAGAAAUACAUUAUUUUUUCGGUCUGUUUUCAAGAAUUUGAGCAGUAUACAGAUUAAAGAGUGUUUUUUUUUUUGUAAACUUGCUUGUCAACUUAAAAAUGCACAUAGCUGAAAGCCAACUGAAUAUUUGCAGGCAAAGGAGAAGGCAAUCGGUGUUUGAGACCUUCAAGAAGAUGUAGAAGAAUAAGAAUAAAAGCCCAAUGCGAGGAUGAUUCCAAGUUUCUACGUUACCAUUUCUACAUCUAAAUUGACUUUAGCUCCUGAGUUCCAUGUUUAUGGGGUUUGUACCGUUUUACGUACCAUGCAGUACAUGCUUGCAAGGUUUUCUGUCCUGUUGGCAAACUGCAGGUCCAUAUAAUAAAUGAAUACUAUUUACAUUACGACACUUUUCUCUUUUUCUCUUAUAUUUUGUCUUUAAUAUUGUUGAUCAUUUUUUUUUUAUCAAAAGCAUCAAAUGCUUAGGUAAUUUGGUCUAAUGCUAAUUGUUUUACUUUUAUUUUUCACCUACACCCCUUUUCAACUCAAAGGAUGCUAUAGUUUGUGAUAAUUGUUUAAGACCGAAGCAUGAUACUAAUAAAUAUCUCAUUGAAAGUCAAGGAAACUAACAUUAGGAAAAGUUUAAAUCUUGAUUUGAUGAAACUAUUUAUUCGUGGAAUUUAGAGAUACAAAACUCAAAUUGUGACGGUGUUGUUGCUAAAUUAUUAAGGACAUUAUCACCAUUAUUUUUCCCUGAUCACUAGUUUCAACUGCAAUGAUCUCAAUCUUUUUGUGACUAAUUCUUUCCUUAAUAAUUUAUAAAGACAAAACUCACAAAGAAUAUGUGACUAAUUCUUUCCUUUCGUCUUCUAAAGAAAAUGCCAACUGUUAGUUUAUCAAGGGGAAAAAGGAUCGACAUCAGUUAUUAUUGAAACUAGUAAGGAAUAAAUAAUGGUGAUAAUGUCCUUAAUAAUUUAACAACAGCACCAUCAGAAUUUGACUUUGAGCUUCGGUCUUAAACAAUGAUCACAAACUACAGCAUCCUUUGAGUUGAAAAAGGAAGUAGGUGAAAAGAAAAGUAAAAAAUACAAUUAGCAUUCCCUCAAAUUGUAGAAAGUUAGGUAGCAUUAUAGACAAGUUGAUAGCGGCAAUUUUACAUUUCAAACUUCACCUAUUCAAUAACUAAUUCGAUGGCUUGCUACAUGGUCAAUCUUUGGACCCCUUCCUGCCUCCAGAUAUCCCUUUCCUCAAUCAGGGGCUUCUACAAUUACCAGUUUCAAUUGUAUGGUAUAGUGUAAAUAUCAACAAAUUAGAUGUAGAUGCUAACAUAAUAAAUGUGAAUGCUAAGACAGCAACAUACAAUCGAACCUGCAAUUGUAUGAACCCCAAUCUCGCUUCCUAGUCCACCAUCUUUCUCUAGGUAAUAAUCUCCCUUCUAAUUUAUUCACAAAAUGCACCUUUCAUCACCUCCAAUAGCGUCGACAUGAUCUUUACCCUAGAAGACUAUUCACCGACUCUCAAUUGACGUCAGAAAAUCUAAGAGUAAUUCUACUUUACCCUAAGAUUGAUAUCAACAAGACAAGGACAAUUUAGAAUUAUUACACGCCUCUUCUUAAUAGGAAAAAGAAAUAGAGAAGAAAGUCAGGCCAGGUCUAAUUUCUUUUCAAAGGCAAUACAACAUUACGAAAUCAAGCAUUCAUUCAUACAAAUAUUUCAUAGUCACCGGUUUGCUGAGUAGAAAAAUUUAGACAAAAACUUAAUAUUAUAUUGUUUAAGAGUUAACAAUUUAGAGCUUAAUCUCCUUGUACUUUGGAGUUAACAAUUUAGAGCUUAAUCUCCUUGUACUUUGGACUAAACUUGAACGUGAAAGGAAAUCCCAAAACCAUAUUGGGCAUGAAUUCACACUUAAUAUACCCAAUAAAAGAUGGCGACUGGUGAAAGGCAGUGGAGACUGGUGGAGAGAUUUGAGGAAUAGAAGCAGACGGAAAAGCAACAAAUUUUUGCCGAAAAACGGUCACUUUCAUGGUUAAUUUUGCUACUCUCCAAUUGUACUUGACCAAUUACAACAAUUUCAUGGAGUUUGAUACGUGAAAAGAAUUUUUUAUAAAUUUUAUUUUGAUCCAUAAUGUUAUCUUUACAUAUAUAAAACAUUUUACAAUUUUGAUUUUGGCGCAGCUAACUUUUGGUUAACAAAAAUGCUCAUGUUUAAAAAACCAGAAAUAAAACAAAACAAGAAACAAAAGAAAUAAGAGGGUAGCAUAGACAUUUUGGAUUUUUCCGUUAAUUUGGAUGAUUUCCACCCACGUUCUAAUUUAAUCCAAAACACAAAGGAAUUACGUAGAGGUUUUAAAUAAUGAGGGAGCUUCAUGAUCGAACCCCAAACCACAAGGCGAUUUACUAUAUUUUACUCUUAAAUUUUGGUUUCAUCUCAUAGCAUACAAGAGUUCUAUUUCACUAUCUGUAGACAAAGACUUUCUAUGGUUGAUGUACCAUAGGAAAAAAUCUGCCUAUACAACGUGAUAGCAUUUUUUCAAAAACACAAGAUGGAAAAUUGCCCCUUAAACGGGGAAAUUCAUGAUCUUUCGUCGAACAAAGAAUACUCACGCCUAUUCAAGAUGGAAAAUUGCCCCCUUAAACGUCUAUUUGUCAAUUCUUGAAAAAAGAAUACUCACGCCUAAAACACGGCCUCUUCAUCUGCAGAAUUCUAAAAAGUUAGGUAAACUCUAUAAACAAGUUGAUAGGUACAAUCGUACCCAAGAUCAAGUACAGAUAGUUGUACAUUAACUGCUGCAAUAACUAAUCUGAUGACUUAUAAACAUAUCAUGGUCAAUCGUUGAAUGGUAAUGAGUCUUUUGUUAUGCAUUAGUAUUAGUGUGUACACUCUAAUAGAUUGAUACUUAUACUCUUUAAAUUAUCAUAAUAAUACCCUUAAUUAACUUUAACUCUUAAAAAGAAUACAUGUUAAUACACGAGUGUGUGUAACCUGAAUUGUUACUUAUAAAUUAGUGUGUAAUAGAUAGGGAUGGCAAUGGGGGCGGGUGCCCGCGGGGGGCUCUCGGGGCGGGGGUUGGGGCGGGGGGGAAUUUUUUCCCCCCGUUUAGAAAUGGGGCAGGGGACGGGGGAGUAUACCCCCGCCCCAUCCCCCGCAAAAAAAAAAUUAUAUAUAAUAUGUAAUUUAAUUAGUUAUAAACUUAUGAUAAUGAUAUUAUUAGUUAGAUGUAUUAUAUAAUGUAUAUUAGUGUAUGUAAUAUAAUUAAUAUUAUCAAUUAUAUGAAUAAUUAGACAUGUCUACUAAUAGAAUUUAUGAAUUAGUUAUACUAAAUUUACUAAUACAUUUAUACUAAAUUUCUAAUUACACUUAAUAGAAUAACACUUUUUUCUAAAACAAAAAAGCACAAACACAAUAAUGAAUUAGUGAUUGUAUGAUAGGGUGUAAUUUUACUAUUUAUUUUAUUAUUAAUUUCCCCUAUCACCUGACCUGAUGUGGAUUAAUUGCUGGAUUCUGCUCACUUUUAGUACUUUGUAUUUAUUUCAGGGAGUAGAACGGAAAUUUGAUAACAGGUGCUAAUUUGGCAGAAAAAGAGUCCAGAUGAUAGAGCUUGCCCCAAGGGCAUUUUUGGAAAGGAGAACUUGUGCCCAUCUUGGUAAUUUGGGAGAAAAGGGAAACAGACAAAAUGGGUCUAACAUGGAUUGGAAGCGGCCGCACAGUAGCAGGGAAGAGGGCAGACGUAAAAGCAAUUGCAGGGGGGAAAAGGAGUUUUUUUAGUUUUUAGCUUAGCAUCUGAUUUUCCCUGGGAGACUUUUGUUAAAGAUUUCCUUUUGGCUGAUAUUACGCAUGGCAGAUGGCUUUUAACUUAUUCCUCCAUCUUUGACUUUUCUUCUUUAGCUUGUGGCAGUGGAUUGCUACUUACGAAUGUCAGCACUUAGCCAUUCGUGGCUUUUGAUCUUUUCUUCCUUAGAAAUUCUGAGUAACCUCUUUUCCUUUGUGCGCCAGACGAAGUGAAAACUAUAAACUUUUGUAGUUUUUCUAUUCAUUCAAUAUAUUGAGACGAGUUGGAUUCUACCAAAUUUCAACGGACAUGGCCGCUGGUUUCUCUUCAAUUUUAUAUGGGCUUUGUUCAUCCAACAUGAACUAAUUUCACCACUCUAGUCAAGGAGCAACGAAGGCUCUGAUUUGCCUAAAAAUUGUGAGAUCGUUUUAAUUUAAUCUUUUCCUUUUAUUUAUUGGUAUCCGCACAUUUCUUGAUUGCUAUGCUUAUGGUUAUUUAAUUAAUUGAUUGUCUUGGAUCCAGAUAAUUAAUUGAUCUGAUAGCCUAUUGUCAAUUAGGGCAUUUAAAUCCGUAAUUGUUUAAUUGUCCUGAAAUAGUGACAACUGGCACGAUUAGAUUCGUGCCAGGGGGGAUAUGCGGGCUAAUCUAAAAUAACCCUGGUAGUGUGUUAUUUGGUUAGAAUAGGGCUCCUCUAAUACUAAGGCAAUUGGGGAAUUAAAUUCUACGGGCGUACCUAGGAUUAUUUCUUAAUUAGAGCAGUGAUUAACGGGCGUACCUUGAUCACCGACACAGUAAGGAGGGGUUGACCGUCAUCGCUUGUUUGGCAGUUAUAACCUAUUUAUCAGUAAAUAAUUGGGAUUGCCUUGCAUCAAUGAUCAAUUAGGUGAACCAUUGUUGAAGUUACUUCUUGGUUAGAUCUUUAGUUAAUAUUACCUUGAUUUUGGUGAAUUGCCAUUUGAUUUUUAGUUGCCUACUUUAUUUUAUUUUUAAUUGUUUCCUUGCUUUAAUUGAGUUAGGCCUUUAAUUAUUGUUAUUCUAAGUUUAGUGAAUUGUGGUUUAAUUCCUAAUUAGUUAUUUAUUUUUACUUUCUUAUUUGAAUUUAUUUGCUUGUUAUCAUUCCUACGAAAUCACCCCCCUGUGUUACUUUGGAUUUCUUAAGAAACAAAUAUACCCAAUCCCUGUGGAUACGACCCUACUUGCUCUGUUCACGAAUUCAUAAUUAUUUGUGAAAAGAAAUAACCAUUCCACUCGGGUAUAUCGGAUCAAGCAAAUUCUUCGGGAACAGGGUGAAUCAAGUAACCCAAUGCACACCUAGAGUCCCUGCUCCAGUACUUGGAAUUGGGUUUUGGUCAUUUUAACUGGCAAUUAGGUUUAAUUUUAUUAUUGCACAGGCUGACGACCCUGUCAAUUUUUGGCGCCGUUGCCGGGGACUGGCGUUAUUAUUUGUUUCUUUUUAAAUUCAUUCUUUGUCCUAAUUUUCUGGUUUUCUUCUAGUGUAUGCCUCGAUCUUCUCGUACAGGUAAUUUGAUUUUUGACCCUGAGGUAGAGAAGACCGCAUGUAGAACGAGAAAGGAAACCAGACAGCUCAGAGAAGAGCACUCCAGUGCUACAUCUCAGAGACCCGAGUCAGAAGUUGAACUAACAGAUUCGUUUGGUAACACUUCGAGUGACUCUGACCAGGAGGAAGACACCAUGGCUAAUGCACGAACAUUAAGGGAGUUGGCUGCUCCUGAUUUAACUCAGCAGCCUUUAUGCAUUACUUUCCCCACUUUAAAUGAUAACAUUCCAUUUGAACUAAAAUCUGGUCUGAUUCAGCUUUUACCCUCUUUUCAUGGUUUACCAGGUGAAGAGCCGUAUAAGCAUCUGCAGGAGUUUGAUGUCGUGUGUAAUAGUAUGAAACCCUCGGGAAUCACAGAAGAGCAGAUAAAAAUGAGGGCAUUCCUCUUCUCCUUGAAAGAUUCUGCGAAGGACUGGCUGUACUACCUGUCACCAGGUAGCAUCACCACGUGGGACCAAUUGAAGAAAAAAUUUUUGGAUAAAUAUUUUCCUGCGUCCAGGGCUGCAAGUCUAAGGAAAGAAAUUUGUGGGAUCAAGCAGCAUCCAGGGAAGUCACUUUAUGAGUAUUGGGAACGGUAUAAGAACUUGUUGCGCAGGUGCCCCCAACACCAAAUAAGUGAGCAAUUGAUCAUACAGUAUUUUUAUGAGGGGCUCCUUUUUAGAGACAGGAGCAUCAUUGAUGCCAGGGGGGAGGGUUGGGAUGGGUGGUACGGGGGGAGGGAGUGUAAGCAAGAGGUCUCGGGUUCGAGUCCUCCCGCUUACACACAAAAAAAAAGAUGCUGCAAGUGGAGGGGCACUGGUAAACAAAACCCCUCAGGAAGCACGGGAGUUAAUAGAGGGGAUGGCAGAGAAUUCACAACAAUUCAGUACAAGAGAGGAUGUCCCAAUACGUAAGGUGAAUGAGGUAGAGACACCCUCUAUGCAGCAGCAGCUAACUGAGUUGACCGCGUUUGUUAGGCAACUGGCUGUGAGAAAUGCAUCACAAGCCAGGGUGUGCGGGAUUUGCACUGGUAUGGGUCAUUCUGCAGACAUGUGCCCAAUGAUUCAGGAAGAAACUGCAGAACAGGUGAACAUGGCUGACCACGCGCCCGCGCCAAGGAAGCAGUACGACCCUUACUCAAGCACCUACAACCCCGGGUGGAGAGAUCAUCCCAACCUCAGUUAUGGAGAAAAUAGGCAGCCCAACAUUACACCGAACAGGCAGUCUAACUUUGUGCCAAAUAGGCCACCAGGGUACCAGCAGCAAUAUCAACCCCGACCACCUCCGUCCCCAAGCUCUGGCCCAUCUUUGGAGGAGAUGAUGAAACAAAUGAUGACAACUAUGGCUCAAAAUCAGCAAAUGACGGAGGCAACCAUUAUGCAAAAUCAGCAAAGGACGGACUCCGAAAUGAAGGAUAUAAGGAAUCAGAUAAGUCAAAUGGUCACAACAAUCAACCGUUUGGAUUCCCAGAACCAAGGUAAAUUGCCAUUUCAGCCCGAAUUAAAUUCGAAGAACGUGAGCGCAAUGACCCUAAGGAGCGGGAAAGAAAUUCAGGGGUCUGAACCUGUGAUCCCUAAGGAUAAGGAUGAGGAAAAGAUCGAAAAUGAGCUUGAAAGGGAGGACAGCAAUGGUGCAGAUCUAAAGGUACUUCCUGACCCAAUAAUUACAGCUAAAACUAACCCGCCUCCUUUUCCUAGCAGGUUGGAAAAAUCGAAAAAAGAGGAUAAGGAGAAGGAGAUCUUGGAGGUUUUUCGCAAGGUUGAGAUAAAUAUCCCCCUCUUAGACGCAAUCAGACAAGUACCAAAAUAUGCCAAGUUCCUAAGGGACUUGUGUGUCAACCGAAGGCAGUUGAGGGAAGAUGAACGGGUUAUUGUUGGGGAGAAUGUGUCAGCAGUCCUGCAGAGAAAGCUCCCACCAAAGUGCGGGGACCCAGGUAUGUUUACUAUUCCCUGUAGGAUAGGUAAUACUGUGAUAGAAGGGCCAUGUUGGAUCUGGGAGCAUCAAUUAAUCUCAUACCUAAAUCUAUCUAUGCUUCUCUAAAAUUAGGUCCAUUAAAAGAAACUGGAAUAAUCAUUCAAUUAGUUGACCGAACUAAUGCAUAUCCUGAUGGGUUGGUUGAAGAUGUGUUGGUAAAAGUUAAUGAUUUGAUGUUUCCAGCUGAUUUUUAUGUACUUGAUAUGGAUGAUGAUCACUCCCCUGAUCCCUCACCUCUGUUAUUGGGUAGACCCUUUAUGAGCACAGCACAGACGAAAAUUGAUGUUAAUAAGGGUAUCUUGUUCAUGGAGUUUGAUGGGAAAAUUGUGCAUUUCAAUAUCUUUGAUACUAUGAAAUAUCCCUCAAACUCCAACUUUAGCACAGUUUUCUCUGUGAGUGCUAUUGACCCUGUAGUGCAGGAAGUGUUUGAAACUGAUGGCAGGGAUGAGUUGGAGGUGGCUUUGACCAAGCACCUCGAGUUGGAGACAACUCCUGAGGUGGAAUGGAGCGAGGACCUAAAAUGCACAAUAGGUGCAUUACACUCAUUGCAGUCCACCACGAAAAGGUAUGAAGUCUUACCUAUUUUUACUCCCGAACCUCACCAGAGGGUGUUGCCAUCUGUGGUGCAGGCACCUGUACUAGAAUUUAAACCUCUAUCAGAGCACCUGAAAUAUGCAUAUCUGGGUGAUAAUGAGACACUCCCGGUGAUUAUCUCAUCGACACUGUCAAAAAUCCAGGAGGAGAAACUGAUCCGGGUCCUUAGAGAGCAUAAAGAGGCGAUAGGUUGGACAAUCGCAGAUAUUAAGGGGAUCAGCUCGGCCAUCUGUAUGCACCGGAUUAGACUAGAAGAGGAUGCCAAACCUGUUAGGCAGGCUCAAAGGAGGCUCAACCCCCUAAUGAUGGAAGUUGUAAAGAAAGAAAUUUUAAAAUUGCUAGAUGUGGGGAUUAUUUUUGCAAUAUCAGAUAGCCCUUGGGUAAGCCCGAUCCAGGUAGUCCCAAAGAAGGCAGGGGUGACGGUGGAGGCAAACCAAACGGGUGAGCUCGUGCCAGUGCGCAAACCCACUGGAUGGAGGCAGUGUAUAGACUACCGUAGGCUAAACGCCGUCACCAAAAAGGACCAUUUCCCUCUCCCUUUCAUUGACCAAAUGGUUGAACGUUUAGCUUGUAGAGCUUAUUAUUGCUUUUUGGAUGGAUUUUCAGGAUACUUUCAGAUAGCAAUUGCUCCAGAGGAUCAAGAGAAGACAACCUUCACGUGCCCGUUCGGGACCUUUGCUUAUAGACGAAUGCCAUUUGCGUUGUGCAAUGCACCUGCAACAUUCCAGAGGUGUAUGGUAAGUAUUUUUUCUGAAUAUGUGGAGAAAAUUAUUGAAGUUUUCAUGGACGAUUUCAGUGUGUAUGGUGAUAGUUUUGAUACGUGUUUAGAUAAUCUGAAAUUGAUCCUGAUAAGGUGUAUAGAGACUAAUCUUGUGCUUAAUUGGGAAAAAUGUCAUUUUAUGGUUGAGCACGGGAUAGUCCUGGGUCAUAUUGUAUCGUCUAAGGGCAUAGAAGUUGACAAGGCUAAAAUAGAUAUUAUUUUUGCAUUACCUUACCUCGCGAGUGUGCGGAAGGUGCGUUCUUUUCUUGGACAUGCAGGUUUUUAUCGAAUGUUCAUCAAGGAUUUUUCAAAAAUUGGAGCCCCGUUAUUCCAACUCCUACAAAAGGAUGUGACCUUCGAAUUCGAUGAUAAGUGUGAGGAAGCCUUCAACAAGUUGAAAGAAUUGUUGACCUCACCCCCAAUUAUCCAGCCCCCUGAUUGGAGUCUACCAUUUGAGAUCAUGUGCGAUGCCAGUGAUCAUGCCGUAGGGGCUGUAUUGGGGCAAAGAGUAGGGAAGGCAGCUCACGUCAUCUACUAUGCAUCCCGAGCAUUGAAUGGAGCCCAAUUGAAUUACUCCACUACUGAAAAGAAGCUUCUUGCAGUUAUUUUUGCUUUAGAAAAAUUCAGGUCAUAUUUGCUAGGUGCUAAAGUAAUUGUAUUUUCUGACCAUGCAGCAUUAAGGUACCUAAUGACCAAGAAAGAUGCCAAACUGAGGCUCAUUAGGUGGAUAUUGCUACUGCAGGAAUUUGACCUGGAGAUACGGGAUAAAAGGGGCUCAGAGAAUUUAGUAGCUGACCAUCUGAGUCGUAUACCCGUUGGAGAGGAUAAUGAACCAUUGAGGGAUGCGUUCCCUGAAGAGCACUUAUUUUCUUUAAAUUCUCAGUUGCCUUUGUAUGCCGAUCUGGUCAAUUAUUUGGUAACUGGUAAUUUUCCUGCAGGUUGACCAAAAUCGAAGAGGGAUAAAUUGAAGAGCGACGCCAAGUAUUUUAUUUGGGACGACCCGUACCUAUGGAAGAGGUGUGCAGAUCAAGUGAUGCGGAGAUGUGUAAGUGAAAUGGAAUUUCAAUCGAUUUUAGCUUUUUGUCAUACUUUUGCCUGUGGAGGUCAUUUGGACCCAAGAGAACUGCUCAUAAGGUUUUAGAAAGUGGAUUUUAUUGGCCUUCAUUGUUUAAGGAUGCCUAUGUGUUUUGUAAGUCAUGUGAUCGCUGUCAAAGGGUAGGUAAUAUACCCCGUAGAGAUCAAAUGCCCCAAGUCCCGUUGAUUUUUAUUGAAAUUUUUGAUGUCUGGGGUAUAGAUUUCAUGGGGUCUUUUCCUACUUCAUUUGGUUUUUUAUAUAUUUUGCUGGCAGUUGAUUAUGUGUCUAAAUGGGUGGAGGCUAAGGCCACUCGAACUAAUGACUCGAAAGUAGUUGCAAAUUUUGUCAGGUCUAAUAUUUUUGUGCGAUUUGGAAUGCCUAGUGCUAUUGUCAGUGAUAGGGGAACGCACUUUUGCAACAAAAUCAUAGCUGCGUUGUUUCGCAAGUAUGGUGUACUCCAAUGGGUCUCAACGUCGUACCACCCUCAGACCAAUGGUCAAGCGGAGGUGUCGAAUCGAGAGAUCAAGUCUAUCUUGGAGAAAAUGGUGCGCCCCGAUAGGAAAGACUCGAGUCAAAGGCUGGAGGACGCACUUUGGGCCUAUCGGACGGCGUACAAGACUCCUAUAGGGAUGUCACCGUACAGGUUGGUAUUUGGGAAGCCGUGUCACCUUCCAGUGGAGUUUGAGCACAAAGCUUUUUGGGCGAUAAAGUAAUGCAACAUGAAUUUAGAGGAAGCCGGUGCCCAACGAAAGUUGGAUUUGCAAGAAUUAGAAGAGAUCCGGAACGAGGCUUACGAAAAUGCACUAAUUUAUAAGGAGAGAAGCCGGAUAUUUCAUGAUCAACAAAUUUCAAGAAAAUCCUUUGAAGUUGGUCAGAAGGUCCUACUAUACCAAUCCAGGCUCAAGCUAUUCCCAGGUAAACUACGUUCCCGUUGGAUUGGACCUUUUCUUGUUACUCAUGUUUUUCCAUAUGGUGCAGUUGAAAUCCGGAGCGCUAAAACAGACAACAAAUUUGUGGUGAAUGGACACCGUCUCAAGCAUUACUACGAAGGAUUUUCAGGUGAAAAGGUGGAGACAAUAAGUCUAGACGCGCCACCGUGUCCUAAUCAGUGACAUUUUACUAUGUCUAGCCAAAGACAUUAAAGACAGGCGCUCAUUGGGAGGCAACCCAAUUGUCCCUUUUAAUUAUUUGUUUGAUUUCGUGUGAUAGUUUAAAUAUGUUUUCCUUGAAUUCGACUGAUUUUGGGUUUCAGUUUUCGUUUUUGCUGAAUUGUAGGUGACCUUCAGUCUUGACGCGCCCGCGUGAUGACAUGCAGGAAGCUCACGAUCAGAAUCGUCUGAAAGCUCUCUUGCCCUUUUGACGCACCCGCGUGAUGACGUGCAGGAAGCUCACGAUCAGAAUCGUCUGAAAGCUCUCUUGCCCUCUUGACGUGCCCGCGUCACGUUCGCAGGAAAGGUACGGGUUUCAAAAAUUUAAAGAAAAAAUAAUAAUAAUAAUAAUUUAAAAUUUUGAAAUUAACUUCCGUAAAAAAAAAAAAGAAGAAAAAAAAUUUCACCGUGGCUUAAAUAGAGCCUAAAGAAGAGAAAAAAGAAACAAUUUCUUUCUUUUUUUUUUCUUUUUCUUCUUUCUUCCUUCUUUCUUUCUUUCUUCUUUCUCUUUUCCCUCUCUCUUCUCCCCUGUUUCUUCUCCCCUGUCCGUCGCCCGUGCGCCCCAUCGCUGCUCCACCUCCACACGCACGCCGACGCUGCGAGCCACCUGCGACCCCAGCGCCAGAUCUGGACCAUCGCCGAAACCCGCAGCCUCCGCCACCUCCACCUGAGCUCUGCCUCGCGCGCAACCCAGCUGCUCUGCGCCCGAAGCUCCACCGCCGCCACAGCCUCCCCACGCAGCUCCCUGCUCACGCGGCCACAAGCCCAUUGGAAACGGGACAGAGACUGCCGCCGAGCCACUUGCCCGCGUGACCGCCGCUGUUUUCCACCACCUCCCUCACGCGAGCUCUUUCCCUCUCAGCAGCAAUCCACUUCACAGCGCACCCGCUGCGCGCCGUCGCAGCCCUCGCAGCUCCAGCCCGUCUGGUCUAGUCCGCCGCGCGCACCAACCACCCACGGACGCUACCCCCAUCGCUAACCCACGCGGCCUCCACUCCAGUCUGUCCGCCGCCGCUGCUCGUGUCUCCCUUGCGCACCUCACGCCACCCGCUACUGUCCCCUUCCGUUUGGUUAGCAUCCACGGUGGAGGUAAUUGGAGGUUAUUUUCUCAAUUGUGUGACUUCCGCCUGUGAUACUGGUUGCAUUAUUUUUGCUGGGAAUUGCUACUUCUUUUGGGUUGGGUUCAACUGUGCAAUUAAUUGGCCAACUGGAGCCAUUUGUUGGGAUUUUGGGUGAGCUGAAAUACUGCAUUUGUGUGUUACAUUGGGAGGUUUAUUGGGUACAUUCUAACCGCUGUUUUCCAUUGUUACUCUCGCUGGGGUGUCUAUUAAAUUGCGAUUGAAGUAUUUUGGAUAUUGCAUGUUGAGAUUGAGGUUUCAUUGAAUUUGGCCUACGUUCUGCCCCCAGUGGUACUGGUGGGAAUAUUUUCAAUUGAAUUUGUUACCUCUAGUUGGUUGGCUACAUUAUUAUGGUCGAAUUCCUAAGUUGUCGUCAUUGCAUUUGUUGAUCUUGAUUUGGGGCAUUAACCGGCCAACUGGAGCCAUCUGUGCGUUUUUAGGCGCUAUUAUUGGUUUCUUCUCCCUUAACUUUGUCAACUAUAUUUGGUUGGGUAUUUGGUUGACUGCCACGGACUUGUAACUGUGUUUUGCUUCUAAUUGACCAGUUGCACAGCAGUUUUUUUUUAAUUGAUAGGGUGGUUAUACCUCUGGAUAUUUGUAUCCACUGGUUUGAGGACAUGGUGAGACCAAAAUCCUCCUCUAGGUCUAGGACCCCUAGAACCUCGCAAUCCCAACCCCAAGCCUCUACUCUAGUCAAUACCCCUAUAAAUCAACCUACUGCUCCCGGUGUCCGAACCUGGUUAGGUAGGGGUAGAGGUGCCCACGUGGCUUCCGCCACUCACUUGGGAGGGCAUUUGGAAUUCACUAGAGCCGCCGAUCAGCGACGCUAUGCUCAAGCUUGUGAGCGGCGUAUCAUUCCGUGCAAAUGCGCGGACCACAUUACUAUGGUUUUUCUGGGGAUCCAAGGGGAGGUUGAGCGCAUGUACACCGCCAUUGGAUGGCGCCCCUAUCUGGAUAUUUUCCAGCCAGCCUUUGUCGAGUUGACUAGAGAGUUUUACACCACUUUUAAGUUUGAAUUACCGACUAGGUAUACUGUUGCGACUCCCGAUAUCAUUCACUUCCGUCUCAUGGGCCAGGAAUUCAAUUUCUCUAUCACCCAGUUCAAUCUGGCUUUCGGUUUCAUCACUCGGGAGUAUGCAGAGACUAGGGAAUACGGUGAGAGUGCCUGCGAUUUUGUGGAACCUUUCCUUACCGCCUACCGUGAGGUGUGGGAGGACAUGUCUGUGGACAUGCAGCGUUACGAUCCCUCUCGGUCUCGGAGCUCCUUUCUAGAGGACCCGAGUGCUCGGUAUGUUCAGCGGCUUUUAGCAUAUAGCUACUCGGGCAGAAAGAACAGCUUCGGUAUUAUCUCUCGGCCGGAGCUCUUCUUCCUUUGGUGUAUGAAGAAUGGGUUCAAGGUCAAUUUGGGUUGUUGGUUGGCGGCACAGUUCAAGACCGUCAUGGCAAAGAAGAACAAGCCGUUGAUUCUUGGGUCGUAUAUCACGUACUUGGCGGUCCAGCUAGGCGUUCUGAAUCUACAGGAUCACGAUUUGCACUUGGCCUGCGACAUGGAGUAUCUCACUGCUGACCGGCUAGAGAAGAUGGGGGUUCUGGAGCUUGUCGAUGGCCACUACCGAUUUGUGCCCCCGGGACCGCCCCGCGCCCCGCCUCGCUCUUCCUCCACCCAUUCGGCCCCAGUUGGCGGUGAUCCUGGCCCGUCGACAUCCGCUCAGCUCCCUCCACCAGCAGGGGCUGAAGAUUGGCACCAAAUCAGGACGCAGAUUCAGAAUUUGGACGCCCGGAUGAUUAGCAUCGAGAGCAACGUGGCGGCUAUAUCACAGAAUCUGGCGGCAUUCCUGCAGCACUCGGGUUUCCCGCCCCCAAUCCCACCUCACCCUCCACUAUGACCCGGUUUCAGGGAAGUUUGGUUACUUUCUCCCUCACUUUUGUUGUUUUUUGACACAUUGAGGACAAUGUGUCCUAUAGGUGUGGGGGGGUCUAUAGUCUUUCUAGUUUUUAGUAGUUGUUAGUUUUUAGUUUUUUAGUAGUUUUAGUUUUAUUUCUAGUUGCGUAUUUUCUUUCUUUUCUUAGUGCUUAUUCCCCAUGUGAAAAGAAAAAGAAAACAAAAAAAAAGAGAAAAAAAUGUUGGUUUAUUGACUCUAACUCUACUUUUGCCAAGUUUUUUUUAAAUAAAAAUGUAUCGGGUUAAUGUGGUUGGAUCCAGAAUAUCUCCCUGGUGAAUAUCGGAUUGCUUGGCUCUUUUGAUUUCUGUGUUAAUUUCUCUAGGCAUAGGGAAUGACUGUUGGCAUUUUAAUGUGAACUGGUCCAAUAUUGACUCCAGUUCUCUAUGUUUGGCAAUAAUGAGGCGAGCUGUUCCUAUUUUUGGUUCUUAGUGUUGUUAUUAUGUGUUUUUGGCUUUGUUUGGCUGUGAAUAAUCUGGACUGUACUCCGCUAUGAGUUACUACUGAGUAACCGAGGAUCGGCACCUAAAAGUGUCGAUUCUCGCGUCAAAAGGUGGUACUUUAUAUGAGUACGUGGUCGUAUAGCAGUAGGAGCUGAGUAACCGGGCUCCUUCAUCUAAAAAUGUUGGAGUUCGCGUCAAAAGGCCCCGACGGCUAACGACUAAGUCUUUUUGUGUUAAUUAUUAUUGCUUUGAAAAACAAAAAAAAAAAAGAACGAAAAAAGAGAGAAUAAAUAAUAGGAAGGCUUGCCGGUUUAUGGACUUAAUAUGGAGACUUGUGUGAAUAUUUGGACCAUUAGCUAAUAAAUGUUGUGCGCCAUUCCCUUUUCUUAGAGUAGUUAACCUGGAAAUUGAAGGAAUUUGCAGUUUAGGGGCUAACCGGGGGGGAGGCUUCUUGGAUUUUAAUCACCAAUGCUCGAUAUAUGUUUUUCUCUUGAAGAUCUUGGCAAUAUAGGAGAUUGGACAAUGGCCAUCAUCGAAUUUUGGUGUUCGUUUACUAUUCUUAUGCUUGAGGACAAGCAUGGUUUAGGUGUAGGGGGAAUUGAUAGGGUGUAAUUUUACUAUUUAUUUUAUUAUUAAUUUCUCCUAUCACCUGACCUGAUGUGGAUUAAUUGCUGGAUUCUGCUCACUUUUAGUACUUUGUAUUUAUUUCAGGGAGUAGAACGGAAAUUUGAUAACAGGUGCUAAUUUGGCAGAAAAAAGUCCAGAUGAUAGAGCUUGCCCCAAGGGCAUUUUUGGAAAGGAGAACUUGUGCCCAUCUUGGUAAUUUGGGAGAAAAGGGAAACAGACAAAAUGGGUCUAACAUGGAUUGGAAGCGGCCGCACAGUAGCAGGGAAGAGGGCAGACGUAAAAGCAAUUGCAGGGGGGAAAAGGAGUUUUUUUAGUUUUUAGCUUAGCAUCUGAUUUUCCCUGGGAGACUUUUGUUAAAGAUUUCCUUUUGGCUGAUAUUACGCAUGGCAGAUGGCUUUUAACUUAUUCCUCCAUCUUUGACUUUUCUUCUUUAGCUUGUAGUAGUGGAUUGCUACUUACGAAUGUCAGCACUUAGCCAUUCGUGGCUUUUGAUCUUUUCUUCCUUAGAAAUUCUGAGUAGCCUCUUUUCCUUUGUGCGCCAGACGAAGUGAAAACUAUAAACUUUUGUAGUGUUUCUAUUCAUUCAAUAUAUUGAGACGAGUUGGAUUCUACCAAAUUUCAAUGGACAUGGCCGCUGGUUUCUCUUCAAUUUUAUAUGGGCUUUGUUCAUCGAACAUGAACUAAUUUCACCACUCUAGUCAAGGAACAACGAAGACUCUGGUUCGCCUAAAAAUUGUGAGAUCGUUUUAAUUUAAUCUUUUCCUUUUAUUUAUUGGUAUCCGCACAUUUCUUGAUUGCUAUGCUUAUGGUUAUUUAAUUAAUUGAUUGUCUUGGAUCCAGAUAAUUAAUUGAUCUGAUAGCCUAUUGUCAAUUAGGGCAUUUAAAUCCGUAAUUGUUUAAUUGUCCUGAAAUAGUGACAACUGGCACGAUUAGAUUCGUGCCAGGGGGGAUAUGCGGGCUAAUCUAAAAUAACCCUGGUAGUGUGUUAUUUGGUUAGAAUAGGGCUCCUCUAAUAUGUAAGGCAAUUGGGGAAUUAAAUUCUACGGGCGUACCUAGAAUUAUUUCUUAAUUAGAGUAGUGAUUAACGGGCGUACCUUGAUCACCGACACAGUAAGGAGGGGUUGACUGCCAUCGCUUGUUUGGCAGUUAUAACAUAUUUAUCAGUAAAUAAUUGGGAUUGCCUUGCAUCAAUGAUCAAUUAGAUGAACUAUUGCUGAAGUUACUUCUUGGCUAGAUCUUUAGUUAAUAUUACCUUGAUUUUGGUGAAUUGCCAUUUGAUUUUUAGUUGCCUACUUUAUUUUAUUUUUAAUUGUUUCCUUGCUUUAAUUGAGUUAGGCCUUUAAUUAUUGUUAUUCUAAGUUUAGUGAAUUGUGGUUUAAUUCCUAAUUAGUUAUUUAUUUUUACUUUCUUAUUUGAAUUUAUUUGCUUGUUAUCAUUCCUACGAAAUCACCCCCCUGUGUUACUUUGGAUUUCUUAAGAAACAAAUAUACCCAGUCCCUGUGGAUACGACCCUACUUGCCCUGUCCACGAAUUCAUAAUUAUUUGUGAAAAGAAAUAACCAUUCCACUCGGGUAUAUCGGAUCAAGCAAACUCUUCGGGAACAGGGUGAAUCAAGUAACCCAUUGCACACCUAAAAUCCCUGCUCCAGUACUUGGAAUUGGGUUUUGGUCAUUUUAACUGGCAAUUAAGUUUAAUUUUAUUAUUGCACAGGCUGACGACCCUGUCAUUGUAUUUGUACCAAAAGUGAAAACUUAACUAUUUUAGUUGUAUUUAUUUCAUCAUGUUGGAUUGUAUUCAAAUAAUUUUUGUUUGAUUGUUUUUAUAAGUUUCAAUUGUAAAAUUAAAAUGAAUAAUAACUUGAUGAUGUGUUGAUAUUUUAGUACUUGAUUAUUUAUUAAAAUUUAAUUAUAAUAAAAUUUUAUUAACUCAACGAGAAAAAUUUUAUUAAUCCCGUGGGGGCACCCGCGGGGAAAGCGGGGCGGGGCGAGGGGAGUGGGAGGCGGAGGACGGGGCGGGGGCGGGGGAUGGGGGAGGGGUCCCCCGCCCCAACCCCGCCAUCCCCCGUCCCGUUGUCAUCCCUAGUAAUAGACUGGCAAGCAUUGUGGUGGUCAUUGAGCAACUUAUAGGAGAAAUAGUCCUAUAAGCUGUUCAAUGACCAAUCACAACUUGCUAAUUGGAUGACUAAUAUAGCUCUAGCUGUAAUGUUUUAAUUAAAUUACAUCACUAACGUUGGGAUGACUUUUUAACCAAAAAAAAAAAGCCUUAGUUCAAGCUUUUCCCUUUAUUGUGCAUUUUUUAAAGCAUUUGAAAGGCACUGCAAAUCUGUCAUUUUGGACAUUUUAUUAUUGACUAACAAUGAAAGCCGUGGACGUCUACCCAUAACCAACACAAGAUUAAAUUAAUAUUAGAAAAAAUAAUUGAGUAAUUGGAAAAAAAAAAAAAAGAAGAGUCUAAUUUUCAUUGAAACCCACCGACAAACUAUACGUGUCCAUGGCUUUUGAAUAGUGCAUUCAACGUUUAAUUGUAUGGUCCAGUUCAUUGCAGAUUACAUGGAGUAAAGAUUGCGCUCUUUCCUUUUCACCCCUUUUGGAAUCGAUACUGUGGAGAAUUGGGUUUUUCCCUCCUUUUUUUCUUUUCUUUCCUUCUGUGGUUUGCAAAACAUACGUAAAAAUAUGAAAUCCGAAGCAUUCUUUAAUUGGUAUUAAGUAUUGUUGUUGAAAUUAAAAAGAAAAAAGAAAGAACAACAAAAUUCCCAAUCUGGGUUGAUUGUUGAGCUCUAGAUUGGUUGCAUCGUGCUUCCAUAGAAGCAAGAUUUGUAAAAUCGGAAUCCUACAUAGGAUCGAUUUUAGUUUCACAGGAUCGGAUUGUAAAAUCGUAAGAUCCUACCAAAAGCUCUCAAUUGCAAUUAAAGGUUGCAAUUCUUUAAUAAAUUACAAAUAUACCACAAAUAUUUUCAUUUACUUGCAAAAUGGAGCUUCGUAUUUCACAAAUUUACAAAAAAAUUGUAGGAUCGUACGAUCCUACCGAUCCUACGAUCCUACACGAUCCUACCGAUCCUGCUACGAUUCUAUGCGAUCCUACAAAGAUUAAUAUGAUUUGCGACUCUGCAUACGAUCCGGAUCGAUUUUGGUUAUCCGGAUCGUAGGAUCGUAUGAUCCUACGAUCCGGAUCGCGAUUUUGACAACUAUGCAUAGAAGCUCUCUUAGUGUGAUACACUGCUUUCAAUCAGUUUAACACGGGAAAAAAAAAAAGAGAUGAAAAGCAAAUUUGGUGGAGAUAAUUUCAGAAACCUCCCCUGAAGAUUUUGACUAUUCUACUGGUUUCCCUUCAGAUUUUAAAAAUUACACUAAUCUUCCUUGAAGUUAAUUAUCUUGUAACAUUUAAAUUCAAUCAAUAAUUUAAAAAAUGAUAUUAUGAGAGAGAAAAUAAUAUGAUUUUAUCAUUGCCCCCCAUCUUACUACAUUAUUUAAUUAAUUUAAUAGCAACCCACACAUUAAAGAAAAAUAUUAAAAUUUGUUGUUUAUCAUUAAAGAUCAAAUCGCUUAUAACAUCAAAUAAUAGUAUAUUAUUUAUAUUUUUCACUUAAUAUAAUAUCCAAAUUACUCUUUUCAAUUACAUACCCAUUGUUAGAGAAUCAACAACAAAUAACCAAAAAAUUUGCAACCAAAAUAUUACAAAAAAAAUAAACUUUAACAUCAUAAAUAUUCUUAUCAACAUAUUAAAGUUAGUUACUGAAAUUUUUAUGCUGUUAAACUUCACUCUUUUUGAAUACAGAUUUUUUUGAUUAUUUGUUAUUAAUUAUGUUUGAUGAUGGGUUUAUAAUUGAAAAGAACAAUUUGAAACUUACAUUAAGUAAAAUAUAUAGAGUGAUAUACUAUUUUUUAUAACAUAUGUGAUUCAAUCCUUCUUGAUAGGAUUGGUAAUAGAGGUAGAGGGGGGAGUCGGCUGCAUCCGGUCUUCUUUUCAUAGAUAGUACAAUAUUGCGAAAUCAAUCGCAUUCACACAAUAAUAUUUCGAAGUCAAUGCAUGGCUAAGUUGCAUAAAAGUACGAACACUUGUUAUUAUAUAGCUUAAGAUUCAAAACUUUCGAGCAUAACCCUCCACCCAACACAAUUGAAUAAUGAAUAUUCACGAUUGUCAAAUCUGUCAAAGCACAGUUUGAGGACAACCCAUUCCAACCUGCAAAAGAUUUUUUACUUUUCUAAAGUUGUUGAGAGCUGUAAAAAGACUUACCAUGCUUGCAUCCUCCGAGCCUUGGGAGUUAAAAAUGAAGGCACUGAGUGCUAUAAAAAGGGGAAUAGAGGCUGCCUAGAAGCAUAUCAGCCUAAAACAAGAAUUUGUAGUUAAGAUGGGAAGCAAAGCAAAAGCAAUGGGGUCUGGGCUGACUCCUCUUCUUGCCACUGUUUUAGUGGUGUUUGUUGCUCUUGGCUUGCCCUCACAAACUGCAGCUGAUGAUCACUACAAGUAUUCAUCUCCUCCUCCUCCUUACCACUAUCCCUCACCACCACCACCAGUGCAUAUACCUCCACCUCAUCCUGUUUACAAGUACAAAUCUCCACCACCCCCACCACCACACCCAGUUUACAAGUAUAAGUCACCACCACCACCUCCUCAUCCGGUAUACAAGUAUAAGUCUCCUCCGCCACCACCACACCCAGUUUACAAGUACAAGUCACCACCACCACCUCCUCAUCCGGUACCACACCCAGUUUACAAGUAUAAGUCACCUCCACCACCUCCUCAUCCGGUACCCACAGUUUACAAGUAUAAGUCACCACCACCACCUCCUCAUCCGGUAUACAAGUAUAAGUCUCCUCCGCCACCACCACACCCAGUUUACAAGUAUAAGUCACCACCACCACCUCCUCAUCCGGUGCCACACCCAGUUUACCACUACAAGUCACCACCACCACCUCCUCAUCCGGUACCACACCCAGUUUACCACUACAAGUCACCACCACCUCCUCACCCAGUUUACAAAUACGAGUCUCCACCACCACCAGUUUAUAAGUACAAGUCACCACCACCUCCUCCACCAGUUUACAAGUAUAAAUCUCCUCCACCACCACCACCAGUUUACCACUACAAGUCUCCACCACCUCCUCCCCCAGUUUACAAAUACAAGUCUCCACCACCUCCUCACCACUACUAAGCAAUUGCUUCUGAGGUAAUAACACUUGUUCAAUAUACCCACUUCUGCAUGAUAAAGCAUAUCUCUAUCAACACAAACUGUCAUGUCUAUCAUGCUAAGUGCCUUCACUUCAUCCACCAAAAUGACUGCUAGAAAAUUUUUUUUAUGUUACCAAAGAAAGGCAUCAUUUUUUCCCUCUGUUAUCAAGAACUUGUACAGUAUAUAGAUUAAAGAGUAUUUUUUUAACUAGCUUAUCAACUGAGAAAUGCAUAUAGCUGAUAGCCAGCUGAAUAUUUGCAGGCAAAGGAGAAGGAAACCAUGUUUGAGACCUUCUUGAAGAUGUAGAAGCAUAAGAAUAAAAGCCCAAUGUGAAGAUGAUGAUUUCAAGUUUUUCUACGUUACCAUUUCUUUAUCUAAAUUGGUUGUAGCGCCCAAGUUCCUUUGUUUAUGGGAUUUGUAUCGUUUUACGUACCAUGCAGUACAUGUCAUGUUUGUAAGGUUUUCUAUCCUGCCGGCAAACCGCAGGUUCCAUGUGAUAAAUGAAUACUAUUUAUGUUACGACACUUUUCUCUGUUUCUCUUAUAUUUUGUCUUUAAUAUUCUUAAUCAUAUUUUUAACAAAAAUAUUCAAACACUUAGGCAAUCUGGUCUAAUGCUAAUUGUAUGUUUUACUUUUCUUUUUCACCUGCUCCCCUUUUCAACUCAAAAGGAUGCAAUAGUUUGUGAUCACUGUUUAAGACGGAAGCAUGAUACUAAUGAAUAUCUCAUUGAAACUCAAGGAAACUAACAUUGCGAAAAGUGUAAAUCUUGAUUUGAUGCAACUAUUUAUUCGUGGAAUCUAUAGUUACAAAACUCAAAUUCUGACUGCGCCAUUGAUAAAUUAUUAAUGACGCUAUCAUCAUUAUUUAUCCCUAACUAGUUUCGACUACAACUGAACCCAAUAUUUUCCCCAUGAUAAAAGUUUUUGACUAUUUUACUGGCCUCUCUUCAAAUUUUAAAAAUUACACUAAUCUUCAUUGAGAUUAAUUAUCUUGUAACAUUUAAGUCCAAUUAAUAAUUAAAAAAUGAUAUUAUGAGAGAGAAAAUAAUAUAAUUUUAUCAUUGCCCCCCAUCUUGCUAUAUUAUUUAAUUAAUUUAAUAGCAACCCACACAUUAAAGAAAAAUACUAAAAUUUGCUGCUUUUCAUUAAAGAUCAAAUUGCAUAUGCCAUAAAACAUAGUAUAUCAUUCUAUAUGUUUCACUUAAUGUAAGAUCCCAAUUGUUCUUUUCAAUUACAAACCCAUUGUCAAACAUGAUCAAUAACAAAUAAUCAAAAAAUUUGCAACCAAAAUAUUACAAAAAAAAACUUUAACAUCAUAAAUAUUCUUACCACCUCUAGUGCAUUCACCCUCAUAAAAUAAUUCAAGACCCUACUGUCAUAAAAUGACUGAUCAACUCCUGUAAACCUAAUUUGACAACAUUUAAAUGGAGAACUUUAGCUAAAAGAAUUAUGGUCAAGCUAAAGAAAAAACCAGUUAUUUUCCAACAUAUGCAACCAUUGAUCAGGGGAAAAAAAAAAGCAAAAAGACAUCUUCAAUCAUUUAAUAGCUUACAGGGCAAAUUAACCCUUGAGUGAAAACUGGUUGCUCUAGAAUUAAAAUUUUACCUUAGUUACCCAGGCAACUUUUUUGUUGCCUUUUCUUUUUCUUUUUUGGGUAUAUAGCUCCAGUUUUGCCCCCUCUGUCAAGCUUAUAUAAUUAUUAAGAUAAUAAAAGUGCCUUUAAUAGUAUUAAUAUAUCCAUUGACUUGAGCUGUCAUCGAUCGGUUUGGGCUACUUCGAUUCCAUGAGAACAAAUGGUAAUAAAAGUACUCAGAAAAUGGGGAGUCAUGAAACCCUUUUGUUCUAUUCAUUGCUAAGAUGCUUUUCUCUAUAAAGAGACUUCCUAACGAAAAUACUUUGUAGAUUUCUUUACUCCAAGUGGUGCAUGGAAAAUUAAUAUUUUCAAUUAUCAAAUAAAAUUCCCUUUUUUCGGCGUAGAUUUCAUCCAUCCAGCUGUUAACACAUUCUAUAAAUCCGAAUUGACUAAUCUUUUCGUUUCCAUUUUCCAACUUGCGAAUACGGCAUAUAGUGUCUGCUAAACACUAUAUAUUCUCUGCCAAAUAUGAAUACAUAUCACUUUUCUGAGCAAGUGCAGAGUCAUUAUCAUUUUUAUUCCCACCUAACAAAUUAGGGAUAAAAAAGUUAAUAAUCUUUACAUGCUAUCAGGUCACAAGUUAAUAAUCUUUUAAAGAACAUGUUAAAUUAAUUUAUUGGUAUGAAUAGUAGUCAAAGAAGUAUGUUAAAGUUAGUAAUCUUUAAAAUAAUAUGUUAAAAUCAUUCGUACAAAUUAGUCAGAGAAGUAGCAUAAACACCGCGAUGCAAUUAAUACUUUCAAUCUCAAGGUCUCUAUUAUGGAAAUUUGCAUCGGUCAAUAUACACUUGGCAUAAUAUAAUCUCCCAACUCAUUUCUUUACAAAUGCACCUUUAAUCACCACCAAAAGGUGUGGACAUGAUCUUUACCCUAGAAAACUAUUCACCGACAGGCAAAUUGACGUCAGAAAUACUGAGGAAUUCUAGUUUCCUUCGGGUUCAUGCCAUGUUGUAUCCUUCAACUGUAACUCGAUUUCUAAGCUGUAAUUUGUGACAUAAUAGUCCUUAAACUAUGAAACCCUUCUUACUUAAUUACAAUGGUUAAUACAAUGCCCGUGACUAGACAAGUAUGAAGCAACCAUAACAGAAAAAAAAUCCAAAAUUAGAGAAAAGAAAGAAGUUUCGCGACCACCACCAGUUUACAAGUCACCUCCACCACCUCCUCCAGUUUACAAGUCACCUCCACCACCUUACCAUUAUUCCUCACCACCACCUCCAGUGCAUUCACCCCCACCACCACCAGUUUACAAGUCUCCGCCACCACCUUACCAUUAUUCCUCACCACCACCUCCUGUGCAUGCACCUCCACCACCAAUUUACAAGUCACCUCCUCCAGUUUACAAGUCUCCACCACCACCUUACGAUUAUUCCUCACCACCACCUCCAGUGCAUUCACCCCCACCACCACCAAUUUAUAAGUCUCCCCCACCGCCUCCCCCAGUAUAUAAGUCACCACCACCACCUCCUCCAGUAUACAAAUCACCUCCACCACCUCCUCCAGUUGACAAAUCUCCACCACCACCAAUUUAUAAAUACAAGUCUCCUCCACUACCUCCUCCAGUGUACAAGUCAUCACCACCACCUGCUUACAAGUCUCCACCUCCUCCAGUUUACAGUUCCCCACCACCACCAAUCUACAAGUCUCCACCUCCACCCUACCAUUACUACUACAAUUCUCCUCCUCCUCCUCGUCACUACUAAGCAAUUGUAUCCAAGUUUUUGAGGUAAUAACGCUUAACCAAUAAAUUAACUUUCGCAUGAUAAACCUUAUCUCUAUCAAGACAAACUGCCAUGUGUAUCAUGCCAAAUACGUACACCUAGAUCCAUGAAAAUGAAUGGUAGAAAGUUUUCUUAAGAACCAAGAACAGCAUUAGUAUUCCCUCUGCUUCCAAAAACUUGUGUAUUAAAUAGAUUAAUGAAUUGUUUAACAUGCUCAUCUACUUGAAAAUGCACAAUACCCAUAACCCACUGAAAUUUUUGCAGGAAAAGGGAAAGAGAAUCUGUGUUUGAGAGCUUCAUGAAGAUGUUGAAGAAUAAGAAUAAAAGCCCAAUGCAAGGAUGUUUUCAAGUUUUUCUAUGUUUCCACUUUAAUUUGUAAAUUGAAUUUUGCGACUCAAUUAAUUCCCUGUUUGUGAGGUACGUAUUGUUUUACGUACCAUGCCGUACAUUUUUUUUUUCCAACAAACGGUAUCAUGUUAUAGAUAUUAACACUUGACCUUACAAGGAUUAGUUACAAAAAGGGGAUACUACCCUCAACUCUGUCCUAGCUAAAUCAGUCAGCCAUAUUGGGAAAUUAGUUUCCCAUUCAAUAUCAUGUACAAGCUUCACAGCAUAUUGUGCUAAUUGAUGGCUGAUGUGAUUUUCAGUUCUAGGUAUAAACACAAAAGAACAUUUUUCAAAAGCUAGACUAAGUUCCUGCACAUCUUCUAAGAUAGUUGCAGUCGUGUAGUCAUACUCCUUGCGUUUAGUAAUCUGCUCUACCACUGAUUUGCAGUCUGUAUGGACUAUAAUUUGUGUCCAACCUGCUUGGGUAGCCAUCAGCAGAGCAUUUCUCACAGCCCGAGCUUCCACUUCACUUGCCGAUCCCUUUCCCUGUGUGACAAUUCCUUUUGCUUUCAAAAGCUGUCCUUUCCAAUUUCUUGCUAUAAUCCCUUGUCCGGUCCUGACUCGUUUAGCUGAUAUCGCUGCAUCGGUAUACAGCCUUAUCUCUUCCUUCCUUGGCCGCACUCUCCUGGUAGGUAAGGCAUCAUUCAGCUUCCCUGCGAUCUCCUUCUGGUCUGUACUCCCUACCUGUUCAAACUCAAGCCAUUCCUCCUGUGCUUUCCUUACUAUUUUUACUGGAUCCUGGUUGGCUUGUUCAAAAAAUUUUUUGUUCCUGGCUUUCCAAAUUUGCCAAAGGAUAUUGAUAGUAAGACUAACUCUCUCCUGACCUUGGUUCAGUGCCAGCGAUUGUGUGACUUGUUCCCACCAUAACCAAAAGUUAUAUUGCAUACCCAGUAAUCCAUCCCACCUGACCGGUGCUAGCUUCCACGUUUCCACAGCCUUUUCACAGAAGAAAAACAAAUGCUCAAUAGUUUCCAUAUCUUCACCACAGCAACCACAUCUGCCUUCCCCUCUAUGUAGCCUUUUCGACAUCUGUUCAUUGACUGGCAGACAAUUUUGUAAGCACUUCCACAUGAAGUGUUUUAGUUUGGCCUUCACCUUCAAAUGCCAUAGCUGCUUCCACACAUUUCGUUUUCGUAUCUCCCAACUUGUUUCUGCCUCUUGGCCUGUCCUUGUACCUGCUUUUCCUUCCCGUUGCCUUGCUAAAGCAUAACCAGAUUUCACGCUAUAAAUUCCAGCUUUGGAAUGCCCCCAUACCAACCUAUCCUUUCUUCUUCCUAUACUUGUUGGAAUUCCCUUUAUGUGCUCUGCAUCUUUUGCACAAAACCACUUGAGAAGCAAAUCAUUUUUCCAUUUCCCUUCCUCUAUCAGCUCACUUACCCAUUCCAACUUGCAUCCCACAGGUUGUGUGGUUGAUGCAAAGCCGGUAUCUGAACCAACUAUCCAUCUGUCCCGCCACAUGUUGACUGACUUGCCAUCUCCAAUUCUUUUCCAAAGACCAUCAUACAGAAAGGAGGCUGCACUAUGAAUACUCUUCCAACACCAUGAGGCUGAAGAGACUGGCUUCUUGUCCAUCCAUUUUUCAUCACUCAUAUACUUCGCCUUCAUUACCUUACUUACUAACAAAUUUGGAGCCAUUAAGAAUCUCCAAAUUUGUUUUGCCAGUAAUGCUGUGUUGAAGGCCUCCAAAUCUCUAAAGCCUAAACCUCCUCUUCCCUUAACUUCUAAGAGCUUCUUCCAGCUUGCCCAAUGUACACAGGUACCCUUUUCUCCCUUCCCCCACCAGAAACUCGCUAUUUUACCUGUGAUUUGUCUACACAAACCCCUUGGAAGUCUAAAGCAAGCCAUCACAUAUGUUGGCAUAGCCAUAAUCACUGAUUUGACCAGAAUUUCUUUCCCUCCUUGGCUCAACAGUUUUUGUUUCCAACCUUGCAACUUGUUACUAAUUUUGUUCUGGACAAAUGCAAAGACCUGUGUCUUUGAUCUUCCAAUUGCCAUUGGGAGUCCUAGGUAGGUUCCAUUCCUUGCCUCUUUAAUGUUAUCUAAUACCUCCCUCACUCCAUUCUUCCUUUGAUCAGUGGUAUUUUUGCUAUAGAAGAUAGCUGACUUUUCAAAAUUCACCACCUGUCCGGAUGCUUGACCAUAUCUUUCCAAUAUGCUUUUGACCUUCCUCGCCUCCUGCUUGGUUGCUUGGCAGCAUAGUAGAGAAUCAUCUGCAAAAAAUAGGUGAGAAACCAUCGGACUGUCCUUGCAUAUUUUGAUCCCUGUAAUUUCCUUGUUCAUCAUAGCUUUAUGGAUCAAACAUGAAAGACCUUCAGCGCAUAUAAUAAACAAGUACGGGGAUAGGGGGUCUCCUUGUCUAAGCCCUCUACUCGGUUGAACACAGCCUACCUUUUGCCCAUUUAAGUUGAAGGAGUAAGUCACAGUAGAUAGGCAAGACAUGAUCCAUUUAACAAAAAUUGGACAAAACCCCAUUUUCAUCAUAACUCUCCCCACAUAUUUCCAUUCGACUCUAUCGUAAGCUUUGGACAUGUCCAGUUUAAGAGCCAUAAAUCCUACCCUUCCCUUUCUCCUAUUUUUCAAAAAAUGCAGGAUUUCAUGUGCAACUACUACAUUAUCAAGAAUUUGACGGCCUGGGAUAAAAGCGGAUUGAGAGGGACUAAUACAAUGAUGCAAGACACCUUUCAAUCUAUUAGCUAUGAUUUUAGAAAUGAUUUUAUACAGGACAUUGCACAAGCUAAUAGGUCUAAAAUGCACCACAGAUUCAGGAGUAUCAACUUUAGGAAUCAACGAAAUAAUAGUAUCAUUCACAGCUUUGAGCAAAUGCCCAGUAUGAAAGAAACUCUUAAUAGCUGCUACCACAUCAUCCUUGAUAAUAUCCCAAUAGUGUUGAAAAAAUAGAGGAGACAUACCAUCCGUUCCUGGUGCUUUAUUAGGGUGCAUCGAGAACAAAGCUUUCCUGAUCUCACUUUCCUCCACUUGUCGUAUCAGUUGUCCAUUCAUAUGACUCGAAAUAGUGCUUGGAAUUUCAGCUAGAAUGUCCUCAAAGCAGUCCGGGUUAGUAGUGGUAAAAAGGUCUUUAUAGUACUCACAAAGUUCCUCCUCAAUCUCAUGUUCCUCCUUGCACCAUGUCCCAUCUUUUUUCUGCAAUAUAGUGAUCUUAUUUCUCCUCCUCUUUGCCAUGACCGAAGAAUGGAAAAAAGCUGUAUUCUUGUCCCCUUCUUUGAGCCACUUGUUCCUGGAUUUUUGACUCCAAAACAUCUCUUCCUCUGCAUAAGCUUUAUUCAAUUGUGCUUUUAGUUCAGCCACUUGUACUCUUUUCCCUUCAUCCUUUCUUGCUUUCACUUCAGCCAAUUUCUCCUUUAACACUUUAAUUCUAACCUUUGAGUUUCCCUGCACCUUUUUCCUCCAAUCCAGAAUAGCCAUGCGACAUUCCUUUAUUUUUGUAGCCACUCUAAACAUCCUGGACCCUGACUUCACCUUUGUCCAUGCUCCUUGAAUCACCCUUUUUGCUUCUGGAUUUAGCGUCCAUCGUUGAUCAAAGUAAAAUCUCCGUUUUCUCCUUGUGUUUUCCGGGUUUGUAUCCACAAGAAGCAUUAGAUGAUCAGAGGCUUCAGUAUCUAAAUGAGUACACUGUGCCUUUUCAAAUCUUUGCAGCCAUUCGGUGCUGCAUAAACAUCUAUCCAACCUCUCUUUCACUUCCCCAUCCCCCUCCCAACUAUUGCACCAAAUCCACGGGACCCCUUGAUAACCUAAGUCAACCAGGUUAUUGUCUUUGAUAAACCUGUUGAACUCCCUAAAACAUCUUUCAGCUCUAUCCCUUCCUCCCCACUUCUCCUCACUAGACCUCAAAUCAUUAAAAUCUCCUACAAUGAUCCAGCCAUCCCCCCAGUCCCUCAUCCUGUCCUCUAAAUAUUUCCAUUGUGCUUUUCUAAUGUUACUAUCUGUGCUUGCAUAAACACACACUAGCCCCCAGUAUCCUUUAGUAUCCUUGUCCUCAACUCUAGCACUAAUACACCAAUCAGUACUUACAAUCUGGUCUAAAAUCACCUCAUUGUUCCAGAAUAAUGCUAGACCGCCUGCUUUACCUAUUGAAUUCACAAAAAAGCUAUUGUCAUACUGAAUCUUCCUUUGAACCUUGCCCAUAAACCCUUCCUGAUUCUUAGUUUCACAAAGGAACACCACCUUAGGAGAGUGGAAGUUAGUCACUUCCUUUAGUUGGGGACUUGUCAAGGGGCCUCCUACACCUCGACAAUUCCACACCACAACCUUCAUUUACACUUUGGAGGCUUUCCGGGGCUAGCCUCCAUUUCCCCUAUUGUACUAACAUUUAUUAGAUCCAGUUUCAUAACCUUUACCUUCGGUACAUUAUCAUCAUCCUCCUCUAUCGGUUGUGUUCCCUGAAACAUACCAUCAGCCUUCCUUUUAGCACACGAAACCUGCGUUACUUGUCCAUUUGUAUCUGCCUUUAAGGAUGUUUUAGCCGGCCUCCCUCUUCUUUUAAAACUGCUUCUUUUUUCAGCUUUGUUAUCUUCUUCCCCUGGAGUAGCCUCCUUUCUUGGCAUUCUUGCAUUUGUCUCCUCCUGCUUUAUUGACCCUACCCGCAAACUUUCACAUUCCUGUUUUGAGCUGUCCGUUUCCAUAUCCUCAUAAUCUACUGGUGGGAUUACGCUGCUCCCUCCUUUACUCCCUUCCUGUACCCUACCCUCCUUUUCACCAUUUCCCUCCAUUAAGACCACAGCCAAACUUUCCACCCGUUGGUUUGCCUUUCCAUACUGCCUGCUGUCUUUUAGAAUCUCAUCCCACCUCUCUUCAUAUUGUCUCGUCAUCAUUUUCUCCUUAUCCCCCCUUUCCUUUCCCCCCAAGACUCUACCAUUUUUUCCCCCAAGAGUUAAUGUAUCUCCAGCCAUUUGUACUCCAGUUUGAACUUCACUACUAGGAGACCCUGCCCCCACCCUCCUUGCAUCAAUUUCACUUACUCCUUCCAGCCGUCCCUUUAAGGGAGAUACCAUUAUAUUUCCAGCUCUCAUCCAGGCACCAUAUUGUUCCUCUCGCUUCUCCCCCCCACCCUUCCUACCACAGUACAAGUCCUAUCACUAUGCCCAAUGAUACCACACCUAUAACAGAAAUCAGGGCAGCGUUCAUACCUGAACUCAACCCACACUGCCUGGUUCUUACAGUUGAUCUUUGUCCCUCUAACCAGUGGUUUCGUUAUAUCUACCUCAGCCAUAAUCUUCAUGUGGCGACCCUCUUUCCCACCACUUCCUGGGAGAAUCACUCCCCUCACUGAUUUAAAGAUCCCUCCUAUUUUCAAACCCACUGCUCUGCUCAACCAGUGCACCGGUAGGUUCCAUAGUUGAAUCCAAAGAAAGGAAUGCUGGAAAAAGCUGCUGUUUGUAUCAUACCCCUCUACCCACUCCUUCACUAUCAGCAACUGGUUGUCCAUGACCCAAGGCCCUCCAGAUAAGAUCUUUUUCUUUUCCCCUUCAUCUCCCAGAUGGAAAUGGAAUAAGUUAGGACCUAACUCAGUCACUUUCAUCUUUGAGGGGUAUCCCCAUGCAUGAUUUGUAAAGUUCUUUAACCCCGUAAAGUUGGCAAUUUUUUCACCAAUCAGCUUUCCUACCAGGCUUCCUUGACACUCAGAGACGCCUUCUUCCAGGUCCUCACCACUCAGAUCGACACCUCCUAACUCUGUUUCAGACAAGUCAAAAUUUUGAAAGGCUCUUUCUAAAGCAUCCGCCAUUGCUGUGACGAGAGCUCCUUGAGAAACCAAGCACUAUUUCUGAGCUAUGAGUGACCCACUGACAGACCUGUGAAGAAUUGCAAAGACAGACAAAGCUGUGUUAUCCGUACACACUAAAAACCAACCAGAAAAACAGAGAGGAACUCGACAGAAAAAGCACAGGCACAAGAAGAAACGAAAGAAAAAAGAAAAACCAACAAACCACUAUCCCACUCCCGACCACAUAACAGCAUUAAAGAAAGGGACACAAAUACGACACUCCAACUUCCGAUCACAUGCUCUGACUCAAUGGAUCAUAUCUUGCCCAAAGCGUUUACUCCUCCAACCGAUUCCAAACCACUACAGACAUUGUCUCCCAUUUUGAAGCCGGAAGAAAGGUGGCUUCUGGACAGGGAACAUGAAAGCAAAGGUUGAACUAAAGAUUUGAUUUUAGAUCUGAAAAUUACGCUGUAGGAAAAAGUGCUAUGUGUUUGUACCUCACCCACUCUCCCACACCGAGGAGGGGAACCUCUAAAGUUAGAGAGAGAAGCUCUCAAGUUAGAGAGAAGCUUUGGAAGUUAAUUACCAACGUACCAUGCCGUACAUGUUUGUAAGGAUUUCUAUCCUAUUGGCAAAAGUCGGUUCCAUACAAUUAAUCAAUUCAUUUCACUUCUAUUGGCUCUACUAUUUAUGCAUGUUACGACACUCUUUCCCUUAUAUUUUGCCUUUAAUAUUAUGAGUCAAUAGUAAUAAUGGGCCUUUUUCUUAAAAUUAUACUAUUAUACAUAGGUAGUUUGGUCUAACGCUAAAUUCAUGUUUGUCUUUCUUUUAUUCCCUUUACAUCUCAAAGUAUACUAUAGUUUGUAAUCAUUGUGGUGAUGAUAUUACCAGCUGGUACUUAUAGUUUAAGGCAGAGACAUGAUAUUAACAACUAUCUCAUUGAAACAUAAGUCAAAAUCAUGACAAGUGUGAGUCUUGGUUAAUGCACAAUUUGUUAGUGGAAUUUAUAUUUAUAAAACUCAAAAAAAAUUUUUGACAAUGCUAUUACUAAUUAAUUAAGGACUUCAUUGCUAUAAUUUAUCGCUUACUAAUUUAAACUAUAAAUGAUCUCAAUACUUUUCUCCAUGAUGUCGAUUUCUUUAGACUACGAAAGGGAAAAAUUAGUGACAUAUCCCUUACUGAUUACAACAUCAGCAAAAAUUAGUUAUAAACUUUUCCGGUGGUUUUAAAUCCCUCGGGCACUAAGGUUUUUUGCACAUCGAGUGAAUUAAGGAACAUAGGCAAUUCGUUCUGCAUACCAAGUCCUUGUUUAAGAUGCACGUACUAAAAUGCAUCCACUUCAUUAAUUUGGAAAAUUGCCAUAGUUUUUUUUAAGCAUUUUGAUUUUUUACAUGAUUCAAAAUUUUCUUAUUGGAUACAAUCACUUUGUGUCAAGAACACAUUUUCAAUCAUCUUUUUUAUCUUCUCAAUAAGAAAAUAAAAAUUUAUUCAUGCUUUUCUAACAUAUCCAAUCAUUGAUCUGAAAAAUAAAGAAUUAAAAAAAAAAGACAUUUUCAAUCAUUGCUUACGGGGCAACUUCCCCAUGUGAACCUCAUCAAACAAAGCCAAUAAUAUGAAGGAACAUCUAAAUACACUUUUGCCCUAAAGGCUGGUUGCCUUGGGGUCAAAAUUUAACCUUCGGGAGUAUAAUUACCCGCCAAAUUUAUUAUUUUUUUUAUGGGUAUAUAGUUCCAAUUUUGCCUCCUGUUAAGCUUAUAAAUAUAUUACGACCCAGAAAAUAAAGGAAUCUUGAAUAGUAACAUGUCCAUUGACUUGAGUUGUUAUCAAUUUGGCUACUUCGAUUCCAUGAGGCCAAUCCAAUUCACACUAGCUAGAGAAAAUGGUGAUAAAGGCACUUAGAAAUUUAUAUGUAAUAUUGAUUGGUAGUAACUGAUAAGUAUAUAUUUUACGUGUUUUAAAUAUGUUUUAUUAGUUAGUUUUGGUGUGUUUUAACUACUUUUAUAACUAAUUAACUAGGAAUCUAGUGAAAAUAUGCAUUUUGUGGUUUGAAGUGUAAAAAUUGUAUUUCUAUGGAUUUUAAUGGUGAAAACUUCAUGUUUUUGUAGGUUUAAUGAUUCAAUCAUCAAAUGACAUGAUUUGAGAAGAUAAUUAGAUGAUUGAUGAUGUUUUGAAGUGAUAAAAAGAGAAUACAAAGUGCAAGAGAGGAAAUGCAAUCAAGAAUAAAAGAAGAAAAUUUUUGUAGCUUUGACAUAUUGUCGUAUUUCGGCAAUAUAUUGAGCUACAAUGAUCGGAUUAAGGUGAUUCUUAAACCAUUUGAAGCUAAAAUAUAGAUCUACAUUUGGCAUGAAGGCAUCGAAACCCAUGUCAGUCAUUUUCCUUGUCAAAAUGUUGAAAUACAGAAGUGCAACUCUGUUCUCGAAAGCUAAAACAGAGCUCUGGCUAGUCGAGGGUAUUUUCAUCAUUUCUUAGUCCACAGAGCUCCAAAUGAGAUGAUUCUUAAGGCAUUAGAACCCUAACUCAAAGAGCUACAACUUUCAUAUUUUGUACAAGAGUUAGUUCGGCCUCUAUCAUUAAGAAAAUAGUAGUUGAAGUGGUGCCAAAUGCAUAGAAGUGAAAACGCGAGCUAUCAAUACUCGACCUGAAGUCGCGUAUUCCUGAGGUCAUGCAUUCUCUUCUAUUUUCUGCAACUUGCCCUGCUUUCACAUAACUUUUUCAUCUCAAUUCCAACUAUCAAUUUCGGCUAUAUCUGAUCAAGAAAAGUGUGGAAAGUUUGAAAGACAACUCAUAGGAGUUUCAAGAGUCAAAAAUUACAAUUAGAAACAACUCAUUUGGCUCUUGAAUCCUCUAUAAAUAGAGGCCUUUGAAGAACAUUUUCACAACUUUGGAAGGUUAGAGAAACUCCACAAAAACAUAGUCUUCACUAGAAUUUCCUUAGUUCAUUAGUUAGGGUAGUAUAGUAUAGUUAGUGUAGCUUUUCCUUCUUGUAUUUAUAGUUAGGUUUGAAUGAAGAUUCAGGAGCAAAGAUAGAGAGGUUGAUCUCAUGUGACAAGGGUGAUAUCUCUUCUACUACUUUCUCUUUUGUAUUUGAUUUCAUAUUUAACUAUACUACAAAUUUGGCUUUGUUUUUUUUUUUUUAUCAUGUUUAGUUAAAGUUUAUGCCUAGAGUAUGGAUGACCUUUUUAUAUCUUGUUUGUGAUAUUUAACUGGUUAUUUGAUGAUGUUAUUUUUGAGCAAGUUAUUUAUCACUUUUGCUUUUCUAAUCAUGAUUAACUGGCCAUUAGUUGUGAUUAUCUAAAAGUGUUAAGUUUGUAAUGAGAAUUGGAGUUUAACACUAGUUCAAGGAAGUGAUAAAUUUAGGGAGUUCACUCAUGAGAGUAGAGGAACACCUUUGUGACCUAAGUGACUUGUUUCAUAUAAUUUCAUAGAAAAAAUGAACUUGUAAUUAAUUUCAUAACCACGAGAGUAAGUAUGGUUUAGCUAUAUGUAUAGUUGAUUCACUACGAGAGUAGGUUUCACAUACAUUAGAAAAUUACAUCAUAACUAGUCAAGAUAAUAUCAUUCAUUUAAUCAGUAAUCUCAUUUGCAUGAGUAGUAAGGCAUUCCAUAUCUCUAGGAGGUUUUUAGUAUUAUUUUCAUUACUUUUAUGUUUAUGGUAGUCUAGAUAAUAAUGGAGUUCGAAAACUACUAGUAAUUGAAAAUUUUCCCUGUGGGAUCGACCUUUAAUACCCUAUACUCGCUCUCGACUCGUAUACUUGAGAAAAAUCACGUGUGCGGUAUUUAGAAUUUAUAAAUGUAAAACUUGACUGUAGAUGAACUAAUUGAUAUAUGUAUACCCCGCACUCGUCAGUAACCAGCUUGUAUUGAUCCCACUAUUGUGGAUAAUUGUGCUCUUAUGAAAAAAAAUUAUAAAAAAAUUAGCAAAAUUUAUGAUAACAAAUUAAAUUUAUUCAUACAAAUCAGUGAAAGAAGUAGAAUUUUAAAGUCCAUGAUGAAAUUAAUACUUUCAAGGGCUCUAUUAGGAAGACUUCACUUGUUGGUGAAACUACACUAGCACAGUUAUAUGCACAUUUACUGUUUUGGUAUCUAAUUUCCUUGCCUUAAGUUGGGUGCAGAUGUUUAUAUUACAAAUAGAUGGUAUCAUAAAAUUGUUGUAUUCACGUUUGUUCUUUUUUUUCUUCCUUAAGUUUUUUUCUUUAUUCUCGUGACUUCAAAAAUACGAACUCAAGAAAUUGGCUGCUUAAUCAAUAUGUCAUACAGGCUUCGCUAGUGAGGUAUAACUUCACAACUAGAGUCAAUAGAAAUUAUCAAAUGAUUUUUUAACAUCCAAAUUAAGCAAUAAAUUUUGUUUUCAUUUUAUGACAUAUAAUAGUACUACUUCAUGAGAGAUUUUAUAGUUUCUUUUAGGUAUCAUACCUACAAGUGAUAUUUGUCAUUGGAUAGUGACAGAAGUGUUAAUGAUUGUAAGAUUAAAUAUUGUUAAAUAUUGAAAUUUAAACUAUUUAUCUUUAUUGAAAGAUACAAGUUAAAGAAUCGUUCAAGGGGGCAAUUUUCCAUCUUGUCUUUUUGAAAAAACGCUAUCACAUUGUAUAGGCAUGAUAGGUUCAAAUUUGUCAUUAAAUUUAUGAUUGAUUUUCCUUUUAUUCAAGCCAAAUAUUGUUUUAAUUAUCAAAUUCUACUUAUAUUUGGUUAAUUGUACUAAUUGUAGGGCGGUAGAGCAAAAGUUGCUAAAAAUAGGCGAUUUUCUGCAAAUUGGUUGUCAAGGCUGAAGGAUUUGGGAUUCGCAUGUUCAAGGCCUGUUUCCAAGUUUGAUUCAAACUCUGGACAGUUUUAGAGGAAGAUUUGGAAGAUUUGAAAUUUCAUUAUUAGUUUUAUGGUUGAAUUAGGAAUCUUGGAAUAAUUUCUUUUGUGAUUUAUUUUUCUAUUUAGGAGACUAGUUGUUAUUUAGUAGUAGACUUCAAUUAGAAAACAAAGAGAAAAAGAAGGCCGGAAUCCCGCUUGAUUAAUACCUUGGCCAGGGAACAAUCUCGGUGGGGAGGACGGCCACUUAGCCUCUCAAUUCAUCUUGCUUUUCGUUAGUUUGAGAGGAAAACCAAUUGCAACUAGAUUCAAUGGAGUCUGGCAGAAUUUCUUCUAGGAUGCGUAGCUAAAUCCUCAAUUUUUAGUCGAAGGUCAAUUUGAAAAUUCGGUUCCAAAUAUCUGUGAAAUCGAAUUAUUUUACUUAUUUCUUUUAUUUAUUGGUAUUCGCACGUUUUCUGAUUUAACUUUUUAUGAUUGUUUUGUUAUUUGAAUGUCAAGGGUCCGAUAUUCGAAUUAACUUAAUAAUCUACUGCCAAAUUAACCGGUUAAAUCCGUAAUUGUUUGAUUGAUUAAUAUCAGUGGCGACUAGCGUGAUUGGUCCCAUGUUAGGAAAACGUCUGAUCUAAUUUAAACAAACCGUCGUAGCGUGUUUGUUGAUUAGGGUUGGGCUUUUCUAAUUCUUAAUUCAAUUGAGAAAUUAAAUCCCCCGGUCGUACCUAGGAUUAUUUUUUUGUUAGCGAAAUAGUUAAUGGUCGUACCUUGACUAUCGAAAAAGUAAGGAAGAGUUGAUUGUUUAUCGCGUGUACGACAACUAUAAUCAAUCUAUUAAUGAGUAAUUGAAUUAUCUUUGCAUCAGUAAUCAGUUGAAUGGACCGUGUCUGAAAAGUUGUACCUUUGGCUAGAGUCUUAUCUGUUGUUGAUUCAUUCAUAUCUAUCUUCAUGCGUUGUUUUAAUUUAGUUAAUUAGUUAUUUUUAUAAAAACCCCUCAUCUCUGGACUCUAAAAGAAAUAAAUUAUUUCUAGUUCCUGUGGAUUCGAUCCUACUCACCAUACAAUCCAACCUGCAAUUGUAUGAACCCCAAUCUCGCUUCCUAGUCCACCAUUUUUCUCUAGGUAAUAAUCUCCCUUCUAAUUUCUUCACAAAAUGCACCUUUCAUCACCUCCAAUAGCGUCGACAUGAUCUUUACCCCAGAAGACUAUUCACCGACUCUCAAUUGACGUUAGAAAAUCUAAGAGUAAUUCUACUUUACCCUAAGAUUGAUAUCAACAAGACAAGGACAAUUUAGAAUUAUUACACGCCUCUUCUUAAUAGGAAAAAGAAAUAGAGAAGAAAGUCAGGCCAGGUCUAAUUUCUUUUCAAAGGCAAUACAACAUUACGAAAUCAAGCAUUCAUUCAUACAAAUAUUUCAUAGUCACCGGUUUGCUGAGUAGAAAAAUUUAGACAAAAACUUAAUAUUAUAUUGUUUAAGAGUUAACAAUUUAGAGCUUAAUCUCCUUGUACUUUGGAGUUAACAAUUUAGAGCUUAAUCUCCUUGUACUUUGGACUAAACUUGAACGUGAAAGGAAAUCCCAAAACCAUAUUGGGCAUGAAUUCACACUUAAUAUACCCAAUAAAAGAUGGCGACUGGUGAAAGGCAGUGGAGACUGGUGGAGAGAUUUGAGGAAUAGAAGCAGACGGAAAAGCAACAAAUUUUUGCCGAAAAACGGUCACUUUCAUGGUUAAUUUUGCUACUCUCCAAUUGUACUUGACCAAUUACAACAAUUUCAUGGAGUUUGAUACGUGAAAAGAAUUUUUUAUAAAUUUUAUUUUGAUCCAUAAUGUUAUCUUUACAUAUAUAAAACAUUUUACAAUUUUGAUUUUGGCGCAGUUAACUUUUGGUAAACAAAAAUGCUCAUGUUUAAAAAACCGGAAAUAAAACAAAACAAGAAACAAAAGAAAUAAGAGGGUAGCAUAGACAUUUUGGAUUUUUCCGUUAAUUUGGAUGAUUUCCACCCACGUUCUAAUUUAAUCCAAAACACAAAGGAAUUACGUAGAGGUUUUAAAUAAUGAGGGAGCUUCAUGAUCGAACCCCAAACCACAAGGCGAUUUACUAUAUUUUACUCUUAAAUUUUGGUUUCAUCUCAUAGCAUACAAGAGUUCUAUUUCACUAUCUGUAGACAAAGACUUUCUAUGGUUGAUGUACCAUAGGAAAAAAUCUGCCUAUACAACGUGAUAGCAUUUUUUCAAAAACACAAGAUGGAAAAUUGCCCCCUUAAACGGGGAAAUUCAUGAUCUUUCCUCGAACAAAGAAUACUCACGCCUAUUCAAGAUGGAAAAUUGCCCCCUUAAACGUCUAUUUGUCAAUUCUUGAAAAAAGAAUACUCACGCCUAAAACACGGCCUCUUCAUCUGCAGAAUUCUAAAAAGUUAGGUAAACUCUAUAAACAAGUUGAUAGGUACAAUCGUACCCAAGAUCAAGUACAGAUAGUUGUACAUUCACUGCUGCAAUAACUAAUCUGAUGACUUACAAACAUAUCAUGGUCAAUCGUUGAAUGGUAAUGAGUCUUUUGUUAUGCAUUAGUAUUAGUGUGUACACUCUAAUAGAUUGAUACUUAUACUCUUUAAAUUAUCAUAAUAAUACCCUUAAUUAACUUUAACUCUUAAAAAGAAUACGUGUUAAUACACGAGAGUGUGUAACCUGAAUUGUUACUUAUACAUUAGUGUGUAAUAGAUAGGGAUGGCAAUGGGGGCGGGUGCCCGCAGGCAACCGCCCCGCGGGGGGCUCUCGGGGCGGGGAGGGGGGAAUUUUUUCCCCCCGUUUAGAAACGGGGCAGGGGACGGGGGAGUAUACCCCCGCCCCAUCCCCCGCAAAAAAAAUUAUAUAUAUAUAAUUAUAUAUAAUAUGUAAUUUAAUUAGUUAUAAACUUAUGAUAAUGAUAUUAUUAGUUAGAUGUAUUAUAUAAUGUAUAUUAGUGUAUGUAAUAUAAUUAAUAUUAUCAAUUAUACGAAUAAUUAGACAUGUCUACUAAUAGAAUUUAUUAAUUAGUUAUACUAAAUUUACUAAUACAUUUAUACUAAAUUUCUAAUUACAUUUAAUAGAAUAACACUUUUUUCUAAAAAAAAAAGCACAAACACAAUAAUGAAUUAGUGAUUGUAUUUUUACCAAAAAUGAAAACUUAACUAUUUUAGUUGCAUUUAUUUCAUCAUGUUGGAUUGUAUUCAAAUAAUUUUUGUUUGAUUGUUUUUAUGAGUUUCAAUUGUAAAAUUAAAAUGAAUAAUAACUUGAUGAAUAAUAAUGUCAAUCGUUGAAUGGUGUGUACACUCUAAUAUUAUGCAUUAGUAUUAGUGUGUACACUCUAAUAGAUUGAUACUUAUACUCUUUAAAUUAUCAUAAUAAUACCCUUAAUUAACUUUAACUCUUAAAAAGAAUACGUGUUAAUAACUCUUAACCUGAAUUGUUACUUAUACAUUAGUGUGAAAUAGAACGGCAAGCAUUGAGCAACUUAUAGGAGAAAUAGUCCUAUAAGCUGUUGGAUGACUAAUAUAGCUCUAGCUGUAAUGUUUUAAUUAAAUUACAUCACUAACGUUGGGAUGACUAAUGGUUUAAAAAUAAUUGAGUAAUUGGAAAAAAAAAAAGAGACUAAUUUUCAUUGAAACCCACCGACAAACUAAACGUGUCCAUGGCUUUUGAAUAGUGCAUUCAACGUUUAAUUGUAUAGUCCAGUUCAUUGCAGAUUACAUGGAGUAAAGAUUGUGCUCUUUCCUUUUUCACCCCUUUUGGAAUCGAUACUGUGGAGAAUUGGGUUUUUCCCUUCUUUUUUUCUUUUCUUUCUUUCUGUGCUUUGCAAAACAUAGGUAAAAUUAUGAAAUCCGAAGCAUUCUUUAAUUGGGAUUAAGUAUUGUUCUUGAAAUUAAAAAGAAGAAAGAAAGAACAACAAAAUUCCCUGAUUGGUUGCAUCGUGCUUCCAUAGAAGCUCUCUUAGUGUGAUACACUGCUUUCAAUCAGUUUAACAUGGAAAAAAGAAAGAGAUGAAAAGCAAAUUUGGUGGGGAUAAUUUCAGAAACCUCCCCUGAAGAUUUUGACUAUUCUACUGGUCUCCCUUCAGAUUUUAAAAAUUACACUAAUCUUCCUUGAAGUUAUAACAUUUAAAUUCAAUCAAUAAUUUAAAAAAUGAUAUUAUGAAAGAGAAAAUAAUAUGAUUUUAUCAUUGCCCCCCAUCUUACUACAUUAUUUAAUUAAUUUAAUAGCAACCCACACAUUAAAGAAAAAUAUAAAAUUUGUUAUUUAUCAUUAAAGAUCAAAUCGCUUAUAACAUCAAAUAAUAGUAUAUUAUUUAUAUUUUUCACUUAACAUAAUAUCCAAAUUACUCUUUUCAAUUACAUACUCAUUGUUAGACAAUCAACAACAAAUAACCAAAAAAUUUGCAACCAAAAUAUUACAAAAAAAAAUAAACUUUAACAUCAUAAAUAUUCUUAUCAACAUAUUAAAGUUAGUUACUGAAAUUUUUAUGGUGUUAAACUUCACUCUUUGUAAUAUUUUGGUUACAGAUUUUUUUUGAUUAUUUUUUAUUAAUUAUGUUUGAUGAUGGGUUUGUAAUUGAAAAGAAUAAUUUAAAACUUACAUUAAGUGAAAUAUAUAGAGUGAUAUACUAUUUUUUAUAACAUAUGUGAUUCAAUCCUUCUUGAUAGGAUUGGUAAUAGAGGUAGAGGGGGGAGUCGGCUGCAUCCGGUCUUCUUUUCAUAGAUAGUACAAUAUUGCGAAAUCAAUCGCAUUCACACAAUAAUAUUUCGAAGUCAAUGCAUGGCUAAGUUGCAUAAAAGUACGAACACUUGUUAUUAUAUAGCUUAAGAUUCAAAACUUUAGAGCAUAACCCUCCACCUAACACAAUUGAAUAAUGAAUAUUCACGUUUGUCAAAUCUGUCAAAGCACAGUUUGAGGACAACCCAUUCCAACCUGCAAAAGAUUUUUUACUUUUCUAAAGUUGUUGAGAGCUGUAAAAAGACCUACCAUGCUUACAUCCUCCGAGCCUUGGGAGUUAAAAAUGAAGGCACUGAGUGCUAUAAAAAGGGGGCUAGAGGCUGCCUAGAAGCAUAUCAGCCUAAAACAAGAAUUUGUUGUUAUGAUGGGAAGCAAAGCAAAAGCAAUGGGGUCUGGGCUGACUCCUCUUCUUGCCACUGUUUUAGUGGUAUUUGUUGCUCUUGGCUUGCCCUCAGAAACAGCAGCUGAUGAUCACUACAAGUAUUCAUCUCCUCCUCCUCCUUACCACUAUCCCUCACCACCGCCUCCAGUGCAUUUACCUCCACCAGUGUACAAAUACAAGUCCCCACCACCACCUCAUCAUGUUUACAAGUACAAAUCUCCACCACCCCCACCACCACACCCAGUUUACAAGUAUAAGUCACCACCACCACCUCCUCAUCCGGUACCACACCCAGUUUACAAGUAUAAGUCACCACCACCACCUCCUCAUCCGGUAUACAAGUAUAAGUCUCCUCCGCCACCACCACACCCAGUUUACAAGUAUAAGUCACCACCACCACCUCCUCAUCCGGUACCACACCCAGUUUACAAGUAUAAGUCUCCUCCGCCACCAGUUUACAAAUAUAAGUCUCCUCCACCACCACCUCCAGUGUACAAGUACAAGUCUCCACCACCACCAGUUUACAAGUACAAAUCACCACCACCUCCUCCCCCAGUUUACAAAUACAAGUCUCCACCACCACCAGUUUACCACUACAAGUCACCACCACCUCCUCACCCAGUUUACAAGUACAAAUCUCCUCCACCACCAAUUUACCACUACAAGUCACCACCACCUCCUCCCCCAGUUUACAAAUACAAGUCUCCACCUCCUCCUCACCACUACUAAGCAAUUGCUUCUGAGGUAAUAACACUUGUUCAAUAACACUUGAUAGCCAGCUGAAUAUUUGCAGGCAAAGGAGAAGGAAACCAGUGUUUGAGACCUUCUUGAAGAUGUAGAAGCAUAAGAAUUAAAGCCCAAUGUGAAGAUGAUGAUUUCAAGUUUUUCUACGUUACCAUUUCAAUAUCUAAAUUGGUUGUAGCGCCUUAGUUCCUUUGUUUAUGGGAUUUGUAUCGUUUUACGUACCAUGCAGUACAUGUCAUGUUUGUAAGGUUUUCUAUCCUGCCGGCAAACCGCAGGUUCCAUGUAAUAAAUCAAUACUAUUUAUAUUACGACACUUUUCUCUGUUUCUCUUAUAUUUUGUCUUUAAUAUUCUUAAUCAUAUUUUUAACAAAAAUAUUCAAACACUUCAGCAAUGGUUCACCUAGUUGAUCAUCGAAGCAGAGGCAAUUCCAAUUAUUUAUCAAUAAAUAGGAUAUAACUACCAAACAAGCGAUGGCAGUUAACCCCUCCUUACUGUGUCGGUGAUCAAGGUACGCCCGUUAAUCACUGCUCUAAUUGAGAAAUAAUCCUAAGUACGCCCGUAGAAUUUAAUUCCCCAAUUGCCUUACAUAUUAGAGGAGCCCUAUUCUAACCAAAUAACGCACUAUCAGGGUUAUUUUAGAUUAGCCCGCGUAUUCCCCUGACAUAAAUCUAAUCAUGCCAGUUGUCAUUAUUUUGAGGUAAUUAAACAAUUACGGAUUUAACACCUCAAUUGACAAUAGAUUAUUAAAUUAAUUAAUUAUUCGGAUCCAAGACAAUCAAUUAAUUAAACAACCAUAAGCACUACAAUCAGAGAAUAUGCAAAUACCAAUAAAUAAAUAAAAAAUAAAAUUAAAUCGAUCUCACAAUUUUUAGGCGAAUCAGAGCAUCCGUUGUCCCUUGACUAGAGCAAGGAAAUUAGUUCAUAUUUGAUGAACUAAACCCAUACAAAAGGGAAGCGAGAAAUGCAGCCAUUAUCCUUUGAAAUCUGGAAAAUUCAACUUGUCCGAAUAUCGAAUAGAUAGUAAUACUACAAAAGGUAAUUCAUAGCUUCCCUUUCGUCUGACACACAAGAAGAAAAAAAAGGGCUGCUAAUAACUAAAGGAGGAAAAGUCAAAGUCCUAAGCUAUGCUACAAGACGAAAAACUAAAGAAGACAAAAAGGCAGUGCUCAUUCCCUGCAAUCUCAAUUCCUAUUCUAUCUAAGUGCUCUCCAAUGUGCGGCGGCUCCCCUUCCGGAGAGGACGAAGUGGCACCCUUUUUUCCUGCGCAAUUUUCCUAUAUAAAGUAGUGCUCCUUGCAGCGGCUCCUGUGCGAAAAAAUGAAGACUUCGGCCCAAUUUGCCUAACAAGGGCUCACGUUUUGUUGUUCUAAAAAUGUCCCUAGGACAAACUCUAUCAUCUGAACUCUUUUCUUGCCAAAUUAGUACCUGUUAUUAUAUUUUCGUUCUACUCCCUGAAAUAAAUGCAAAAUAUCAAAAGUGAGUAGAAUCUAGCAAUUAAUCCACAUUAGGUCAGGUAAUAGGGAAAAUUAAUAAUAAAAUAAAUGAUAAAAUUGCAAUCUAUCACGGGACCACUGUGGUAAGGUGUGUUUCGCCUAUUAUAAGGAGUUCGGAGAGUUAGACGUGUUGGAGGCGGAGGCGCGGUCACUCCUGCACGCCCUCCAGCUGUGUGCAGAUCGCGAGGUACGGGCGUUGACUGUAGAAUCUGAUUCAAAGGUGCUUGUUCAACUAGUUUGCUCGGAUAUGAGGUCGAAGUGGCCGGUGUGUAUCGUAUUGCGGGAAAUAAGACAUUUGAUCCGGCGGAUGGGUGCAUCCCUUCAUCAUAUAUUCCGUGAGGCCAAUUCGGUGGCGGACGCAUUGGCUUCUCUGCAAUUGGGAGGGCAGCAGUACUACACCUCAGGCGUGGCGCUGCCUUUCAGGCCCAGAGGAGAGGCUCUGCUGGAUCGUCAAGGAGUACCUCGCAUCCGUGAGGCGCUCACUAAGGUUUGAUAGGCUAUGUCCUCCUUUCAAAAAACUUAUUUCAUCUACUCCUUGUAAUCAUUUUUCUUAUCAAUAAAUUGAGGCUUUUUAUUUAAAAAAAAACAUAUAAUUUAAGGCAAAAAUAUGAUCCUAGCGAGUAUCGCACUGAGACAUUAGGAAACAUCAUUAAAAGAGUAUUUCUUGAGUUAGUGCAACUAUUUCUUAGGGGAAUUUAUAGUUACAAAAUUCAAAAAUUUGAGAUUCUAUUACUGAUUAAUUAAGGGCGUUAUCACUAUUUUUCUUAUUAUCACCAUUAUUUACCCCACAUACUAUAAGUUUUUUUAGGGCACAGGAAAAGAGGUGGGCCGAUGUUUAGUUAUGUACAAAAGUUCAAAAUUUGUAGAUAACUUAUCAUGUGCCCUUAGAGCGUAGAAUACAGAAAAAAUAUCUUAAACUAUAACUAAUCCUAAUAUUUUUCUCUAUGAUAAACUAGCUCUUAUCCAUUUCUUUAGAUGAUGAAAGGAAAUAGUUAGUCACCUGUCCUCUAGUGAUUACAACAGCAUCAAAACAAAUUAGCACUCUUUUCCCGUAGUUUAAAAAUCCCUCAGCCACUAAGAUUUUGCAUGUCGAACGAAUUAAGGAACAUAGAAGGUUCGUGCUGCACCACAGUGUCCUUGUUGACGAUGCAAAGACAGAAAUGCAUCCGCGUAUACUUCCUUAAGCAUUUUGAUUACUUUAUGAUUCGAACUUUUCUUGUCUGACAGCUGGACUUAAUUGAAAAACACAAGUAACAAUAUUUCAAAGUUGAUUCGUCAAAGUUUACCCAAUUGGUGAAACUUUCUUCAUAGAGCUGACUUUGUAUUAGGUGACAAUGAUAUGGAAUUGAUGUCCUUCCCUUUUUCCUUUUUUUGUGUUGAAGACGCACAACGUUUUCAAUGGCAAAUUUAUAUGGGCUUUUCACGACAAAAUGUGUUCUGAAAAGUUCAUUCCAGAGGUUAAAAUUUUGUGUGUUAAAAAUUUGCUUCUCAGGACUUUGAUGGGAAAGUCUUGGUGUUUCCAAAAAGUUUAAGCAGGAUGCUUCUGGCUUUCUCUCCAUGUAUUUGUGAGUUAGAUCUAAAAUUAUCAGGGCUCCAGAGAUCUCUUGAAAUCGCAGCAUAUAUUGAAGUCUUUCCAGAAGGAGUCUUUUUUUUUUUUUUUAUGAAUUAUGAUAGAUAAUUAAUCUGACGGUGCAUAUAUAUAUAUAUGUGAUUUGCAGUAGGGUGUUUGACGAAAUGGUUAGGCUUCCUAAGUAAUGAUAGGAAUGCCAUUUGCAAAGAAGGACAGGGGGCUGGUGCUGUCAUAUUUUAUGCGAUUUGAUCCGUUGUUGUAUAAGUUUAAACUUUUGACGUGCAAUUGUGCUAUAAUAUUAUACUAAAUAUAUGUGUGAAAUAUUUUGUCUAUAUACAUCACUUUUAUCAUGAAUACAACAGCUGAGUAUAAUAAUAUAGUAUAAUGUAAUUGUACACCAAAUAAUGUAGCAAAUAUAACAAUUGAUCCGAAUUACACGGAACCAUAACAACAAGAUCACCGCCUCCCAAAUUUUACAAAAUUAGGUUUUUUUUUUUUCUCUUAGAUUAUUGAAAAUUUUCAAAAAUAAUCUACAUAAUUUAAGCUUUUGUCCUACAAAAAUUUGAAGAGAUUUUACAUUACAAGCUUAAGCUUAGAUAUAUUAAACUUUGCCCCCAAGAUUAAUUUUCCGUUUUUAUCUAUGAACCGAUCCAUAUAGCUAGUUAGACUGUAGUCCUCACAUUUGUGGGAUUUAACACCCAAGAUUCUCCUUCUUGGAAUGUAAAAUGUAGAUCUUCUAUGUUAAUAAUUCAAGACCCUACUGUCAUAAACGAAAUGACUGAUCAACUCCUGUAAACCUAAUUUGACAACAUUUAAAUGGAGAACUUUAGCUAAAAGAAUUAUGGUCAAGCUAAAGAAAAAGCCAGUUAUUUUCCAACAUAUGCAAUCAUUGAUCAGGAAAAAAAAAAAAAAGCAAAAAGACAUCUUCAAUCAUUUAAUAGCUCACAGUGCAAAUUAACCCCUAAGCGAAAACUGGUUGCUCUAGAAUCAAAAUUUUACCUUAGUUACCCAGGCAACUUUUUUGUUGCUUUUUUUUUUUUCUUUUCCUUUUUGGGUAUAUAUAUAGCUCCAGUUUUGCCCCCUCUGUCAAGCUUAUAUAAUUAUUAAGAUAAUAAAAGUGCCUUGAAUAGUAUUAAUAUAUCCAUUGACUUGAGCUGUCAUCGAUCGGUUUGGGCUACUUCGAUUCCAUGAGAACAAAUGGUAAUAAAAGUACUCAGAAAAUAGGGAGCCAUGAAACCCUUUUGUUCUAUUCAUUGCUAAGAUGCUUUUCUCUAUAAAGAGACUUCCUAACGAAAGUACUUUGUAGAUUUCUUUACUCCAAGUGGUGCAUGGAAAAUUAAAAUAUUCAAUUAUCAAAUAAAAUUCCCUUUUUUCGGUGUAGAUUUCAUCCAUCCAGCUGUUAACACAUUUUAUGUAUCCGAAUUAUAUAUUCUCUACCAAAUAUUGUAACUUUUCUGAGCAUCUUUACAUUUUUAUUCCCACCUAACAAAUUAGUUGUUGAGCAUCUUUACAUGCUAUCGGAUCACAAGUUAAUAAUCUUUUAAAGAACAUGUUAAAUUAAUUUAUUGGUAUGAAUAGUCAAAGAAGUAUAUUAAAGUUAGUAAUCUUUAAACACCACGAUGCAAUUAAUACUUUCAAGCUCAAGGUCUUUUUUUUUUUUUUUUUUGGUACUGUACUUCCUUGCUUUAUAGUAUGCACGUUUAUUUCUGUGGAUUGCUUAAGCUUAUAUUGUUAAUAAUUGGGCAUUUAACCAUAAAUUAUAAUGAUUAUGAAGUCAUAUAUAUAUAUAUAUAUAUAAGAAAAUUACCACAAUUAUUCAAUUUUUUUUGCAAAUUCAAAUUUUAUUAAUAAGAAAUAGGCAGUAAGCUUUUACAAACGGAAAAAAAAAAUCCUACAACAACUCUAGGACCUUUGAAAGAAAGAAAAAAAAAAGAAAAGAAAAGCUUAAGGACUCUACCUCAUAGAAGCUAAACAAUCCUACAAAUAAACUGCAAAAUAAAUCACAAUAACGCAAAAUUUUUGUCUUUCUUCCGUAUGAAAUGAAACUACGAAGUCAAGAAUUGACUCCUUUAACCGCUAUUGCCAGCGGGCUCCGUCAGCAAGAUACAACUUUGCAAUUUGAUUCAAUAGAAAUCCUCAAAUAGCUAUUUUGACAGGCAAAUUAAGCAUUAAUUUUGGUAUCCCUUCAUAAAAUACAAGAGUACUUUUGAUUAUAUCUAUAGAUCAACUUUCUAGGCUAUUUUGAUGUAUUAUAAGAAAAUCUGCCUCAACAAUUUUGAUAGCAUUUUUCCAAAAGCAGAAGAUGGAAAAUUGCCCAUUUGUACUGGGGAGUUCGUGAUCUUUUCCUCCUUCUAGUCUACUUACAAUUCUUGGAAAAAGGAAUACUCACAUCUCAAACAACUGCCUGUUCAUCUGCAAUGUCCUGCCGAAUUCUAGAAAGUUAGGUGGCAAUGCUAAUUACAUUUCAAAAUUGACUGCUGCGAUGACUAAUUCGAUGGCUUACUACAUGGUCAACGUUUGGAUCCCUUCCUGUCCUUUUUGGAUGCACAUUUUUUUUCUCUAGGCAAUAUAUAAUCUCCCAACUCAUUUCUUUACAAAUGCACCUUUAAUCACCACCAAAAGGUGUGGACAUGAUCUUUACCCUAGAAAACUAAUCACCGACAGGCAAAUUGACGUCAGAAAUACUAAGAGGAAUUCUAGUUUCCUUCGGGUUAAUGCCAUUUUGUACCCUUCAACUGUAACUCGAUUUCUAAACUAUAAUUUGUGACAUUAUAGUCCUUAAACUAUGAAACCCCUCUUACUUAAGUACAAUGGUUAAUACAAUACCCGUGACUAGACAAGCAACCAUAACAAAAAAAAAUCCAAAAUUAGAGAAAAGAAAGAAGUUUCGCGACCAAAGUAUGUAUCAAGGCAUAGUAUAGAAAUAAAAGUGUCCAAAUUAAGAGUUUAGGGAUAAAAGAGAUCAAGAUAUAGUUUAGGGAUUGAUUUGUCUCAAUUAGAGUUUUGAUGUCAACUAAGAAGAGAGAUAUAGUUGAAGGGUAGAAUAUAGAUAUAACAGUUCAAUGAUUGAUAUCAACGAGACAAUGACAACUUUGGAUUAUUACCAACCUCUUCUUGAUGGGAAAAGGAAAUAGAGAAGAAAGUCGGGCCUGGUCUAAGCCUGCUUCGGAGGCAAAACAACAUUAUGAAAUCACCGGCAUUCACACAAAUAUGUCAAAGUCACCGGCAUGCUAAGUUGCAUAAUUUAUACAAACACUGAAUAAUAUAUUGUUCUUAAAAUUUUUGUUUAAGAUUUAACAAUUAGAGCACGGUACACGAAUUAGCAAUAUUAAAUAAUGAAUGUUCACGAUUGAUAAAGUUAUCAAAGUACAGUUUGAGGACAACCCAUUCCAACGUGUACAAGAUGUUUAGCCUUUGAAAAGUUAAUUAGAGAAGGUGACGAGAUUUUACUAGGCUUAAAUCUUCUAGGCCUCGGAAGUAAAAAAUGAAGGCCUUUGAGUGCUAUAAAAAGGGGGCUAGAUGUUGCCUAGAAGCAUAUCAGCCUCAGACCACAUUUUGUAGCAAUGGGGAGCAAAGCAAAAGCAAUGGGGUCUAGGCUGACUCCUCUUCUUACCACCGUUUUAGUGGUAUUUGUUGCUCUUGGCUUGCCUUCAGAAACUGUGGCUGAUUACUACAAGUAUUCAUCUCCUCCUCCUCCUUACCAUUAUUCCUCACCACCACCUCCUGUGCAUUCACCUCCACCACCGCCAAUUUAUAAGUCACCCCCACCACCUUACCACUACUCCUCACCGCCACCUCCAGUGUAUUCAUCUCCACCACCACCUUCGCCAGUUUACAAGUCUCCGCCACCACCUUACCAUUAUUCGUCACCACCGCCUCCGGUGCAUUCACCUCCACCACCACCUGUUUACAAGUCACCUCCACCACCUUCGCCAGUUUACAAGUCUCCGCCACCACCUUACUAUUAUUCGUCACCACCGCCUCCGGUGCAUUCACCUCCACCACCACCGAUUUACGAGUCACCUCCACCACCUCCUCCAGUUUACAAGUCUCCGCCACCACCUUACCAUUAUUCCUCACCACCACCUCCAACGCAUUCACUCCCACCACCAGUUUACAAAUCACCGCCACCACCUCCUCCUAUGUAUAAGUCCCCUCCACCACCUUAUCAUUAUUCCUCACCACCACCUCCAGUGCAUUCACCCCCACUGCCACCAAUUUACAAGUCUCCGCCACCUCCAAUCUACAAGUAUAAGUCACCACCACCUCCUCCCCCAAUUUACAAGUCACCACCACCACCUCCUCCAGUAUAUAAGUCCCUACCCCCACCAGUGUAUAAGUACAAGUCUCCACCACCACCUCCUCCAGUAUACAAAUCACCUCCACCACCUCCUCCAGUUUACAAAUCUCUACCACCACCAAUUUAUAAAUACAAGUCUCCUCCACCACCUCCUCCGGUUUACAAUUCCCCACCACCACCAAUCUACAAGUCUCCACCUCCACCCUCCCAUUACUACUACAAUUCUCCUCCUCCUCCUCCUCAUCACUACUAAGCAAUUGUAUCCAAGUUUUUGAGGUAAUAAUGCUAAACCAAUAUAUUAACUUUCGCAUGAUAAACUUUAUCUCUAUCAAGACAAACUGCCAUGUGCAUCAAGCCAAAUACGUACACUUCGAUCCAUGAAAAUGACAAGUAGAAGGUUUUCUUAAGAACCAAGGAACAGCAUUAGUAUUCCCUCUGUUUCCAAAACUUGUGUAUUAAAUAGAUUAAUGAAUUGUUUAACAUGCUUAUCUACUUGAAAAUGCACAAUACCCAUAACCCACUGAAAUUUUUGCAGGUAAAGGGGAAGAGAAUCUGUGUUUGAGAGCUUCAUGAAGAUGUUGAAGAAUAAGAAUAAAAGCCCAAUGCGAGGAUGUUUUCAAGUUUUUCUAUGUUUCCACUUUAAUUUGUAAAUUGAAUUUUUCGACUUAAUUAAUUCCCUGUUUGUGGGGUACGUAUUGUUUUACGUACCAUGCCGUACAUGUUUGUAAGGAUUUCUAUCCUAUUGGCAAAAGUCGGUUCCAUACAAUUAAUCAAUUCAUUUCACUUCUAUUGGCUCUACUAUUUAUGCACGUUACGACAUUUUUUCUCUCUUUCCCUUAUAUUUUGUCUUUAAUAUUAUUGAGUCAAUAGUAAUACUGGGCCAUUUUUUUUAAAACUUAUACUAGUAUACAUAGGUAGUUUGGUCUAACGCCAAAUUCAUGUUUGUCUUUCUUUUAUUCCCUUUACAUUUCAAAGUAUACUAUAGUUUGUGAUCAUUGUGGUGAUGAUAUUACCAGCUGGUACUUAUAGUUUAAGGCAGAGACAUGAUAUUAACAACUAUCUCAUUGAAACAUAAGGAAAAAUCAUGACAAGUGUGAGUCUUGGUUAAUGCACAAUUUGUUAGUGGAAUUUAUAUUUAUAAAACUCAAAAAAAAAAUUUUGACAAUGCUAUUACUAAUUAAUUAAGGACUUUAUUGCUAUAAUUUAUCGCUUGCUAGUUUAAACUAUAAAUGAUCUCAAUACUUUUCUCCAUGAUGUCGAUUUCUUUAGAUACGAAAGGGAAAAAUUAGUGACAUAUCCCUUACUGAUUACAACAUCAGCAAAAAUUAGUUAUAAACUUUUCCGGUGGUUUUAAAUCCCCGGGCCCUAAGAUUUUUUGCUCAUCGAGUGAAUUAAGGAACAUAGGCAAUUCAUUUUGCAUACCAAGUCCUUGUUUAAGAUGCAAGUACUAAAAUGCAUCCACUUCAUUAAUUUGGGAAAUUGCCAUAGUUUUUUUAAGCAUUUUGAUUUUUUACAUGAUUUAAAAUUUUCUUAUUGGAUACAAUCACUUUGUAUCAAGAACACAUUUUCAAUCACCUUUUUUUAUCUUCUCAAUGAGAAAAUAAAAAUUUAUUCAUGCUUUUCUAACAUAUUCAAUCAUUGAUCUGAAAAUUAAAACAUUAAGAAAAGGACAUUUUCAAACAUUAAGAAGUAGUAUUUUAAAGACCAUGAUGAAAUUAAUACUUUCAAGGUCUCUAUUAGGAAGACUUCCUUUAUUAAUACUCUACUAGGCAGAGUUAUAUGCACGUUUACUGUUUUGGCCUUAAGUUGGGUGCAGAUGCUUAUAUUACAAAUAGAUGGUAUCAAAAAAUUGUUGUAUUCACGUCUGUUCUUUUUUUCUUCCUUAAGUUUUUUUCUUUAUUCUCGUGACUUCGCUAGUGAGGUAUAACUUCACAACUAGAGUCAAUAGAAAUCGUCAAAUGAUUUUUUGACAUCCAAAUUAAGCAAUAAAUUUUGUUUUCAUUUCAUAACAUAUAAUAGUACUACUUCAUGGGAGAUUUUAUAGUUUCUUUAGGGUAUCAUACCUACAAUUGAUAUUUAUCAUUGGAUAGUGAAAGAAGUGUUAAUGUCUCUAAGAUUAAAUAUUGUUAAAUAUUGAAAAUUUGAACUAUUUAUCUCUAUUGAGAGAUACAACUUAAAGAAUCCUACCCAAAAGAGACUAGAAUUUUCUCUGUUUUUCAUCAUCUGUAGACAUAAACUUUCCACGGUUGAUAGCAUUUUUCAUCAUCUAUAAGGAAAUUUUGCCUAUACAAUGUGAUAGCAUUUUUCAAAAAGACAAGAUGGAAAAUUGCCCCCCUUGAACGGAAAAUUGCCCCCUUGUCAAUUCUUUAAAAAAGAAUACCGUCCCGCAGAAUUCUAGAAAGUUAGGCAAAACUAGACAAGUUGACAGGUAUAAUCAGACCCAAGAUCAGGAACAAGCAGUUGCACAUUUCAAAAUUCGCUGCUGCAACAACUAAUUUGAUGACUUACAACACUAAAUGGUCAAACUUUGAAUGGCAAUGAAUCUUUUGUUGUACAUCAUGAUGUAAUUUUCAUGUUACAUAAUAGAUUGAUAUCUAUGUUCUUUAAAUUAUCAUAAUAAUUAAAUUUAACUGAAAAAAAGAACACAUAUCAAUACACAAAAGUGUGCAACGUGAAUGUUAUUUUAGUGUAUUGCAGAAGACCUAUAGUCUCUUCAUAUCUCUUCCUGCACGUAUCAAUUCGUUUCCUCUAGAUAAUAAUCUCCCAACUCAUUUAUUUACAAAUGCACCUUUUAUGUUUUAUUACCUCCAAAAGCCUAAAAAUCAAUUCACCGACUCGCAUUUGGUAUCAGAAAUUCUUAUUACGAAUUCUACUUUACUCAAAGAUUGACUGUUAAUAAUGAGACAACGACCAUUUUGUAUUAUUACACCGUCCUUCUUGAUAGGCAAAAGAAAUAGAGAGGAAAGCGGGUCCGUAUAUGGUCUUUUAUUCAUAGAUAAUACAACAUUACGCCAUCGAGCAUUCACACAAUAUUUCAAAGUCAUUGCAUGCCUAAGGCCUGCUUGAUAAUCUAAUUCCGUACUUAAAUUUAAUAAAUUCAAAUCUUAACACAUUCAAAUCGUUUGAUAACAAAAAAUUGAACAUCUAAAUUAAUUAAGUAACACUGAAUUUUCUAGGCAAAACUUGCUCCCAAAAUUAAGUGAUAAGUUAUUCACUUAUCACUGAAUAUGAUAUGUAUUCAAAUGUAUUAGAUUUAAUACUUAAUAAUUUAAUGAAUUCAAAUUUCAUAUUUCAUAUUUCAGUUUUAUCAAACACACCUUAAGUUGCAAAAUAAUACCAAAACUUGUUAUUACAUAGCUUGAGAUUCAAAAAUUUAGAGCAUAAUUCUCAACCAAACACAAUUGAAUAAUGAAUAUUCACGAGUGUCAAAUCUAUCAAAGUACAAUUUGAGGACAACCCAUUCAAACGCGUACACGAUUUUUAACUUUUCUAAAGUUGUUGAGAGCUGUUGAAAGAGAUUUACCAUGUUUACAUCUUCCAAGUCUUGGGAGUAAAAAAUGAAGCCACUGAGUGCUAUAAAAAGGGGGGUAGAGGCCACUUGAGAUCCUCGGUGACAUGUUUUCUAUGCCAAUCCAAUGCCACCAAUAGUGUUGCGCCAAGUGUCAUGUUAUUAUUUACACUUGUGUUAAACUAAGCCAAGUUGAAUUAUUAGAAAAUUAAAGUGUAAAUAAUAACAUGACACUUGGCGCAAUACUAUUGGUGACAUUGGGUUGGCAUAGAAAAUAUGUCACCGAGGAUCCCAAGUGGAUAGAUGCUGCCUAGAAGCAUAUCAGCCUAAAACAAGAAUUUGUAGUAACAAUGGGGAGCAAAGCAAAAGCAACGGGGUCUAGGCUGACUCCUCUUCUUACCACUGUUUUAGUGGUAUUUGUUGCCCUUGGCUUGCCCUUGGAAACUGCAGCUGAUUAUUACAAGUAUUCAUCUCCUCCUCCUCCUCCUUACCAGUAUUCCUCACCACCACCUCCAGUGUAUUCACCUCCACCAACCCCUGUUUAUAAGUUACCCCCACCAUCUCCUCUAGUUUACAAGUCCUCACCACCACCUUACCACUACUCACCACCUCCUGUGUAUUCACCUCCACCAUCACCAAUUUACAAGUCACUGCCACCACCCCCUCCAGUAUACAACUCCCCGCCUCCACCAGUGUACAAAUACAAGUCCCCACCACCACCUUCUCCAAUUUACAAAUCUCCACCGCCACCAGUUUACAAGUACAAGUCACCCCCACCACCUCCUCCGGUAUACAAGUCUCCUCCGCCACCUGUUUACGAGUACAAGUCUCCUCCACCACCUCCUCCAGUGUACAAGUCCCCACCACCUCCAGUUUACAAGUACAAGUCACCACCACCUCCUCCCCCGGUUUACCAAUCUCCUCCACCACCAGUUUACAAAUACAAGUCACCACCACCUCCUCCCCCAGUUUACCAGUCUCCACCUCCACCCUAUCAUCACUACUACGGUUCUCCUCCUCCUCACCACUACUAAGCAAGUGCAUCUAAGUUUUGAGGUAAUAAUACCGAUCCAAAACUUUAUCAACGCAAACUGCCAUGUAUAUCAUGCUAAGGACGUACACUUGAUCCAUGAAAAUGGCUAGUAGAAGAUUUUUUUUAAGAACCAGAGAAAUACAUUAUUUUUUCGCUCUGUUUUCAAGAAUUUGAGCAGUAUACAGAUUAAAGAGUGUUUUUUUUAAACUUGCUUAUCAACUUAGAAAUGCACAUAGCUGAAAGCCAACUGAAUAUUUGCAGGCAAAGGAGAAGGCAAUCGGUGUUUGAGACCUUCAUGAAGAUGUAGAAGAAUAAGAAUAAAAGCCCAAUGCGAGGAUGAUUUCAAGUUUCUACGUUACCAUUUCUACAUCUAAAUUGACUUUAGCUCCUGAGUUCCAUGUCUAUGGGGUUUGUACUGUUUUACGUACCAUGCAGUACAUGCUUGUAAGGUUUUCUGUCCUGUUGGCAAGCCGCAGGUCCAUAUAAUAAAUGAAUACUAUUUAUAUUACGACACUUUUCUCUCUUUCUCUUAUAUUUUGUCUUUAAUAUUGUUGAUCAUUUUUUUUUUUUAUCAAAAGUAUCAAAUGCUUAGGCAAUUUGGUCUAAUGCUAAUUGUUUUACAUUUAUUUUUCACCUACAUCCCUUUUCAACUCAAAGGAUGCUACAGUUUGUGAUCAUUGUUUAAGACCGAAGCAUGGUACUAAUAAAUAUCUCAUUGAAAGUCAAGGAAACUAACAUUAUGAAAAGUGUAAAUCUUGAUUUGUGAAACUAUUUAUUCGUGGAAUUUAGAGAUACAAAACUCAAAUUGUGACGGUGUUGUUGCUAAAUUAUUUUUUUUUUAUAAUAAAACACAGUUCAUUCAAGGAUUACUGGAAAUCGUCCAGCACAAUUGAGAUACAUUGUUGCCCAGGUGGCAGAUAAAUAUGCACUAAAAUUAUAGAUAUGCAAUUUAACAAAUACAUAAGAUUUGAGAAAUUAAGGACAAAUCUAAAAAGGACCAUAAAUUUGAAAAACAUUUCAUCCUAGAAUAAGUCGCUGCAACUCUCUUUGUGCAUGCUGUAAUCGUCAGAUCUACUAAUCAACAGUUGUAAGGUCCAGUAAAGAUGGUGAGAUCUGCCGAGAUUGAUCCAAAUCUGAAAUAUUCCCUCAGAUCUGCUAUCCAAUUGGUUCAAACUCAAUACUGAAAGUGAAAUCUGAUGAGAAGACUGAAAAAAUUGUAGAUCUAACAUAUAGAUCUAAAAAAACUCCAAGAUUUGAAAAAGUAAAGAAACAAAACUAAAUAAAACUCUCAUUAAGAUAGUUUAGGAGAGACUAAAACUCUCAAUAGGACACCCUAGGAGAGAAGAAAACUCUCACUAGGAUAACCUAUGAGAGACUUUAUUGAAUGAAAGGAAAAGCAAAGGACAAAGGAAGAAGAAGGGAGACCUUGGCUUAAGGCCAAGGUCUCCCUCCUAUGGAGGAGGAAGGGUAGAGGAGGAAGCCUAGAGAGAAGGAAGAGAAUCCCUCCGCUAGAGGGAAGGAAGAGCCUCUGAGAGGGUACCCGUGUUGUUGCUAAAUUAUUAAGGACAUUAUCACCAUUACUUUUCCCUUACUAGUUUCAACUGCAAUGAUCUCAAUCUUUUUGUGACUAAUUCUUUUCUUAAUAAUUUAUAAAUACAAAACUCACAAAGAAUAUGUGACUUAUUCUUUCCUUUCGUCUUCUAAAGAAAAUGCCAACUGUUAGUUUAUCAAGGGAAAAAGGAUCGACAUCAGUUGUUAUUGAAACUAGUAAGGAAUAAAUAAUGGUGAUAAUGUCCUUAAUAAUUUAACAACAGCACCAUCAGAAUUUGAGCUUUGUAUCUAUAAAUUCCACGAAUAAAUAGUUUCAUCAAAUCAAGAUUUACACUUUUCAUAAUGUUAAGUUUCCUUGACUUUCAAUGAGAUAUUUAUUAGUAUCAUGCUUCGGUCGUAAACAACGAUCACAAACGAUAGCAUCCUUUGAGUUGAAAAGGGUAGUGAAAAAGAGAAGUAAAAAAUACAAUUAGCAUUCCCUCAAAUUGUAGAAAGUUAGGUAGCAUUAUAGACAAGUUGAUAGCCGUAAUUAUACUAAAAAUCAGGCAAAAGCCAGCAAUUUUACAUUUCAAAAUUCACCUAUUCAAUAACUAAUUCGAUGGCUUGCUACAUGGUCAAAAUUCACCACAUAUCCCUUUCCUCAAUCAGGGGCUUCUACAAUUACCAGUUCCAAUUGUAUGGUAUAGUGUAAAUAUCAACAAAUUAGAUGUAGACACUAAUAUAAUAAAUAUGGAUGCUAAGGCAACAACAUACAAAAACAUAAUAAAUUUUGGCAUUCCUUAAAAAAUUACGUCCCCAAAUCAAUCUCAUACACCCAAUUUCUAAUUUAUUUAACUCAUUCCGUCUAUUAACUGCACCAUACAAUCCAACCUGCAAUUGCAUGAACCCCAAUCUCGCUUCCUAGUCCACCAUUUUUCUCUAGGUAAUAAUCUCCCUUCUAAUUUCUUCACAAAAUGCACCUUUCAUCACCUCCAAUAGCGUCGACAUGAUCUUUACCCUAGAAGACUAUUCACCGACUCCCAAUUGACGUCAGAAAAUCUAAGAGUAAUUCUACUUUACCCUAAGAUUGAUAUCAACUAGACAAUGACAAUUUAGAAUUAUUACACGCCUCUUCUUAAUAGGAAAAAGAAAUAGAGAAGAAAGUCAGGCCAGGUCUAAUUUCUUUUCGAAGGCAAUACAACAUUACGAAAUCAAGCAUUCAUUCAUACAAAUAUUUCAUAGUCACCGGUUUGCUGAGUAGAAAAGUUUAUACAAAAACUUAAUAUUAUAUUGUUUAAGAGUUAACAAUUUAGAGCUUAAUCUCCUUGUACUUUGGACUAAACUCGAACGUGAAAGGAAAUCCCAAAACCAUAUUGGGCAUGAAUUCACACUUAAAUAGACCCAAAAAAAGAUGGCGACUGGUGAAAGGCAGUGGAGACUGGUGGUGAGAUUUGAGGAAUAGAAGCAGACGGAAAAGCCACAAAUUUUUGCCGAAAGAGGGUCACUUUCAUGGUUAAUUUUGCUACUCUCUACUUGUACUUGACCAAUGACAGGUUGUCAGUCUGUGCAAUAAUAAAAACCUGUUCAAACUAAAAGUAAUUUCUGUAGAUAGUGGUAAGCAGGGUCGAAUCCACAGGGAUUAGGUGUAACUGUUUCUUUUCAAAUUCACAAUAACAAAGGGGGUGUUUUUAUGCAGAAUGUGACAAUCAAAGAAAUUCAAUUAAAAGUAAAAUAAUAAAAAUAAAAUAGCCAACUAGAAAUUAAAUAACAAUUUACUAAAAUCAAAUGAGUGAUAAUUAAGGAUCUAGCCAAGGAAUAACUUCAGCAGUGGUUCACCUAAUUGAUCAUUGGAACAAAGGCAAUUCCAAUUAUUUACUAAUAAAUAGGUUAUAACUGCCAAACAAGCGAUGACAGUCAAUCACUCCUUACUGUGUCGGUGAUUAAGGUACGCCCGUUAAUCACUGCCCUAAUUGAGAAAUAAUCUUAGGUACGCCCGUAAGAUUUAAUUUUCCAAUUGCCUUACAUAUUAGAGGAGUGUCAGGAACAAGGAAAUAGAAUGGGACGUCGUUUAAUGCAAAGGGUUGUGCGUUUAAGGCCUUAGAAGCAAUACUACGUCGUUCUAAUAACAUAGGCGGUGCUGGUGUGAUAGGCCAAGUUAGUUGAGGGUCAAUUACAUAAAUAGCCUUCUGUAACAGAUUUUUGGUUAUGUUUUUGAAUGAAAAGUAUCUCGCUGCUUUCUCUCUCUUGUCUGUUAUUUCCCUCCCUUUUCUUCUUUCUCUCUUCCCUCUUCUUAAUCUUGUUUCUUUCUUCUGAUUCUUCCCCCAAAUUCAAUACAAUUCCAGAAAUUAACCUGCAAGUCUGACAUUUGGUAUCAGAGCGGUCGAUUCUUGGCCGCGAAGGUAUCAGAAAUGGCUGAGAGCACGCGAUUCAGGACACUGGAGGAGCAACUCAAGAAGCAGGAGAAUCGGUUGCAAGAACUGGCGGAAUCCAUGGCUGCACUGCAGAGUACGAGUUCCGAGGAGUUGCGGCAUAAGCUACAGGCGGAAAUGGAGCAGAACAAUGCAAAAUUGGACGCGGUGGUGGGAAGUCUGGACCAGAAGUUCAAUAAAAUGGAACAGAGACUCAGUACAGUGUUGAAGCUGCUGAUGAAGGAGAAAGGUCUCCCUGAUGUCGAAGGAGGAAUUUCUGAUCCAAUCUUGCCGACUCCUCCAUCUCAUCUGAGGUUAGCAUCCUCAGUCGAAGGGAUUGGGCACCAACAAGAGUACAGAGGUAGGCAAUUCACUCCUAAUGUACCUCGAUUAGAACUGCCAAUGUUUAACUCUGGAAACCCUAGGGAAUGGACCAGGAAAUGCCAGAAAUAUUUUUUGAACUAUCAGAUAGCAGAGAGUCAAAAGGUAGAGGUAGCAGAGAUGUUUUUGGAAGGUAGAGCUGACAAUUGGUUUCAAGGAGUGAAAUUGGUGAGGCCAGGGUUGUCUUGGGGGGAAUUUAGUGAACUUUUGUGUGAAAGAUUUUCUGGAAGUAGUUCUCGUGACAUUGUGGAGGAAUUUAACAAGUUACAGCAGAAAGGAACUGUUGAGGAAUAUGAGGAGAAAUUUGAAGAACUAAAAGCUCUAAUGCUGAUGAAAACCCCCAGGUUGGAUGAACUUUACUUUGUUUCCAGUUUUAUUAGUGGCCUCAGGGAAGAAAUUAGACCUAUGGUGAAGAUGUUUAAGCCUCAAACACUGAUGAAGGCCUUUGAAGUUGCGGAGUUGCAGGAGUGUUCCCUGGAAAUCCAAUCGAAACAAAACAGAACUUCAAGGAGGACAGCAAUGGAACCCAAGUUUGGAAUGUAUAAGGGCACUACGAGUGAUUAGGGUCGCCAAAAUUCAUAUAAGUUGCCUGGAGUCACUCCUGUCUCCAGGAGGACUAAUGCAGUACACAAGGAAUUUAGUAAGAUAUCAGCGGAGGAAAUGCAGUAUAAGCGUAAGCACAGCCUGUGCUAUAGGUGUGGAGAGAAGUUUGGAAUAGGUCAUCAGUGUAAGAAAGGAAGUCUGAACUGUGUGAGCACUGAGGAAGAGGAGGACACUGAAUUUGAGGAUGCGGAAGGGGAACAGGAUGAGUUAACAGGAAGGGUCGGGGAACUUGCAGAAGUCUCUUUGAAUGCUUUAUCUGGUGCCAUAAGGAGGAAAUCCAUCCUGUUGAUAGGGAACUUAGGGGGGCUUCCAGUCAAAAUUUUGGUGGACACAGGCAGUUCUAACAGCUUCAUUCACCACAGGAUUGUCAACCUACUGCAUCUACCAUAUCAGGCAGUCAGUCCAUUUACUGUGACUCUAGCAGAUGGAACUGACAUUACCAGUGGAGCCAUCAGUCCCAGCGUGUCUUGGUUAAUUCAGGACUAUCAAUUCCAAUUUGACUUAAAAGUAAUGGAAUUAGGGGGAUGGGAUAUAAUUCUGGGGGUGGACUGGAUGUGCCAGUAUAGUCCCAUUACAUUUGAUUUCCACUCUCUUAGCAUUGCCCUUAGUGAUAGGGGUUCUUUACUACACCUCCAAGGACUUGUGAAGCAACCUACUAUGGAACUGGUGAGGGGCAGGGAUCUCAGCUCGUUUAUACAGGAGAAGCAAAGAAACUGUGCAGCCAUGCAUGCUGAUAGGGCCAGGGAAACAGGAGAGCAGCUUCCAAAAGCUAUAGAAAGGAUCCUGGAACAGCACUCUCAGGUUUUCUCCACCCCAACAGGAUUACCCCCAGAGAGGGAAUUGGACCAUCAGAUCAACCUCAAACCAGGAGCUGAACCCUUCAAGCUCAAACCUUACAGGUACCCCCACUCACAUAAAGCAGAAAUUGAAAAAAAAGUUGCUGAGAUGCUCACUAAUGGAAUUGUUAUACAUAGCACAAGCCCCUAUGCCUCCCCUGUAUUGUUAGUAAAGAAAAAGGAUAACUCCUGGAGAUUAUGCAUAGAUUACAGGAAGCUGAACGAGCUGACUAUAAAGGAUAAGUUCCCUAUUCCCAACAUAGAUGAACUAUUGGAUGAAUUACAUGGAACCAGAUACAUGUCCAAACUGGAUCUCAGAGCUGGUUACCAUCAGUUGAGGGUGAAAGCUGUUGAUACCCCUAAGACUGCCUUCCAGACACACCAUGGCCACUUUGAAUUCUUAGUGAUGCCUUUUGGACUCACAAACGCGCCAGCUACAUUUCAGUCCUUGAUGAACAGAAUAUUUCAGCCAUAUCUCAGAAAGUUUGUCCUAGUCUUCUUUGACUACAUAUUAGUGUACAGCCCCACACUAGAGAUGCAUGCACAGCAUCUACAGAUUGUGCUCAAUAUUUUAGAAGAAAAUCAGCUGUAUUACAAGAGGUCAAAGUGCUCUUUUGCCCAGUCCUCAAUUGAAUACUUGGGGCACGUGAUCUCAGAGGCAGGAGUGAGUAUGGAUGUGGCUAAGGUGGAGUGUAUCAAGUCCUGGUCUGUUCCUAGUACAGUCAAGGAGCUGAGAGGGUUUUUGGGAUUAAUUGGUUACUACAGGAGAUUCAUUAAAGGCUAUGGAGUGAUUAGCAAACCCUUGACUGUAUUGUUGAAAAAGGAAGGUUUUGCAUGGAACCAUGAAGCUCAAAUGGCCUUUGAAGAUUUGAAAAAGGUUAUGACCACAGCCCCAGUGCUGAGCAUGCCUAAUUUCGAACUUCCUUUUGUCAUAGAGACUGAUGCCUGUGGAAUAGGUAUUGGAGCAGUGUUGAUGCAGCAAGGACAUCCUAUUGCUUUCCUUAGCAAGGCAUUAUCAGUUCAGAAUUUGGGGUUAUCAGUCUAUGAAAAAGAGCUUUUUGCCUUAGUGCUAGCUGUAACUAAGUGGAGGCAUUACCUGGUGGGUCAUCACUUCAUUAUCAGGACAGAUCACCAAGCUCUCAAACAUUUGAUAGAGCAAAGGCUUACUCAUCCACUCCAGCACAAGUGGCUAACUAAGCUACUUGGUUUGGACUAUGAAAUACAGUAUAAAAAGGGUGCAGACAAUGGGGUGGCAGACGCCCUCUCCAGGAGAAGGAUUGAGGGAAACACUGUUGACUGUGGAGAGACUGGGCAUCAGACCUGCGCCAUAACCUCAGCUCAGCCUAGUUGGAUGCAGGAAAUGCUAGAAAGCUACAUUGGAGAUGCAGAGGCUCAACAGAAGUUAUCUGAGCUAUUGCUGGAUCCCAAUGCAGAUCCAGAUUAUCAGUUAAAGAAUGGGAUGCUCAAGUUUAAAGGGCGGCUGUACAUAGGAUCUGCUAACAACAUUAGGACCAAGGUGGUCAGAGCAUUGCAUGACUCAGCCCUUGGGGGGCACUCAGGUCCUGGAAUCCGUAAGGAUGUCCUUCAAUAUGUGAGAUCUUGUGAUGUGUGUCAAAGGAACAAACAUGAAAAUGUUCCUUAUCCUGGGUUGCUGCAACCAAUUCCUGUACCUCAGCAGGCUUGGUCACACCUCACCAUGGAUUUUAUUGAGCAACUACCCCCAUCCCAUGGAUUUGAUACCAUUUUGGUGGUGGUGGAUAGGUUAACCAAGUUCAGCCACUUCAUUCGACUCACUCACCCUUUUUCUGCACAGCAGGUAGCACAGCUUUUCCUUGACAACAUAUACAAGCUGCAUGGACUUCCUGAGACCAUUAUAACUGACAGGGACAUAAUCUUUCUUAGUAAGUUUUGGCAAGAGUUAUUUGGUAUGGUAGGGGUAAAGCUGCACUACAGUUCAUCGUAUCACCCUCAAUCAGAUGGUCAAAGUGAAAGGGUCAAUCAGUGUUUGGAAAACUAUCUCAGGUGUAUGUGCAGUGAGCAUCCUUCUCACUGGAGCAGUUGGCUUCCUACAGCUGAGUUAUGGUACAACACUAACUUCCAUACUAGCUUGCAGGUGACACCAUUCGAAGCACUAUACGGGUAUAAACCAAAUCACCUUCCCUUAGGACCUUUUCAUGAUAGCCUGGUACCUGCUGCUGGUAACAUGGUGCAGACUAGGCUCCAAAUUCUAUCCCUCAUCAAAGAGAAUCUAGCCACCGCCCAGAAUCGAAUGAAAAUGUUUACUGAUAAGCACAGGACUGAACGUGUCUUCCAAGUGGGGGAUUGGGUAUUUCUCAAGCUGCAACCUUACAGGCAACAAUCAGUGGCCUUACGGAAGAAUUUGAAGUUGGCUGCCAAAUACUUUGGACCUUUCCAGAUCCUUGCGAGAGUAGGGGAAGUCGCCUACAGACUUAAGUUGCCAGAGGGAGCUCGAGUUCAUUCCGUGUUCCAUGUGUCCUUACUUAAAAGGAAAGUGGGAGUUACACAGCAGGUAAAGCCCAGCUUGCCAGAAGUAGACGCAUCAGACCAAUGUUUGCUGAAGCCAGAGAAGAUUCUCCAGAGGCGUGUUAUCAUACGAGCUGCCAAACCAAUCAUCCAGUACCUGGUGAAGUGGAACAACUUACCAGAAUCCGAAGCAUCAUGGGAGGAUAAAAGCUUCAUUGACAGACAAUUUCCGGAAUUUCAAGCUUGAGGACAAGCUUUGCUUAAGGGGAAGAGAUUGUCAGGAACAAGGAAAUAGAAUGGGACGUCGUUUAAUGCAAAGGGUUGUGCGUUUAAGGCCUUAGAAGCAAUACUACGUCAUUCUAAUAACAUAGGCGGUGCUGGUGUGAUAGGCCAAGUUAGUUGAGGGUCAAUUACAUAAAUAGCCUUCUGUAACAGAUUUUUGGUUAUGUUUUUGAAUGAAAAGUAUCUCGCUGCUUUCUCUCUCUUGUCUGUUAUUUCCCUCCCUUUUCUUCUUUCUCUCUUCCCUCUUCUUAAUCUUGUUUCUUUCUUCUGAUUCUUCCCCCAAAUUCAAUACAAUUCCAGAAAUUAACCUGCAGAUCUGACAAGGAGCCCUAUUCUAACCAAAUAACACACUACCAGGGUUAUUUUAGGUUAGCCCGCGUAUUCCCCUGACAUGAAUCCAAUCAUGCCAGUUAUCACUAUUUUGAAACAAUUAAACAAUUACGGAUUUAACGUCCCAAUUGACAAUAGAUUAUCAAAUUAACUAAUUAUCCGGAUCCAAAACAAUCAAUUAAUUAAAUAAUCAUAAGCACUGUAAUCAGGGAAUAUUUGAAUACCAAUAAAUAAAAAGAAAGGACAAAAUUAAAUCGAUUUCACAAUUUUUAAACGAACCACAACCUCAGUUGUUCCUCGGCUAGAUUGAGAAAAUUAGCUCAUGUUCGAUGCGAAAAAUCCACAAGAAAUUGUUAAGAGAGCCGCGGCCAUUGUCCCUUGAAAUUGGGGAAAUUCAAUUCGGUUGAACUACGAAAGAAAAGUAAGCUACAGAGAGUUGCCGAUUGGGUUUUGCUUGUCCCUAACAUGCGAGGGAGCAAAGCCACGAAAGGACGACAAAGGUCAAAAAGAAAGGCUACAGAGCAUGUUCCAGGUCUUUUUGUGCUCUCCACAUCCGAGCCAACGAAAAGAAAUAAAAAACUACCAGGAGCUAAAGGAAAACCGCAAGAAAAGUCAAAGGCUAAAAAAACUUCCUAGUGCUUGUUCUCUGCUUAUCUCUUUAUCUAAUUCUAAGUCCCCGAUUUUUUGCUCCGUGCGGCGGCUCCCCCGGAGAGAAAGGAUUGCAUCCGCUGCCCUCUUCCACCAAUUACCAAAAUGGGCACACCGCUUCUUUUUCAAAAAUGCUCCUGGAUAAACUCUAUCAUCUGGACUUUUUUUCUGUCAAAUUGACAUUUAUUAUUAUAUUUUCGUUCUACUCCCUGAAAUAAAUGUAAAAUAUUAAAAAUGAGUAGAAUCCGACAAUUAAUUCACAUCAGGUCAGAUAAUAAAGAAAAUUAAUAAUAAAAUAAAUAAAUAAAUUGCAACCUAUCAACCAAAUACAACAAUUUCAUGGAGUUUGAUACACAAGCCCAAAUACACGAGAGUGUGUAACCUGAAUUGUUACUUAUACAUUAGUGUGUAAUAGAACGGCAAGCAUUAUGGUGGUCAUUGAGCAACUUGUAGGAGAAAUAGUCCUAUAAGCUGUUCAAUGACCAAUCACAACUUGCUAAUUGGAUGACUAAUAUAGCUCUAGCUGUAAUGUUUUAAUUAAAUUCCAUCACUAACGUUGGGAUGACUUUUUAAUCAAAAAAAAAAAAGCCUUAGUUCAAGCUUUUCCCCUUAUUGUGCAUUUUUUAAAACAUUUGAUAGGCACUGCAAAUCUGUCAUUUUGGACAUUUUAUUAUUAACUAACAAUGAAAGCCGUGGACAUCAACCCAUAUCCAACAAAAUAUUAAAUUAAUAUUAGAAAAAAUUAUUAAGUAAUUGGAAAAAAAAAGAAGAGGCUAAUUUUCAUUGAAACCCACCGACAAACUAUACGCUGCUUUCAAUCAGUUUUAACACGGGAAAAAGAAAAGGCAUGAAAAGCAAAAUUUGUGGGGAUAAUUUCGGAAACCUCCCAUGAAGUUUUUGACUAUUUUACUGGCCUCCCUUCAGAUUUUAAAAAUUGGACUAAUCUUCCUUAAAGUUAAUUAUCUUGUAACAUUUAGAUCCGAUCAAUAAUUUAAAAAAUAAUAUUAUGAGAGAGAAAAUAAUAUGAUUUUAUUAUUGCCCCCAUCUCACCACAUUAUUUAAUUAAUUUAAUAGCAACCCACACAUUAAAGAAAAUGACAGGUCGUCAACCUGUGCAAUAAUAAAAUUAAACCUAAUUGCCAGUUAAAAUGACCAAAACCCAAUUCCAAGUACUGGAGCAGGGACUCUAGGUGUGCAAUGGGUUACUUGAUUCACCCUGUUCCCGAAGAGUUUGCUUGAUCCGAUAUACCCGAAUGGAAUGGUUAUUCCUUUUCACAAAUGAUUAGGAAUUUGUAGACAGGGCAAGUAGGGUCGUAUCCACAGAGACUGGGUAUAUUUGUUUCUUAAGAAAUCCAAAGUAACACAGGGGGUGAUUUUGUAGGAACGACGAUAAUUAAAUAAAUUCAAAUGAGAAAGUAAAAAUAAAUAAUUAACUAGAAAUUAAACCACAAUUUACUGAACUCAGGAUAACAAUAGUUAAAGGCCUCAAUUAAUUAAAAUAAGGAAACAAUCAAAAAUAAAAUAAAGUAGGUAAUUAAAAGUCAAAUGGCAAUCCACUACAAUCAAGGAAAUAUUAACUAAAGAUCUAGCCAAGAAAUAACUUCAGCAAUGGUUCACCUAAUCGAUCAUUGAUGCAAAGCAAUCCCAAUUAUUUACUAAUAAAUAGGUUAUAACUACCAAACAAGCGAUGGCAGUCAACCCCUCCUUACUGUGUCGGUGAUCAAGGUACGCCCGUUAAUCACUGCUCUAAUUGAGAAAUAAUCCUAGGUACGCCCGUAGAAUUUAAUUCCCCAACUGCCUUACGUAUUAGAGGAGCCCUAUUCUACCCAAAUAACACACUACCAGGGUUAUUUUAGAUUAGCCCGCGUAUCCCCCUGACACGAAUCUAAUCGUGCCAGUUGUCACUAAUUUGAGGUAAUUAAACAAUUACGGAUUCAAUACCCCAAUUGACAAUAGAUUAUCAAACCAAUGAAUUAUCCGGAUCCAAGACAAUCAACUAAUUAAAUAAUCAUAAGCACUGCAACCAAGGAAUAUGCGAAUACCAAUAAAUAAAGGAAAAGAUAAAAUUAAAUCGAUCUCACAAUUUACAGGUGACCCAAAGCAUCAGUCGUUUCUUGACUAGAACGAGGGGGUUAGCUCAUAUUGGAUGAACUAAGCCCGCGGGAAAUUCCAGCAAAAGUCACGGCCGUUGUAUGCAUUUCAAGAGCCGCAAUUCGUCAAACACUUGGAAAGCGAAUGUAAGGCACGGGUAACAAUUGAAACUUUCUAAUUGUUCCUAGCAUUCGUAAAGCAAAUUCACUCCAGAAGUACAGUGAGGAAAAGUCAAAGAAAGUGGGCUUCAAUUCCUUGCUCCUGACAUGCGUGGAGACAAGCCAAUGCAAGACUACAAUAAACUAACAAGGAAAAGUCAAGAAUUGGAGCUAAGCUCCCCUGCCAUGCGCAGGAAUCCCAAAAGUAAAAAGUAAAGCUUCAAAGAAAAGUCAACAAUUCUUCCUAAGCUACAGACGGAAGAUCCAGCACAAAAGCCAGCUCCCUUUUUGAUCCCUUUUUCCCCCUUCUUAUUGCGGCGGCUCACCAGGAGAGGAGAGCCCUCCGUCCGUCCUUUCUUCCGGAAAUUACCAAAAUGGGCAUGACAUCUUCUCUUCCAAAAGUGCCCCUGGGACAAGCUUUCUCAUCUGAAUUCUUUUUUUUUCCAAUUUGGCACCUGUUAUCAUAUUUAUAUUCUACUCCCUGAAAUAAACGUCAAAUACUAAAAGUGAGUAGAAUCCAGCAAAUAAAUCCACAUCAAGUCAGGUAAUAGGAGGAAUUAAUAAUAAAAUAAAUGAAUAAAUUGCACCCUAUCAAUUCCCUCCACACCUAAACCAUGCUUGUCCUCAAGCAUAAGAAAAGUAAACGAACACCAAAAUUCGACGAUAGCCAUUGCCCAAUCUCCUAUAUUGCCAAGACAUUCAAGAGAAAAACACAUAUCGAGCAUUGGUGAUUAGAAUCCCAGAAGCAUCCCCCCGGUUAGCCUCUAACCCCCAGAUUCCUUCAAUUUCCAACUUAACUACUCUAAGAAAGAGGAAUGGCACACAACAUUUAUCAGCUAGUGGUCCGAAUAUUCACACAAGUCUUCAUAUCCAAUCCAUAAACCGGCAAGCUUCCCUAUUAUUUAGUCUCUCUUUUUUUCCGUUUUUUUUCAUUUUCAUUCUUCCCCUCUUUUUUUUUUUUUUUUAAAGCAGUAGCAAUCAACACAAAAGACUUAGUCGUUAGCCGUCAGGGCCUUUUGAUGCGAACUCCAACAUUUUUAGAAGGAGGAGCCCGGUUACUCAGCUCCUACCGCUAUACGACCACGCACUCAUAUAAAAUACCACCUUUUGACGCGAGAAUCGACACUUUUAGGUGCCGAUCCCCGGUUACUCAGUAGUAACUUAAUAGCGGAGCACAGUCAAGCUUAUUCUCAGCCAAACAAUGCACAAACGCAAAAUAACAGCACUAACAAUCAAACAUAGGAGCAGCUCGCCUCAUUAUUGUCAAACAUGGAGAACUGGAGUCAAUAUUGGACCAGUUCACAUUAAAAGGCCAUAUUCAUUCCCUACGCCUAGAAAAGUUAACAAAGAAAUCGAAAGAGUCAAACAGUUAAAUAUUCACCAAGGGGAUAUUCAGGACCCAACCACACUAACCCGAUACAUUUUGUAUUUUAAAAACUUGGCAAAAGUAGAUUUGGAGUCAAUGAGUCCACAUCUCAAUUUUAGCCUUCACAUGAAAGGCAAUCACCAAGAAGAAAGAACGGAAAAAUAAGCAACUAGAAAUGAGACUACGAAAAACUACUAAAACUAAAAACUCACUUUUUUUCUUUUUCUCUUUUUUUUUCUUUUUGAAUUUUUUUUUCAUUUUUAUUUUUUUUUAUUUUUUUUAUUUUUUAAACAUUAACUAUAAACAUUAACUACUAAAAACUAAAAACUAAAACUACUAAAAACUAAAAACACUAAAAACUGCUAAAAUGAAAAGCUGAAAACUGAAAACUACUAAAAACGGAGCACACUAGCAUAACUUUAGAUCCCCCCCACACCUAUAGGACACAUUGUCCUCAAUGUGACAAAUAAGAACCAAAAGUGAAGCACAAGUGAGAGGGGAAUCAGCCAAACUUCCCUGAAAUCGGGUCACAGCGGAGGGCGAGGUGGAAAUGGAGGUGCAAAGCCUGUAUGCAUCAGGAACUGUGCCAAAUUCUGUGCUAUGCCGGCGACAUUGGCGUCGACGUUGGUCAUCCGGGCCUGCAAAUCCUGAACCAGCUCCCUGAGAUGCUGCCAAUCAUCGGUCCCAGGUGGUGGAGGUGGCGCAGAAGUAGAGGUAGACGGCCCAGCAGUGUCCGCGGCCGACCCAGGGAAUGAAGAUGGCCCUGCCCGGGCCGAAUGGUGUGCACCCGGGGCUCGAGGUGGUCCCGGACGGGUAAACUGGUGAAAACCAUCUGGCAGACGCUCGACGACCCCCAUUUUCUCUAAGCAAACUACGUCCAAGUGCUCCAUCUCAAAUGCCAAAUGGAGGUCGUGGUCAUCCAGGUUAAGAACUCCCAACUGGGUCGCCAAGUGAGUGAUGUAGGACCCAAGGAUCAGUGGUUUGUUCUUCUUGGUCAAGACCGUCUUGAACUGUGCGGCCAACCAACAUCCCAAGUUCACCUUGAUAUUGUUCUUCAUACUCCAGAGAAAGAAGAAUUCGGGCCGAGAGAGUAUACCGGAGCUGUCCUUGCGCCCCGAGUAGCUAUAAGCUAAGAAUCGCUGAACAUAGCGGGCGCUAGGGUCCUUAAGAAAGGAGCUCCUGGACCGGGAAGGAUCGUAGCGUUGCCUAUCGACGGACAUGUCCUCCCAUACAUCAUGGUAGUGGGAGAGGAAAGGCUCUACGUAGUCACAGGCACUCUCCGCAUACUCCCUAGUCUCAGCAUACUCUCUAGUGAUAAACCCAAAUGCCAGAUUGAAUUGAGUAAUGGAGAAAUUGAAUUCUCGACCCAUGAGCCGGAAAUGAAUGACAUUCGGUGUUUCACCCGUGUAUCUCGUAGGUAAUUCGAACUCAAAGGUGGAGUAAAACUCCCGGAUCAGCUCAACAAAAGCGGGACAAGAAAUAUGGAAAUAUGGGCGCCACCCAAUGGCUGUGAACAUUUGCUCAACCUCCUCCCGUAUACCCAGGGCAGUUAGAGAGAGUCUAUGACAAGACUUACAGGAUAUUAUACGCCUCUCGCAGACCUUAGCGUACCUCUGCCGAUCGGCGGGUCUGGUAAAUGUUAAGUGCCCCCCAAAAUGAACAGGUGCAUCUACCUGAGCACCCCUAUCCCUACCCAAACGGGUUCGAACACUAGAAGAGGAGGGUAGGUUGGUAGGUGAGUUGACAGGAAUAGAGGCUUGUGGAGGGGGUUGAGACUGAGAGGUCCUAGACCUAGAGGAGGAUUUCGGUCUCACCAUUCCCCCCAAAGUAAGUUCAAGGCAACAGAAAAUCCGACAAGUAUAGAAACCAGCAAUUGACAAAGCAAAAAUCUCCCAGUAGUAACCCAGCCAAUAGCAAACAAAAGAGUUCCAGCAAGUAAUCAACAAGCAAUUCAGAAAUAUCUCAACUAAAAUCUCAAGAGAAACCCCAGCGAGUUAUCCAGCAAUUCAAGCAAUAUCCCCAAGCAAUGUGGUGGUCAAAAUGUCAUCUCCAAAUUGAACAAAUAAUCAGAGCAUUGCAACACAUUGAAAAUCUCAAUAAACGGCUCCAGUUGGCCAAGAAAAAUUGCUAACUCAUACUCAGCAAUAGUAGUGCAGCAAAGGGACAGUAACCACGCAAUAAAAACACUUAGCUUGCACUCAAAUGGUCACCCCAAAUAACAACCCAGUAUGAAACCCGCAGGCAGAGUAUUCCUCAAACCGUUAGCCUAAACCCAGUCAACAACCACGGCCAGAAAUAACCCCAUAAAUAGUGCAAUGAGUAAUCCCCAGCAACAUAAUCAGGUGUAAUCAACUGGAGCAAGCAAUUUACAUGGCAUAGAAACCUCCCAAUCAAACAAGUGCAUUAUUCUAGCGCACCCCAAAAUUCCAAGAAAUGGCUCCAGUUGGCCAAUUAAUUUCACAAUGUCACCCAACUCAGGAGAAAUAGCAAUUCCACACAAAAAUAGUCAAACCAGUACCACUGGCGAAAAAUCUUUCAAAUAUGCACAAUUUGCUACCAAAUAUCACCGGCUAACACUGAAAAAUUGAGGGCAAGUGUCAAAUACCUCCACAGGGACUACCCCAGGCGGCAGACAGAGAAGCGGCGUUGAAGCUGGUGGUCGAGCGGGGCGGCGCUCGCGUCGGCGUGCGCAGCGGCGACGGCGCGCGAGGAUGGAGUUUCGGGAGGUUGCGUGCGGGCUUGGCUGAAGACGCGGCGCGCGCUAGGGCUUCGCUGCGGCAGGCGUGCAGCAGGGGAGAAGAAAGAAAAGAGAAAGAAAGAAAGAAAAAGAAAGGAAAGAAAGAACAGAAAAGAAGGAAAAGAAAAAGGAAUUUUUCUUUUUUUUCUUUUUCUUUAGGCUACGGUUUAGAGGACAAAUUUUUCUUCUUCUUGUUUUCUACUUUUUUAUUUUUUUAUUUUUUAGUUUUUAAUUUAUUACUAUUAUUAUCAUAUUUAAUUGAGGAAAAAAAAUGUUUUUUUUUAAAUCCCUACCUUUCCCACGAACGUGACGCGGGCACGUCAAGAGGGCAAGAGAGCUCCCAGAAGUUUCAGAAUUUUCUGAUCGUAAGCGUCCUGCACAUCACCACGCGGGCACGUCAUGAGGACAGGAGAGCUCCCAGAAGUUCAGAAUUUUCUGAUCGUGAGCGCCCUGCACGUCACCACGCGGGCACGUCAUGAGGCCAGGAGAGCUCCCAGAAGUUUGAAGUUUCUGAUUCCUGCCCGUCAUCACGCGGGCGCGUCAUGACUGAAGGUCACCUACAAAUCAGCAAAAACGAAAACUAACACCCAAAAUCAGUCAAAUUCAGGGAAAGCAGAUUUAAACUAUGCUACAAAACCAACAAACAAUUAAAAGAAAUAAUUAGGUUGCCUCCCAAUGAGCGCCUUUCUUUAAUGUCUUUGGCUAGACAUGGUAAAGUGUCACUGAUUAGGACACGGUGGUGCGUCAAGCCUUAUUGUCUCCACCUCUCUACCUGAAAAUCCUUCGUAAUAAUAUUUGAGACGGUGUCCAUUCACCACAAAUUUGUUGUCUGUCUUAGCACUCUGGAUCUCAACUGCACCAUAGGGAAAAACAUGAGUAACAAUGAAAGGUCCAAUCCAACGGGAACGUAGCUUACCUGGGAAUAGCUUGAGCCUGGAUUGGUACAGGAGGACCUUCUGACCAACUUCAAAUGUUUUUCUUGAAAUUUGUUGGUCAUGAAAUGCCCGGCUUUUCUCCUUAUAUAUCAAGGCGUUUUCGUAUGCUUCGUUCCGGAUCUCCUCCAAUUCUUGCAAAUCCAACUUCCGUUGAGCACCGGCCUCCUCUAAAUUCAUAUUGCAGUGCUUUAUCGCCCAAAAAGCCUUGUGCUCGAACUCCACUGGAAGGUGACACGGCUUCCCAAAUACCAACCUGUACGGUGACAUCCCAAUAGGAGUCUUGUACGCCGUCCGAUAGGCCCAGAGUGCGUCUUCCAACCUUUGGCUCCAGUCUUUUCUAUCAGGGCGCACCAUUUUCUCUAAAAUGGACUUAAUCUCCCGAUUCGACACCUCCGCUUGACCAUUGGUCUGAGGGUGGUAUGACGUUGAGACCCUGUGGAGUACACCAUACUUGCGAAACAACGCAGCUAUGGUUUUGUUGCAAAAGUACGUUCCCCUAUCACUGACAAUAGCUCUAGGCAUUCCAAACCGCACAAAGAUAUUAGACCUGAUAAAAUCUGCAACUACUCUCGAAUCAUUAGUUCGAGUGGCCUUAGCCUCCACCCAUUUAGACACAUAAUCAACUGCCAGCAAAAUAUAUAAAAAACCAAAUGAAGUAGGAAAAGGCCCCAUGAAAUCUAUACCCCAGACAUCAAAAAUUUCAACAAAAAUCAACGGGACCUGGGGCAUUUGAUCUCUACGGGCUAUAUUACCUACCAUUUGACAGCGAUCACAUGACUUACAAAACACAUAGGCAUCUCUAAACAAUGAAGGCCAAUAAAAUCCACUUUCUAAAACCUUAUGAGCAGUUCUCUUAGGUCCAAAAUGACCUCCACAGGCAAAAGUAUGACAAAAAGCUAAAAUUGAUUGAAAUUCCAUUUCACUUACACAUCUCCUCAUCACUUGAUCGGCACACCUCUUCCAUAGGUACGGGUCAUCCCAGAUAAAAUACUUGGCAUCGCUCUUCAAUUUAUCCCUCUUCGAUUUCGGCCAACCUGCAGGAAAAUUACCAGUUACCAAAUAAUUGACCAAAUCAGCAUACCAAGGCAACUGAGAAUUUAAGAAAAAUAGGUAUUCUUCGGGGAAUGCAUCCUUCAAUGGCUCGCUAUCCUCUUCAACUAGUAUGCGACUCAAAUGGUCCGCUACUAGAUUUUCUGAGCCUUUUUUGUCCCUUAUCUCCAAGUCAAAUUCCUGUAGGAGCAGUAUCCACCGUAUGAGCCUCGGUUUUGCAUCUUUCUUGGUCAUCAGGUACCUCAAUGCUGCAUGAUCAGAAAAUACAAUCACUUUAGCACCUAACAAGUAUGACCUAAAUUUUUCCAAAGCAAAAAUAACUGCCAGAAGCUCCUUCUCAGUGGUGGAAUAAUUCAACUGGGCUCCAUUCAAGGCCCGGGAUGCGUAAUAGAUGACAUGAGCCGCCUUGCCUAUUCUUUGCCCCAGUACAGCCCCAACAGCGUGAUCACUGGCAUCGCACAUGAUCUCAAAUGGCAAAUUCCAAUCGGGGGGUUGGAUGAUUGGGGGUGAAGUCAGCAAUUCCUUCAGCUUGUUAAAGGCUCUCUCACACUUAUCAUCAAAUUCGAAGGCUACAUCUUUUUGUAGGAGUUGGAACAACGGGGCUCCAAUCUUUGAAAAAUCCUUGAUGAACCUUCGAUAAAAACCUGCAUGUCCAAGAAAAGAGCGCACCUCCCGCACACUCGCGGGGUAAGGUAAUGCAGAAAUAAUGUCUAUUUUAGCCUUGUCAACUUCUAUGCCCUUAGACGAUACAAUAUGACCCAGGACUAUUCCGUGCUCAACCAUAAAAUGACAUUUUUCCCAAUUAAGCACAAGAUUAGUCUCUAUACACCUGAUCAGGAUUAAUUUCAGGUUAUCUAGACAAGUAUCAAAACUAUCACCAUACACACUGAAAUCAUCCAUGAAAACUUCUAUUAUUUUCUCAACAUACUCGGAAAAGAUGCUUACCAUACAUCUUUGGAAAGUCGCAGGUGCAUUGCACAACCCAAAUGGCAUUCGUCUGUAGGCAAAGGUCCCGAACGGGCACGUGAAGGUUGUCUUCUCUUGAUCCUCCGGGGCAAUUGCUAUCUGAAAGUAUCCUGAAAAUCCAUCCAAAAAGCAAUAAUAAGCCCUACCAGCUAAACGUUCAACCAUUUGGUCAAUGAAAGGGAGAGGGAAAUGGUCCUUUUUGGUGACGGCGUUUAGCCUACGGUAAUCUAUACAUUGCCUCCAUCCAGUGGGUUUGCGCACUGGCACGAGCUCACCAGUUUGGUUGGCCUCUACCGUCACUCCUGCAUUCUUUGGGACUACCUGGACCGGACUCACCCAAGGGCUAUCAGAUAUUGCAAAAAUGAUGCCCACAUCUAGCAAUUUUAGAAUCUCUUUCUUUACGACUUCCAUCAUGAGGGGAUUGAGCCUUCUUUGAGCCUGCCUAACAGGUUUGGCAUCGUCUUCCAGCCUAAUCCGGUGCAUACAAAUGGCCGGGCUGAUCCCCUUAAUGUCUGCGAUUGUCCAGCCUAUUGCCUCUUUAUGCUCCCGAAGGACCCGGAUCAAUUUCUCUUCCUGGGUCUUUGACAGUGCCGAUGAGAUAAUCACUGGGAGUGUCUCAUUAUCACCUAGGUAUGCGUAUUUCAGGUGCUCUGGUAGAGGUUUCAACUCCAGUACAGGUGCCUGCACCACAGAUGGCAAUACCCUCUGGUGAGCCUUGGGAGUAAAAAUAGGUAAGACUUCAUACCUUUUCGUGGUGGUCUGCAACGAGUGUAAUGCACCUAUUGUGCAUUUUAAAUCCUCGCUCCACUCCACCUCAGGAGUUGUCUCCAACUCGAGGUGCUUGGUUAAAGCCACCUCCAGCUCAUCCCUGCCAUCAGUUUCAAACACUUCCUGCACUACAGGGUCAAUAGCACUCACAGAAAAAACUGAGCUAAAGUUGGAGUUAGAGGGGUACUUCAUAGUAUCAAAAAUAUUAAAAUGCACAAUUUACCCAUCAAACUCCAUGGACAAGGUACCCUUAUUAACAUCAAUUUUCGUCUGCGCAGUGCUCAUAAAAGGUCUACCCAAUAACAAAGGUGAGGGAUCAGGGGAGUGAUCAUCAUCCAUAUCUAGUACAUAAAAAUCAGCUGGAAACACCAAAUCAUUAACCUUUACCAACACAUCUUCAAUCAACCCAUCAGGAUAUGCAUUAGUUCGGUCAGCUAAUUGAAUAAUUAUUCCAGUUUCUUUUAAUGGACCUAGUUUCAAAGAAGCAUAGAUAGAUUUAGGCAUGACAUUAAUUGAUGCUCCCAGAUCCAGCAUGGCCCUUCUGAUCACAGUAUUACCUAUCUUACAGGGAAUAGUAAACAUACCUGGGUCCCCGCACUUUGGUGGGAGCUUUCUCUGCAGGACCGCAGACACAUUUUCUCCAACUAUGACCCGUUCAUCUCCCCUCAACCGCCUUCGGUUGACACACAAGUCCCUUAGGAACUUGGCAUAUUUUGGUACUUGUUUGAUGGCGUCUAAGAGGGGGAUAUUUAUCUCAACCUUGCGAAAAACCUCCAAGAUCUCCUUCUCCUUAUCCUGCUUCUUCGAUUUUUCCAACCUGCUAGGAAAAGGAGGCGGGUUAGUUUUAACUGUAAUUAUUGGGUCAGGAAGUACCUCUGGAUCUGCACCAUUGCUGUCCUCCCUUUCGAGCUCAUUUUCGAUCUUCUCUUCAUCCUUGUCCUUGGGAAUCACAGGUUCAGGCCCCUGAAUUUCUUUCCCACUCCUUAGGAUCAUUGCGCUCACGUUCUUCGGAUUCAACUCCGGUUGAGAUGGCAGCUUCCCUUGGUUCUGGGACUCCCAACGGUUCAUUCUGGUGGCCAAUUGACCUAUCUGAUUCCUUAUGUCCUGCAUUUCGGAGUCCGUCUUUUGCUGAUUUUGCAUAAUAGCUGCCUCCGUCCUUUGCUGAUUCUGCGCCAUGGUUGUCAUCAUUUGUUUCAGCAUCUCAUCCGUAGAUGAACCAGAUUGAGGGAGCGGAGGUGGUCGGGGUUGGUAUUGCUGCUGGUACCCUGGUGGCUUAUUUGGCACAAAGUUAGACUGCCUGUUUGGCGUGAAGUUGGAUUGCCUAUUUCCACCAUAACUGAGGUUGGGAUGAUCUCUCCACCCGGGGUUGUAGGUGCUUGAGUAAGGGUCGUACUGCUUCCUUGGCGCGGGCGCGUGGUCAGCCAUGUUCACCUGUUCCGCAGUUUCUUCCUGAAUCAUUGGGCACAUGUCUGCAGAGUGACCUAUACCAGUGCAAAUCCCGCAUACCCUGGCUUGUGAUGCAUUUCUCACAGCCUAUUGCCUAACGAACGCAGUCAACUCAUUUAGCUGCUGCUGCACAGAGGGUGUCUCUAUCUCAUUCACCCUACGUAUUGGGACAUCCUAUCUUGUACUGAAUUGCUGUGAAUUCUCUGCCAUCCCCUCUAUUAACUCCCGUGCUUCCUGAGGGGUUUUGUUCACCAGUGCCCCUCCACUUGCAGCAUCAAUGAUGCUCCUGUCUCUAAAAAUGAGCCCCUCAUAGAAAUAUUGUAUGAUCAACUGCUCACUUAUUUGGUGAUGGGGGCACCUGCGCAACAAGCUCUUAUACCGUUCCCAAUACUCGUAAAGUGACUCCUCGGGAUGCUGCUUGAUCCCACAAAUUUCUUUCCUUAGACUCGCAGCCCUGGACGCAGGAAAAUAUUUAUCCAGAAAUUUUUUCUUCAAUUGGUCCCACGUGGUGAUGCUACCUGGUGACAGGUAGUACAGCCAGUCCUUCGCAGAAUCUUUCAAGGAGAAGGGGAAUGCCCUCAUUUUUAUCUGCUCUUCUGUGAUUCCCGGGGGUUUCAUACUGUUGCAAACGACAUCAAACUCCUGCAGAUGCUUAUACGGCUCUUCACCUGGUAAACCAUGAAAAGAGAGUAAAAGCUGAAUCAGACCAGAUUUUAGUUCAAAUGGAAUGUUGUCAUUUAAAGCUGGGAAAGUAAUGCAUAACGGCUGCUGAGUUAAAUCAGGAGCAGCCAACUCCCUUAAUGUUUAUGCAUUAGCCAUGGUGCCUUCCUGCUGGUCAGAGUCACUCGAAGUGUUACCAAACGAAUCUGUUGGUUCAACUUCUGACUCGGGUCUUUGAGAUGUAGCACUAGAGUGCUCUUCUCUGAGCUGUCUGGUUUCCUUUCUCGUUCUACGCGCGGUCUUCUCUACCUCAGGAUCAAAAACCAAAUCACCUGUGCGACAAGAUCGAGGCAUACACUAGAAGAAAACCAGAAAAUUAGGACAAAAUUGAAUUUAAGAAGAAACAAAUAAUAACGCCAGUCCCCGGCAACGGCGCCAAAAAUUGACAGGUCGUCAACCUGUGCAAUAAUAAAAUUAAACCUAAUUGCCAGUUAAAAUGACCAAAACCCAAUUCCAAGUACUGGAGCAGGGACUCUAGGUGUGCAAUGGGUUACUUGAUUCACCCUGUUCCCGAAGAGUUUGCUUGAUCCGAUAUACCCGAAUGGAAUGGUUAUUCCUUUUCACAAAUGAUUAGGAAUUUGUAGACAGGGCAAGUAGGGUCGUAUCCACAGAGACUGGGUAUAUUUGUUUCUUAAGAAAUCCAAAGUAACACAGGGGGUGAUUUUGUAGGAACGACGAUAAUUAAAUAAAUUCAAAUGAGAAAGUAAAAAUAAAUAAUUAACUAGAAAUUAAACCACAAUUUACUGAACUCAGGAUAACAAUAGUUAAAGGCCUCAAUUAAUUAAAAUAAGGAAACAAUCAAAAAUAAAAUAAAGUAGGUAAUUAAAAGUCAAAUGGCAAUCCACUACAAUCAAGGAAAUAUUAACUAAAGAUCUAGCCAAGAAAUAACUUCAGCAAUGGUUCACCUAAUCGAUCAUUGAUGCAAAGCAAUCCCAAUUAUUUACUAAUAAAUAGGUUAUAACUACCAAACAAGCGAUGGCAGUCAACCCCUCCUUACUGUGUCGGUGAUCAAGGUACGCCCGUUAAUCACUGCUCUAAUUGAGAAAUAAUCCUAGGUACGCCCGUAGAAUUUAAUUCCCCAACUGCCUUACGUAUUAGAGGAGCCCUAUUCUACCCAAAUAACACACUACCAGGGUUAUUUUAGAUUAGCCCGCGUAUCCCCCUGACACGAAUCUAAUCGUGCCAGUUGUCACUAAUUUGAGGUAAUUAAACAAUUACGGAUUCAAUACCCCAAUUGACAAUAGAUUAUCAAACCAAUGAAUUAUCCGGAUCCAAGACAAUCAACUAAUUAAAUAAUCAUAAGCACUGCAACCAAGGAAUAUGCGAAUACCAAUAAAUAAAGGAAAAGAUAAAAUUAAAUCGAUCUCACAAUUUACAGGUGAUCCAAAGCAUCAGUCGUUUCUUGACUAGAACGAGGGGGUUAGCUCAUAUUGGAUGAACUAAGCCCGCGGGAAAUUCCAGCAAAAGUCACGGCCGUUGUAUGCAUUUCAAGAGCCGCAAUUCGUCAAACACUUGGAAAGCGAAUGUAAGGCACGGGUAACAAUUGAAGCUUUCUAAUUGUUCCUAGCAUUCGUAAAGCAAAUUCACUCCAGAAGUACAGUGAGGAAAAGUCAAAGAAAGUGGGCUUCAAUUCCUUGCUCCUGACAUGCGUGGAGACAAGCCAAUGCAAGACUACAAUAAACUAACAAGGAAAAGUCAAGAAUUGGAGCUAAGCUCCCCUGCCAUGCGCAGGAAUCCGAAAAGUAAAAAGUAAAGCUUCAAAGAAAAGUCAACAAUUCUUCCUAAGCUACAGACGGAAGAUCCAGCACAAAAGCCAGCUCCCUUUUUUAUCCCUUUUUCCCCCUUCUUAUUGCGGCGGCUCACCAGGAGAGGAGAGCCCUCCGUCCGUCCUUUCUUCCGAAAAUUACCAAAAUGGGCAUGACAUCUUCUCUUCCAAAAGUGCCCCUGGGACAAGCUUUCUCAUCUGAAUUCUUUUUUUUUCCAAUUUGGCACCUGUUAUCAUAUUUAUAUUCUACUCCCUGAAAUAAACGUCAAAUACUAAAAGUGAGUAGAAUCCAGCAAAUAAAUCCACAUCAAGUCAGGUAAUAGGAGGAAUUAAUAAUAAAAUAAAUGAAUAAAUUGCACCCUAUCAGAAAAAUGCAAAAAUUUGUUAUUUAUCAUUAAGGAUCAUAUCGCAUAUAACAUCAAAAAAUAGUAUAUUAUUUAUAUCUUUCACUUAAUAUAAUAUCCAAAUUACUCUUUUCAGUUACAUACCCAUUGUUAGACAAAAUCAACAACAAAUAACCAAAAAAUUUGCAACCAAAAUAUUACCAAAAAAAUAAACUUUAACAUCAUAAAUAUUUUUAUCAACAUAUUAAAGUUAGUUAUUGAAAUUUUUAUGGUGUUAAACUUCACUCUUAGCAAUAUUUUGGUUACAGAUUUUUUUGAUUAUUUAUUGUUGAUCGUGUUUGACAAUGGAUUUGUAACUGAAAAGAAUAAUUUGAAUCUUACAUUAAGUGAAAUAUAUAAAAUAUUAUACUAUUUUUUAUGGCAUAUGUGAUUCUUUUUUUUUUUUUUAUCAGAACGGCAACAUUGUAUUAAUAGUAAACCAAUUACAGUAUAGGUGGGCAACCGCCCUCACAAUCUGCCUGGACUUGUUCCAGCAGCCAAACUGGGAAGUUUUCCUUCCAUUCAGUAUUUUGUUCCAAAGUAAUAGCUACUUUAGCUAGUUUAUGGCUAACAAAGUUGUUCACCCUAUUUGCAAAGGUAAAACAACAUUCAUCAAAUUUUAUUCAUGUACAAUUGUUGCUAUCACCACGUCCUCCUCCUCCUCCUCACUGCACACUACUUGACUACCACCCUUCGCCAACCUUGCUGUUGCAUGUGCAACUAUCAUGGCCUCUCUUAGCGCCUUUGCUUCUUCGACCUUUGGACUGGCACAGCUAAAAUUUGGAACAGCCCAGGCCCACCCGCAAUCUUCCCAACCAAUCCCUGGCCACCCUUUUCCCACCCAGCUUCUAUGGCAUGUGUGAUUCAAUCCUUCUUGAUAGGAUUGGUAAUAGAGGCAGAGGGGGGAGCCGGCUGCAUCCGGUCUACUUUUCAUAGAUAGUACAAUAUUGCGAAAUCGAUCGCAUUCACACAAGAAUAUUUCGAAGUCAUUGCAUCGCUAAGUUGCAAAAAAGUACAAACACUUGUUAUUAUAUAGCUUAAGAUUCAAAACUUUAGAGCACAACCCUCCACCUAACACAAUUGAAUAAUGAAUAUUCACGAUUGUCAAAUCUGUCAAAGCACAGUUUGAGGACAACCCAUUCCAACCUGCAAAAGAUUUUUGACUUUUUUAAAGUUGUUGAGAGCUGUAAAAAGACUUACCAUGCUUACAUCUUCCGAGCCUUGGGAGUUAAAAAUGAAGGCACUGAGUGCUAUAAAAAGGGGGCUAGAGGCUGCCUAGAAGCAUAUCAGCCUAAAACAAGAAUUUGUAGUUAUGAUGGGAAGCAAAGCAAAAGCAAUGGGGUCUGGGCUGACUCCUCUUCUUACCACUGUUUUAGUGGUAUUUGUUGCUCUUGGCUUGCCCUCAGAAACUGCAGCUGAUGAUCACUACAAGUAUUCAUCUCCUCCUCCUCCUUACCACUAUCCCUCACCACCACCUCCAGUGCAUUUACCUCCACCAGUGUACAAAUACAAGUCCCCACCACCACCUCAUCAUGUUUACAAGUACAAAUCUCCACCACCCCCACCACCACACCCAGUUUACAAGUAUAAGUCGCCACCACCACCUCCUCAUCCGGUAUACAAGUACAAGUCUCCUCCGCCACCUCCUCAUCCGGUACCACACCCAGUUUACAAGUAUAAGUCACCACCACCACCUCCUCAUCCGGUACCACACCCAGUUUACAAGUAUAAGUCUCCUCCGCCACCAGUUUACAAAUAUAAGUCUCCUCCACCACCACCUCCAGUGUACAAAUACAAGUCUCCACCACCACCAGUUUACCACUACAAGUCUCCACCACCUCCUCCCCCAGUUUACAAAUACAAGUCUCCACCACCACCACCACCAGUUUACCACUACAAGUCACCACCACCUCCUCCCCCAGUUUACAAAUACAAGUCUCCACCACCUCCUCACCACUACUAAGCAAUUGCUUCUGAGGUAAUAACACUUGUUCAAUAUACCCACUUCUGCAUGAUAAAGCAUAUCUCUAUCAACACAAACUGUCAUGUCUAUCAUGCUAAGUGCCUUCACUUCAUCCACCAAAAUGACUGCUAGAAAAUUUUUUUUAUGUUACCAAAGAAAGGCAUCAUUUUUUCCCUCUGUUAUCAAGAACUUGUACAGUAUAUAGAUUAAAGAGUAUUUUUUUAACUAGCUUAUCAACUGAGAAAUGCAUAUAGCUGAUAGCCAGCUGAAUAUUUGCAGGCAAAGGAGAAGGAAACCAGUGUUUGAGACCUUCUUGAAGAUGUAGAAGCAUAAGAAUUAAAGCCCAAUGUGAAGAUGAUGAUUUCAAGUUUUUCUACGUUACCAUUUCUUUAUCUAAAUUGGUUGUAGCGCCUUAGUUCCUUUGUUUAUGGGAUUUGUAUCGUUUUACGUACCAUGCAGUACAUGUCAUGUUUGUAAGGUUUUCUAUCCUGCCGGCAAACCGCAGGUUCCAUGUAAUAAAUCAAUACUAUUUAUAUUACGACACUUUUCUCUGUUUCUCUUAUAUUUUGUCGUCUUUAAUAUUCUUAAUCAUAUUUUUAACAAAAAUAUUCAAACACUUAGGCAAUCUGGUCUAAUGCUAAUUGUAUGUUUUACUUUUCUUUUUCACCUGCUCCCCUUUUCAACUCAAAAGGAUGCAAUAGUUUGUGAUCACUGUUGAAGACGGAAGCAUGAUACUAAUGAAUAUAUCAUUGAAACUCAAGGAAACUAACAUUAUGAAAAGUGUAAAUCUUGAUUUGAUGCAACUAUUUAUUCGUGGAAUCUAUAGUUACAAAACUCAAACUCUGACUGCGCCAUUGAUAAAUUAUUAAUGACGCUAUCAUCAUUAUUUAUCCCCAACUAGUUUCGACUACAACUGAACCCAAUAUUUUCCCCAUGAUAAAAGUUUUUUACUAUUUUACUGGCCUCUCUUCAAAUUUUAAAAAUUACACUAAUCUUCAUUGAGAUUAAUUAUCUUGUAGCAUUUAAGUCCAAUUAAUAAUUAAAAAAUAAUAUUAUGAGAGAGAAAAUAAUAUAAUUUUAUCAUUGCCCCCCAUCUUGCUAUAUUAUUUAAUUAAUUUAAUAGCAACCCACACAUUAAAGAAAAAUACUAAAAUUUGCUGCUUUUCAUUAAAGAUCAAAUUGCAUAUGCCAUAAAACAUAGUAUAUCAUUCUAUAUGUUUCACUUAAUGUAAGAUCCCAAUUGUUCUUUUCAAUUACAAACCCAUUGUCAAACAUGAUCAAUAACAAAUAACCAAAAAAUUUGCAACCAAAAUAUUACAAAAAAAAACUUUAACAUCAUAAAUAUUCUUACCACCUCUAGUGCAUUCACCCUCAUAAAAUAAUUCAAGACCCUACUGUCAUAAAAUGACUGAUCAACUCCUGUAAACCUAAUUUGACAACAUUUAAAUGGAGAACUUUAGCUAAAAGAAUUAUGGUCAAGCUAAAGAAAAAACCAGUUAUUUUCCAACAUAUGCAAUCAUUGAUCAGGGAAAAAAAAAAGAAGCAAAAAGACAUCUUCAAUCAUUUAAUAGCUUACAGGGCAAAUUAACCCCUAAGCGAAAACUGGUUGCUCUAGAAUCAAAAUUUUACUUUAGUUACCCAGGCAACUUUUUUUGUUGCCUUUUCUUUUUCUUUUUUGGGUAUAUAUAUAGCUCCAGUUUUGCCCCCUCUGUCAAGCUUAUAUAAUUAUUAAGAUAAUAAAAGUGCCUUUAAUAGUAUUAAUAUAUCCAUUGACUUGAGCUGUCAUCGAUCGGUUUGGGCUACUUCGAUUCCAUGAGAACAAAUGGUAAUAAAAGUACUCAGAAAAUGGGGAGUCAUGAAACCCUUUUGUUCUAUUCAUUGCUAAGAUGCUUUUCUCUAUAAAGACACUUCCUAACGAAAAUACUUUGUAGAUUUCUUUACUCCAAGUGGUGCAUGGAAAAUUAAUAUUUUCAAUUAUCAAAUAAAAUUCCCUUUUUUCGGUGUAGAUUUCAUCCAUUCAGCUGUUAACACUCCGAAUUGACUAAUCUUUUCGUUUCCAUUUUCCAACUUGCGAAUACGGCAUCUUACAUAUUGUCUGCUGAAUAUGAAUACAUAUCCCUUUUCUGAGCAGGUGCAGAGUCAUUAUCAUUUUUAUUCCCACCUAACAAAUUAGUUAAUAAUCUUUUAAAGAACAUGUUAAAUUAAUUUAUUGGUAUGAAUAGUAGUCAAAGAAGUAUGUUAAAGUUAGUAAUCUUUAAAAUAAUAUGUUAAAAUUAUUCGUACAAAUUAGCCAGAGAAGUAGCAUAAACACCGCGAUGCAAUUAAUACUUUCAAUCUCAAGGUCUCUAUUAUGGAAAUUUGCAUCGGUCAACAUACACAAAGCAUUAUUGUAUGCACGUCUCUCUAUUAUGGAAAUUUGCAUAGGUCAAUAUACACUUGGCAUAGUUGCAUGCACGUCCAAUUUUUUUUUAUUUUUAUUUUUGGUAUUUUACUUCCUGCCUUAAGUUGCCUGCAGAUGUUUGUAUUACAAAUAUAUGGUAUACUAAAUAUAUAGUAUGCACAUUAAUUUCUUUGGGUUGCUUAAGGGUAUAUUGUUAAUAAUAGGGGGUUUAACCAUAAAUUAUAACAAUGAUGAAGUAAUAUAUAUUAGAAAAUUAACACAAUUAUGAUUUUUUUUUUUGUAAAAUUCAAAUUUUAUUAAUAAGAAAUGAAAUAGGCAGUAAGCAUUUACAAACCGAAAACAAAAUCCUACAACAACUCUAGGACUCUACACCUUAUUAAAAAAAAACAUUUUGAUAGCGUUUUUCCAAAAGCAGAAGAUGGAAAAUUGCCCAUUUGUACUGGGGAGUUCGUGAUCUUUUCCUCAUUCUAGUCUACUUACAAUUCUUGGAAAAAGGAAUACUCACAUCUCAAACAACAGCCUGUUCAUCUGCAGUGUCCUGCCGAAUUCUAGAAAGUUUGGUGGCAAUGUUAAUUACAUUUCAAAAUUGACUGCUGCGAUAACUAAUUCGAUGGCUUACUACAUGGUCAACGUUUGGAUCUCUUCCUGUCCUUUUUGGAUGCACAUUUUUUUUCUCUAGGUAAUAUAUAAUCUCCCAACUCAUUUCUUUACAAAUGCACCUUUAAUCACCACCAAAAGGUGUGGACAUGAUCUUUACCCUAGAAAACUAUUCACCGACAGGCAAAUUGACGUCAGAAAUACUAAGAGGAAUUCUAGUUUCCUUCGGGUUAAUGCCAUUUUGUACCCUUCAACUGUAACUCAAUUUCUAAGCUGUAAUUUGUGACAUUAUAGUCCUUAAACUAUGAAACCCUUUCUUAUUUAAUUACAAUGGUUAAUACAAUGCCCGUGACUAGACAAGUAUGAAGCAACCAUAACAAAAAAAAAAUCCAAAAUUAGAGAAAAGAAAGAAGUUGCGACCAAAGUAUGUAUCAAGGCAUAGUAUAGAAAUAAAAGUGUCAAAAUUAAGAGUUUAGGGAUAAAAAAGAAUCAAAAUAUAGUUUAGGAAUUGAUUUGUCUCAAUUAGAGUUUAGAUGUCAACUAAGAAGAGAGAUAUAGUUGAAGGGUAGAAUAUAGAUAUAACAGUUCAAUGAUUGAUAUCAACGAGACAAUGACAACUUUGGAUUAUUACCAACCUCUUCUUGAUGGAAAAGGAAAUAGAGAAGAAAGUCGGGCCUGGUCUAAGCCUGUUUCGGAGGCAAAACAACAUUAUGAAAUCACCGGCAUUCACACAAAUAUGUCAAAGUCACCGGCAUGCUAAGUUGCAAAAUUUAUACAAACACUGAAUAUUAUAUUCUUCUCAAAAUUUUUGUUUAAGAUUUAACAAUUAGAGCACGGUACACGAAUUAGCAAUAUUAAAUAAUGAAUGUUCACGAUUGAUAAAGUUAUCAAAGUACAGUUUGAGGACAACCCAUUCCAACGUGUACAAGAUGUUUAGCCUUUGAAAAGUUAAUUAGAGAAGGUGACGAGAUUUUACUAGGCUUACAACUUCUAGGCCUUGGGAGUAAAAAGUGAAGACACUGAGUGCUAUAAAAAGGGGGCUAGAUGUUGCCUAGAAGCAUAUCAGCCUCGGACCACAUUUUGUAGCAAUGGGGAGCAAAGCAAAAGCAAUGGGGUCUAGGCUGACUCCUCUUUUUACCACCGUUUUAGUGGUAUUUGUUGCACUUGGCUUGCCUUCAGAAACUGCAGCUGAUUACGACAAGUAUUCACCUCCUCCUCCUCCUUACCAUUAUUACUCACCACCACCUCUUGUGCAUUCACCUCCACCACCGCCAGUUUAUAAGUCACCCCCACCACCUUAUCACUACUUCUCACCACCACCUCCAGUGUAUCCAUCUCCACCACCAUCUGUUUACAAGUCACCUCCACCACCUUCGCCAGUAUACAAGUCCCCACCACCACCUUAUCAAUAUUCCUCACCACCACCUCCAGUGCAUUCACCUCCACCACCACCGAUUUAUAAGUCACCUCCACCACCUCCUCCAGUUUACAAGUCCCCGCCACCACCUUACCAUUAUUCCGCACCAUCACCUCCAGUGCAUUCACCUCCACCACCACCGAUUUACAAGUCACCUCCACCACCUCCUCCAGUUUACAAGUCUCCAUCACCACCUUACCAUUAUUCCUCACCACCACCUCCAGUGCAUUCACCCCUACCACCACCGGUUUACAAGUCUCUGCCACCACCUUACCAUUAUUCCUCACCACCACCUCCUAUGCAUGCACCUCCACCACCAAUAUACAAGUCACCUCCACCACCUCCUCCAGUUUACAAGUCUCCACCACCACCUUACCAUUAUUCCUCACCACCACCUCCAGUGCAUUCACCCCUACCACCACCAGUUUACAAGUCUCCGCCACCACCUUACCAUUAUUCCUCACCACCACCUCCUGUGCAUGCACUGCCACCACCAAUUUACAAGUCACCUCCACCACCUCCUCCAGUUUACAAGUCCCCACCACCACCUUACCAUUAUUCCUCACCACUACCUCCAGUGCAUUCACCUCCACCACCACCGAUUUACAAGUCACCUUCACCACCUCCUCCAGUUUACAAGUCUUCACCACCACCUUACCAUUAUUCCUCACCACCACCACUCUUCAAUUUGGAUGUAAUUCAAUUUUCCUUGUAAUCGGUGGCCCUCCUUCGGAAUCCAAAUAGUCAUUGAGUGCAGCCUUCUUUCUUUAUUUUUUACUCAUUUUCACCUCAUAAAUUGCUUUCAUCCCCUAAAACUUGUUCGCUGGAAUUUUGAAUUUACCCAUACAACUAAACUCAGAAAAUUCUUACACAAAGGGAUUAGUAGCAUGAAUAGCAAACACAGAAUAAGAGAUAACAGUAUGUUUUAUUGUAUUAAAAAUAUUAAAGUGGAUUAUUUCUCCAUCGAAUUCCAUUGUGAGAGUAUCGUUACUAACAUCAAUCUUAGUUUGAGCAGUACUCAAGAAUGACCUUCCUAAUAUAAUGGGUGAUGGAUUUGGGACACUUUCAUCAUCCAUAUAAAACACAUAAAAAUCAACAGAAAAAAUUAAUCCAUCUACUUGAACUAAAAACAUCCUCAACUACCCCAUUUAGAUAAGCAAAUAUACGAUCAGCCAAUUGAAUUAUUAUCCCUAUUUCUUUUAAAUGUUCUAAAUUUAGGGAAUCAUAAAUUGAUUUAGACAUCACAUUAAUAGAAAUCUUUAAAUCUAUCAUGGCAUUUUUUAUAUUAGAAUGUCCAAUCUUACAUGAGAUAGUAAACAUACCUAGAUUCUCGCAUUUAGGUGGUAGUUUCCUUUGUAAAAUUGCUGAAACGUUCUCAUCUACCACAAUAUGCUUGUCCUCCUCAAUUUCUUCUUGUUGACACACAAGUUUUUCAAGCAUUUAACGUAUUUUGGAACUUAUUUGAUUUGCGUCCAACAAAGGGAUAUUGAUUGCCACCUUGCGAAAAUCUCUAAAAUCUCCUUUUCUUUAUCUUGUUUCUUUGAUUUCUCUAACCUGCUUGGAAAAGGUGGUGAGUUAGUUCCAACUCUAAUUAUAGAAUCAACAAUUACCUUUGGAUUCACAUUUCUCAUUCCUUCCUCCUCAAGCUCUUUGUCGAUUCGAUCUUCAUUUUUAUCCUUUGGAAUCACAACUUCGGAUCCCUGAAUUUUCUUCUCGCUCCUUAAGGUCAUUACACUUACAUUCUUCAGGUUCAGUUCAGGUUGAGACGACAAUUUUUCAUAGAUUUGGGAUUCCAGGCGGUUGAUUGCUAUUACCAUCUGACUCAUCUGACUCUGCAGUGCUUGCACCUGUCCCAAUUGAUUCCUCAUACUUUGCAAGUCAAAAUCCAUCUUUUGUUGAUUAGCAAUUAAUUGCUUCAUUAUCUCUUCUAUAGAUGGACUUGAGUUUGAAAGAGGUGGUGGCGGGCGAGACUGAUACUGUUAUUGAUACCCUUGCUAUCUAUUUGGUGCAAAAUCUGGCUACCUAUUUCCUCCAUAGCUGAGGUUGGGAUGAUCUCUCCAACCAAUAUUGUACGUAUUCGUGUACGAGUCGUAUGGUUUUCUUGGCACGGCGCGUGACCAGCCAUGUUCACUUGCUCCGUACUUUUCUCUUGAAUCAUUGAGCACAUCUCUGUAGAAUGACCCAUAGCAGUGCAGAUCCCACACAUCUUGACUCGUGAUGCAUUUCCUAUAGCUAAUUGCCUAACAAAGGAUGUUAAUUCGGUCAACUGCUGUUGGAUAGAAUAUGUUUCUACCUCAUUUACUUUGCGUGUUGGGGCAUCCUCCCUCGUACCAAACUGUUGCGAAUUUUCCGCCAUUCCUUCAACUAGCUCCCACGCUUCUCGAGAAGUCUUGUUCACCAAUGCCCUUCUACUUGCAGCAUCAAUUAUACUCCUGUCUCUAAAACGCAGCCCCUCGCAAAAAUAUUGGAUGAGCAAUUGCUCACUUAUUUGGUGUUGAGGGAACUUGAUGCAUAACUUCUUGAAUCGCUCCCAAUAAUCAUAAAGCGACUCUCCUGGAUGCUACUUGAUACCGUAUAUCUCCUUCCUUAGACUUGCAGCUCGAGAUGCAAGAAAAUAUUUGUCCAAGAACUUUUUCUUCAGCUGAUCCCACGUGGUGAUGCUACCUGGUGGUAGAUAGCACAGCCAGUCUUUUGCGGAGUCCUUCAAGGAGAAGGGAAAUGCCCUCAUUUUUAUCUAUUUUUCUGUAAUUCUCGGAGGUUUUAUGCUGUUGCAAACGACAUCAAACUCUUGCAAGUGCUUAUACGGUUCCUCACCUGGUAAACCAUAGAAAGAUGGCAAGAGAUGAAUUAGACCAGAUUUUAACUCAAAUGAAGUGUUAUCAUUUAAAAAUAGAAAAGUAACUGAGAUGCAGCACUGGAAUGUUCUUCUCGAAAUUGUCUGGUCUCUUUCUUUGUUCUACGCGUAGUCUUCUCUACCUUAGGAUCAAAAAUUAAUUUACCUGUACGAGAAGAACGAGGCAUACACUAGAAAAACACUAGAAAAUUAGAACAAAAAUGAACAUAAAAAGAAACAAAUAAACCAACGUCAGUCCCCAGCAACGGCGCUAAAAAUUGACAAGUUGUCGAUGCCUGUGCAAUAAUAAAAAUAAACCUAGUUACCAAUUAAAAUAAUCAGAGCCUAAUUCUGAGUACUAGAGCAGGGACUAUAGGUGUGCAAUGGGUUACUUGAUUCACCCUAUUCCUGAAGUUUGCUUAACCCGAUAUACCAGAAUGAGAUUGCUUAUUCAAAAGGAAUUAUUGAUUUGUAAACAGGGCAAGUAGGGUCGUAUCAUCAGGGAUUGAAAAAAUUUGUUUCUUUUCAAAUCCACAGUAACAAGGGGAUGUUUUUGUAUAAAUGAUAACAAUCUAAGGAGUGCAAAUAGAAAUAAAUAGAUAACUAGAAAUUAAAUGACAAUUCACUAAAAUUAGAGUAAUAAUAAUUAAAGGUCUAGCUAAGAAAUAACUUCAGCAAUGGUUCACCUAAUUGAUCAUCGACGCAAAGGCAAUUCCAAUUAUUUACUAAUAAAUAGGUUAUAACUGCAAAACAAGCAAUGACAGUCAACCCCUCCUUACUGUCGGUCGGUGAUUAAGGUACGCCCAAUCACUGCUCUAGUUGAGAAAUAAUUUUAGGGACGCUCGUAAGAUUUAAUUUUCCAAUUGCCUUACGUAUUAGAGGAGCCAUAAUCUAACCAAAUAACGCUACCAGGAUUAUUUUAAAUUAACCCGUGUAUUCCCUUGAUACAAAUUCAAUCAUGUCAGUUGUCACUAUUUCAAGGUAAUGAAACAAUUACGGAUUUAAUAUCCUAAUUGACAAUAGGUUACUAAAUCAAUUCACUAUUUCGAUCCAAGAUAAUCAAUCAAUUUAACAACUAAUAGCACUGCAAUCGGAGAAUAUGUAAAUACCAAUAAAUAAGAGGAAAAGAUAAAAUUAAAUCGAUCUCACAAUUUUUAAACAAAUCAAAGUAUCCGUUGUUUCUUGACUAGAAAAGAAAAUUUAGUUCAUUCCUAAUGUGAAAGACCCACGUGAGAAUUCAAAAAUAAUAUUCACGGAUAUUGUCUUGAUUCAAUAGAUUCAAUUGCGUUGGAAUAAGGAUAAAAAGCCAAACUAUAGAGAGUGAUUCAAUGUUUUGUUUCGUUUGCAUUUUUUCUACACAUAUGGAAGAAGAAAAACAACUAAAGGACGAAAAAAAAAAGUCAAAGAAAGGCACCCAAAGUAGUGCUUGGUCUCUACCAUCCUAUUUCCUAUCUAAUUACUACUUCCCUUCUGCGGCUGCCUAGAGGAAGAAAGAGAAAGCAGACUUCAGGUCUUGUUCCAUCUCCUCCCUUUUCGGCAAUUCCCCAAAAGUAGAAAAGUUCCUCCGUUUACCAAAAUGCCCCUGGAAUGAGGACUGCUACUUGAACUCAUUUUCUUGAUAACUGUCAAAUUAGCACUUGUUAUGGUAUUUGCGUCUACUUCCUGUAAUAAAUGUAAAUUGCCAAAAGUGAGUAAACUGAUAAUUAAUUUACAUCAGGUCAGGUAAUAGGAAAAAUUAAUUAUAAAAUAAAUGAUAAAAUUGCAACCUAUCACUUAGAAUAACCAGAAAUAAAACAAAACAAGAAAUGAAAGAAAUAAGAGGGUAGCAUAGACAUUUUGGAUUUUUCUGUUAAUUUGGAUGAUUUCCACCUACGGUCUAAUUUAAUCCAAAACACAAAUGGAUUAUGUGGAGAUUUUUAAACAAUGAGGGAGUAUCGUGACCGAAUCCCAAACCACAAAGGGGAUUUACUAUAUUUUACUCUUAAAUUUUGGUUUCAUCUCAUAGCAUACAAGAGUACUAUUUCACUGUCUGUCGACCAGGGAGGAGGGUUGGGUUGGGUGGUACGGGGGAGGGAGUCUAAGUAAGAGGUCUCAGGUUCGAAUCCUCCUGUUUAUACUAAAAAAAAAAAUUUACUAUCUGUCGACAAAGAUUUUCUAUGGUUGAUGUACCAUAGGAAAAAUCUGCCUAUACAAUUAUUUGGAAAAAUUAUCCAUCCAAACAUAGUCACGAUAGCAUUUUUUCAAAAACACUAGAUGCAAAAUUGUCCCCUUAAACGUGGAAAUUCAUGAUCUUUCCUCGACUAGUCUACUUGUCAAUUUUUGAAAAAAGAAUACUCACGCCAAAAACACGGCCUCUUCAUCUGCAGAAUUCUAAAAAGUUACGUAAACUCUAUAAACAAGUUGAUAGGUACAAUCGUACCCAAGAUCAAGUACAGAUAGUUGUACAUUCACUGCUGCAAUAACUAAUCUGAUGACUUACAAACACAUCAUGGUCAAUCGUUGAAUGGUAAUGAGUCUUUUGUUAUGCAUUAGUAUUAGUGUGUACACUCUAAUAGAUUGAUACUUAUACUCUUUAAAUUAUCAUAAUAAUACCCUUAAUUAACUUUAACCCUUAAAAAGAAUACGUGUUAAUACACGAGAGUGUGUAACCUGAAUUGUUACUUAUACAUUAGUGUGUAAUAGAACGGCAAGCAUUAUGGUGGUCAUUGAGCAACUUAUAGGAGAAAUAGUCCUAUAAGCUGUUCAAUGACCAAUCACAACUUGCUAAUUGGAUGACUAAUAUAGCUCUAGCUGUAAUGUUUUAAUUAAAUUCCACACUAACGUUGGGAUGACUUUUUAAUCAAAAAAAAAAAAGCCUUAGUUCAAGCUUUUCCCCUUAUUGUGCAUUUUUUAAAACAUUUGAUAGGCACUGCAAAUCUGUCAUUUUGGACAUUUUAUUAUUAACUAACAAUGAAAGCCGUGGACAUCAACCCAUAUCCAACAAAAUAUUAAAUUAAUAUUAGAAAAAUUAUUAAGUAAUUGGAAAAAAAAAAGAAGAGGCUAAUUUUCAUUGAAACCCACCGACAAACUAUCCGUGUCCAUAGCUUUUGAAUAGUGCAUUCAACGUUUAAUUGUAUGGUCCAGUUCAUUGCCGAUUACAUGGAGUAAAGAUUGUGCUCUUUCCUUUUUCACCCCUUUUGGAAUCGAUACUGUGGAGAAUUGGGUUUUUCCCUCCUUUUUUUCUUUUCUUUCCUUCUGUGCUUUGCAAAACAUACGUAAAAAUAUGAAAUCCGAAGCAUUCUUUAAUUGGGAUUAAGUAUUGUUGUUGAAAUUAAAAAGAAGAAAGAAAGAACAACAAAAAUCCCAAUCUGGGUUGAUUGUUGAGCUCUAGAUUGGCUGCAUCGUGCUUCCAUAGAAGUUCUCUUAGUGUGAUACGCUGCUUUCAAUCAGUUUUAAUAUUUAAGUAGAGUGCAAAAUAACUUUACUAUUUAAUGGGUUAUAAUGCACCAUUUGGUACCUCUCACCCACCUAUGAUUUGAUUUACUACUGGCAUGGUAAUGGACAGAGUUGGGGGAGCAGGAGGAGGGAGAUGGCGGUACCAGUCCGUCAACCACAGCACACCCUCCCUCGGACUUUGCGUGGUAGCGAAGUGGAGGCAGAUCGAGCACACAUGCACUAACGCCUUAAGUAUGUACAAUAUAUGUAUGCCAAAAGCAUAGCCAAGCCUACCAGCGCAUUUCAAUAAUAUAACCCGGAAAUUAAGGGCAUUGAAUUAAGUACGAUGAAUCAUAUUGGUGCACAAUUACAGUUUGAAGCUACCGAUUCGAGUAAAUUUAAGCGUAAGCACAAUCAAUCGCCAGUCAAAUGCUGAAAUAUGCAUAUGCAUGGAUGAAUGUAUGGGUUUCUUAGUUCCAGACCAAAGGCCAACAAUAAGGGAAGGAAGGACAGUUCUCAUUUUUAGCACGGACAAGGAGAUGAAGAAAAGUGUAUGUAGCUUGAGACAGAACAAUGGCAUGUGACCGCUCCUGAGACCACAUAACGUGGGGUGGGGAUGGGACGGCCAAGAAUGAAGAUGCCUGUCGGUCUCUCCGUGCUGCUACCAUAUGAAUCCCCCGUUAACCAAUUCAAGAUAAGCCUGAAGUUCUUUUCAUCCCCAAACCCUGUCCCAUCUGUGUAAAUCCAACAUCAUCAUUUACGACCUGCAACUCAGGUUAAGCAUGUUCUAUUGAGAUUCAGACACCACCCUUCAAAAGAUAUACUACUGUGAAACCAGCAGCUUAAUAUCAUUGUAUAAAAAAAAAAAAAAAAGAAAGAAGAAAAGACAUGAAAAGCAAAUUUUGUGGGGAUAAUUUCAAAAUCUCUCCUAAAGUUUUUUACUAUUUUACUGGCCUCCUUUCAAAUUUUAAAAAUUACACCAGUCUUCCUUGAGAUUAUUUAUCUUGUAACAUUGAGGUCCAAUCAAUAAUUAAAAAAUGAUAUUAUGAGAGAGAAAAAAAAUAAACUUUAACAUCAUAAAUAUUCUUAUCAACAUAUUAAAGUUAGUUACUGAAAUUUUUAUGGUGUUAAACUUCACUCUUUGUAAUAUUUUAGUUACAGAUUUUUUGAUUACUUGUUGUUGAUUUUUUUUUUUUUAGUGUAAACAGGAGGACUCGAACCUAAGACCUCUCACUUACACUCCCUCCCCCCGUACCACCCCAACCCAACCCAACCCUCCCCUCGUUGUUGAUCAUGUUUGACAAUGGAUUUGUAAUUGAAAAGAACAAUUUGGAUCUUACAUUGAGUGAAAUAUAUAGAAUGAUAUACUAUUUUUUAUGGCAUAUGUGAUUCAAUCCUUGAUGAUAAAAGCAAAUUCAAGUGUUUUCUUUAAUGUUUGUGCUGAUAUUAGAUUAAUUAAAUAAUUUAGUAGAUGAAGGAAAAUGGUGAAAUCAUAUUAUCUUCUCUUUCCUAAUAUCACUAUUUAAUUAUUGAUUGAACUUAGAUAUUACAAAUAAUAAAUCUCAAGGGAGAUUAGUAUAAUUUUCAAAUUUUGGAGAGAAGCUAAUGAAAUAGUCAAAAACCUUAAGGGAGGUUUACAAAAUUAUCCCAAAUUUGUGGGAAUUAGAAUAAUUGUACUGGACGGCACUGCCGCAACAGAGGGAAAGAGGAGGAGGUGCAGUUAACUUUUUGUUGUUUGAAAUCCUUGGUGAAAUAUUACAGAAAGACAGAUAAAACAGUUAGUACAUAGAUGUAUAUGACAGGGAAAAUGGUACGUCUGUUAAUCACAUUUGAAACACUUUCAUUGGUGAAUGACGAAAACUAUCAGGCUUGCCCAAUAGUUGAUCAUUGACCAAGACAAAUCUUGCCAUGCUAGAGGUACCAUCUUUUCGUACCUCUUUAGUGCACAGGACAUUCCUUUGUUUCAUCUAGCUAAUAAUCUACCAACUCAUUUCUUUGCAAAUGCACCUUUUAUGGUCACGUCUACGAAAGCUUUACAGGAUCUUUACCCAAAAAAUCAAUUCACCGACUCGCAUUUGAUGUCAAAAUUUCUUUACUUUACUCCAAGAUUGACUGUUAAUAAUAAUGCCACUUUGAAUUAUCACACCAUCCUUCUUGAUAGGAUUUGUGCUAGAGGUAGGGAGGGAGUCGCUGCAGCCGGUCUUCUCUUCAUAGACAGUACAAUAUUGCGAAAUCGAUCGCAUUCACGCAAUAUUAUAUUUCCAAGUCGUUGCAUGGGUAAGCUGCCAAAAAGUACGAACACAUGUUAUUAUAUAGCUUAAGAUUCAAAACUUUCGAGCAUAACCCUCCACCUAACACAAUUGAAUAAUGGAUAUUCACGAUUGUCAAAUCUGUCAAAGUACAGUUUGAGGACAACCCAUUCCAACCUGCAAAAGGUUUUUUUACUUUUCUAAAGUUGUUGAGAGCUGUUAAAAGAUUUACCAUGCUUACAUCUUCCGAGCCUUGGGAGUUAAAAAUGAAGGCACUGAGUGCUAUAAAAAGGGAAUAGAGGCUGCCUAGAAGCAUACCAGCCUAAAACAAGGAUUUGUAGUUAUGAUGGGAAGCAAAGCAAAAGCAAUGGGGUCUGGGCUGACUCCUCUUCUUGCCACUGUUUUAGUGGUGUUUGUUGCUCUUGGCUUGCCCUCAGAAACUGCAGCUGAUGAUCACUACAAGUAUUCAUCUCCUCCUCCUCCUUACACUAUCCCUCACCACCACCUCCAGUGCAUAUACCUCCACCUCAUCCUGUUUACAAGUACAAAUCUCCACCACCCCCACCACCACACCCAGUUUACAAGUAUAAGUCACCACCACCACCUCCUCAUCCGGUACCACACCCAGUUCCUCAUCCGGUGCCACACCCAGUUCCUCAUCCGGUGCCACACCCAGUUUACAAGUAUAAGUCACCACCACCACCUCCUCAUCCGGUACCACACCCAGUUCCUCAUCCGGUACCCACACCCAGUUUACAAGUAUAAGUCACACCACCACCUCCUCAUCCGGUACCACACCCAGUUUACAAGUAUAAGUCACCACCACCACCUCCUCAUCCGGUAUACAAGUAUAAGUCUCUCCGCCACCAACACCCAGUUUACAAGUAUAAGUCACCACCACCACCUCCUCAUCCGGUGCCACACCCAGUUUACCACUACAAGUCACCACCACCACCUCCUCAUCCGGUACCACACCAGUUUACCAUACAAGUCACCACCAAUCCUCACCCAGUUUACAAAUACGAGUCUCCACCACCUCCAGUUUAUAAGUACAAGUCACCACCACCUCCUCCACCAGUUUACAAGUAUAAAUCUCCUCCACCACCACCACCAGUUUACCACUACAAGUCUCCACCACCUCCUCCCCCAGUUUACAAAUACAAGUCUCCACCACCUCCUCACCACUACUAAGCAAUUGCUUCUGAGGUAAUAACACUUGUUCAAUAUACCCACUUCUGCAUGAUAAAGCAUAUCUCUAUCAACACAAACUGUCAUGUCUAUCAUGCUAAGUGCCUUCACUUCAUCCACCAAAAUGACUGCUAGAAAAUUUUUUUUAUGUUACCAAAGAAAGGCAUCAUUUUUUCCCUCUGUUAUCAAGAACUUGUACAGUAUAUAGAUUAAAGAGUUUUUAUUUUAACUAGCUUAUCAACUUAGAAAUGCAUAUAGCUGAUAACCAGCUGAAUAUUUGCAGGCAAAGGAGAAGGAAACCAUGUUUGAGACCUUCUUGAAGAUGUAGAAGCAUAAGAAUAAAAGCCCAAUGUGAAGAUGAUGAUUUCAAGUUUUUCUACGUUACCAUUUCUUUAUCUAAAUUGGUUGUAGCGCCCAAGUUCCUUUGUUUAUGGGAUUUGUAUCGUUUUACGUACCAUGCAGUACAUGUCAUGUUUGUAAGGUUUUCUAUCCUGCCGGCAAACCGCAGGUUCCAUGUGAUAAAUGAAUACUAUUUAUGUUACGACA
rnacentral:lncRNA from 1 species